UUUUUUUUUUUUUUUUUUUAUCAAAACAUAAAGGUGCACAAUUGAUAGUUUAAACUUUAAUGUUUGUAGGUUGGUUUAAGUUAACAAAUUAAAAGGUGUAAAUUAACUCAUUGGUGGUAGUGUCUUCAUUGGAAUCUAAACUUGCAUUCUAUGUCUUGUGAAGUUGAAAUGUUUACCGCUCAACCAACCCUUAAUGUUUAACCGUAUGUUAAAUUUUCGAUUUUGGGUAUGUUUACAUUAGGGGAUUGAAAUCAAAUGGAGGGGGACAAAACAAAAUAAAAUAGAGCAGAACGUAACAAAUGUCUCAUUUGAUUGUUUGAGUAUUUUAUGAAGUUGUUUGGAAAAUAAAUGAAAUAAAAAUGGAUCACAAAAUUAAAGUGCUGGUUUAUUCUAUUUGGUAUCACAUAGUAUGAUGAAAAGGUAAAUUGUUGUAAACAAUGGAAUUAGAUGAAUAUGUCAUCAUGGCACCCAUAACUUUUGAAAAUAUCCAAACAAAUGUAUGUCUUAGCAUUCCAUUCUAUUCAACUUCAUUCUAUUGCAUACCAUCAAUCUAAACUUACGUUAUGAACUACAAAAUAUUAUUGGAUGAAGUUUUCACGUAUACUCCUUUUGAUACAAUUAUGUUUGAGGCUACUCAAAAAAAAAAAAAAAACAAGAAGAGUAAGGCCAAAAGGAUUUAUUUUUCAUUGGAACUAUGAGCCUCCCACUACUAAGUGCAAAAUAUAGACGUAAAUCAUUUUUUAUAGAUUAAUUAAGUUUUUGGUCCAUAUAAAUAUCUGCAUUUUUGUUUUUAGUCCCUAUAAAAAUAAAUCACACUUUUUAGUCCUUAUAAAAUUUUCCGUUAGUGUUUUUAGUCUAUGUUAAAUUAAAAUUUGUUUAAUUAUGCUUAAAAUUUUAAAUUUUUUAAUGAUUUUUUACAUACUUGUUUAAAACAUUAUAAAAGAUUCCGCCACAAUAAAUUAGUUCAAAAUUUUAUUUUUAGGUCCAAAUUUUCGUUAGUUUUAUCUUGAAAUUUUGGCGUUUUAAAAAAAUUAUAUUUAAUUCAUUACAUGUUAAAAAAUUCUUAUUUUUUAUAAAAGAGAUUAUUAUAAUGUUCUUAACAUGUCUGUUAAAAAUCAUUUAAAAAUAUAAAAGUUUAAGUAUAAUUAAACAAAUUUCAAUUUAAUAGAGACCAAAACAUACUUUUAGUCCUUGUAAAAUUAAAAUUUGCAUAAUUGUGCUUAAACUUUUAAAUUUGUAACAUAUUUUUCACAUACUUACAUAGAAUAUUAUACAAAGUUUUUCCGCAAAAAAGUAACUUAAAAUUUUAUUAUUAGGUCCAAAUUUUCAUUAAUAUAAUCUUGAAAAUUUGGUUUUUAGAAAAAUUCAUAUUUAAUUCAUUACAUAUUAAAAAACUAAAUUUUUUUAUAAAAGAGUGUCUUACGAUGUUAUGAACAUGUAUGUAAAAAAUCUGUCAAAAAUUUAGAAGUUUAAGCAUAAUUAAACAAAUUUUAAUUUAACAGGGACUAAAAACACUAACAGAAAAUUUUGUAGGGACUAAAAAGUGUGAUUUAUUUUUAUAGAGACUAAAAACAAAACUGCAGAUAUUUAUAGGGACCAAAAACAUAAUUAACCCUUUUUUAUAUGGACAUUGUUAGGCUUAAUUAUUUUGUAGGUCUAUGAAUUAUAUGAUAAUUUUUUAAUAAGUUCAUGAACUAAGAAAAAAUUCUAAUUGAAUAUUUGAAUUUGUCAAAAAUGUUUAACUAGACCCUUUCUUUUAAUUAAGUCCCUGAUCCAAGUCCUAAAUUUACAAAACAAAGGAGGUUAAUUUUUAUGAGCUUACAUCUCCUAUUCAAUAUUUGAGAAAAGUUAUUAAGUCAAAUAUUUAAAAGAAGAAAGAUCAUUAAAAAAUGUUGACACAUGUCACAUCAACGAUUUUGUAUAGUCAUAAUCUACCAAGUACUAAAAGUGAAAGAAUCUUAGAUGAGUGUGAUUAAAGAUAAAACAAUUGCAAGAACUAAAACUAGAUUUAACUCAUGUUAUAAGGAUUCGAAGCACGAUUAACCCAAAAAUCUCAACCUUUGAGCCACCUCUCUCAAUUUUCUCUCUUCCUUCUUUGUCAUCCAAUUGAGGUCGGGGUGUUGUUUGCCUGGAAUAGAUUGUUUUUCCCCCCUCCUUAACUAAAUAGGUGGGCUUCACAUGGUUAUGAUUUCGUCGUUUGAAUGCAGUGUUUUUAUUCAUCGUCGUACUAUAGCUUGUUUGAUUUUCCGUCUUAUUGUGGUGUUUGUUUGGUUUAGAUUGACAUAUUUAAAUUAAUGAUUUGUACGUCAACUUUACGGAUUAAAAAAUAUAAGUAUGUAUGUAUUUUGUCGAUUAUGCUACUAAGUAGAGUGUUGUGAGUUUCUCUGUAGUUUCGUUUUUUUUCUUCAAUUUUAGCAAUGUUAAAUCAUUGUUGUUUUCGAUUUAUUCUACUGAUUUAAAUGAAUCAAUGCCUUCUUUAGUAAAAAAUAUGGAAUACAAUUUACAUAUACUAAACAAUUGAUAAAUCAUACCUGAAAUACAAAAAAUGGAAAGUAGAAUAUUAUGCAACUAUAAACUAGCUAUGUAGGGCACCCUCCAACAACCAAUUAAUUUCAUAUUGACCUUAGUAACAUCUUCUCAGAUUCCAGGUGAGGUGAGUGAGUUAUUCAUAUACUUUAUCUUUUUAUUUUUUAUUUUUUAUUUUUUUAUAUAACAAUAGCAUUAUAUUAUCAAAGAAAUAAAAGAAAGACUUUCAGCUUGAUCAAGUGGUGCAAGCAUAACGUCUAAAGAUUCCUAACACUAAACUCAUAACCCAAAGUACUGAAAUUGACCAACUCCGUAACCACUACUCUUCAGAUAUUGUUCUGCUACUCCCACUGUUACAUCAUCUUCAUGCAACCGCAAUUCUUCCAUCUACAUCAAAGCCACAUAAGAAUCAAAACCCUUUCAACUCAAUCAAUAGUCAUUAUAUAAUGUGAUCUUCAUAAUGUCACUGUUAUAACUGAAAAGCACUUGUGCAAAUUGUGUCAUUAGAAGAUUAUAAUAUGUAUUUAUUUCUGUCAUUUUCCAGCUUGUCAAAAGAAUAAAUUUACUAAAGCAAAUUUACAUUAUACAGAAGAUUAAAAUAUUAAAUAACAUAAGAUUUUUUUUUUUUUAAAGAAAUUAAAUAACAUAAGAUUUACUUGUACAAACUAUGGUGUGACACAUUUAACCGAAUGUGCAAUCCUUACAUGCUUACAAUUUCAAAGACGUUUGCUCUCACAUUGAUGUUGAAAAUGAAGAAAGCAACAAAAUGAAUUAGUAAUAUUUACCCAGAAAUCGACUUCGUCUUCAUCUCUGAUUAAACAUGGAGCCUUAGGAAUCUCUGUGGGCUCGUCAUUGCGUGCAAACCUGCCACGUACGCGUGGUCGAUUGUCUGCUAGUGUCUUUCGACAUGCAUACUAUAAAAACAACACAUUCAGACUCUUCUCUUUCUAAUCAAACUUUGUUAAUUAUAGUAUAGUAUAGUAUAGUAUAAAUUCUCUAAUGAUCUUGAUUACCUUAAUGGUCUUGUUGAAGUUCCUCUGUGUUCUCUUAGCUCUGUACUUGGAAAUUUUUUCUUUUCUUUCUUCCGCACUAUAACGACCUACUUUGAAAUUUUGUUCCUCUUGCAAAUUCCCCUCUGUUGGAGACAUAUUAUUUUCUUUCAUGUUCUGUUUCAAAGACUAAACAAACUUCAAUAAAAUCAACUUUGGAAAAAUGAAGAAAAAAAAAUGAUUAGUAAUUUUUUUUUUAACAGAUUUACCUGCAAAUCACCUGUGCUACAAACCCUUCUCAAACUAUUUUCAGGAGAGCUUAAAUCAUGCCUUUGAAAUUUUGAUGAAUCAACGAGAUUAUCAUGGUGAGUUUGGAAUAGAAAACUAGGCUUCUUUUCGAAAGAGUUACUGCUGAAGCUUCUUUGCAUGUACUUUGAUACAUUCUCAUCACCACUGUAACUAUGAGGAAGGAAUUGAUUAUUAUUAGUAUUAGUAUUGUAGUUAUAAUAAUCAAUACUUAUUUGUGAUUCCUCGUUUUUAACUUGGGAAAAAUCAAAAGCUGAGAAACUUUCAUUACAAAGAGGCUGCACUGUAGUGUGGUUUUGAUCAGUUGGAGGAGAGAAAGAGAAAAAAGAAGGUGAAAAAGGGUCUAGAGAAGGAAGAAGAGGUUCAUCAAAUGGGUUUGAAUUUUGUUGAGAAGUUACUUCAUUAGUACUGUGAUGAGAAUUGGUGAAAAAAGGGAAAGAGUCUGAGAAAAAUGGAAGGUCUCCACUUCCAUCAUUUGAAGAGACUAUUUCUGAGGUUGAAUGUGUGUGGAAAGUUGUGGUGCCGAAUGAAUAUAGUUCCGAAGACAUAGAAUCAAAAAAUUCUAUUGAAUUGAACUCCUUUUUAAUGUGAAUCAGUAUCCAGCCUUUGCGCACGACUGCAGAGACUAAUUCCUCGAACCGGAUAGGAUCACAAAGGAUCAAAUCUCUCCCUCUGAGUAUUUUCUUUGUGAAGCUACACUUUGGACUGAAUGAUGGUAAUCCUUGUUGAACAAGGAGACAAAAGUGGUACUUUUGUGUGUCUGUGUUUUUUAUGGUGACGUUGCCAAAACCACAGAUUGAGACUUGAGAUUUGAGACCAGUCCAUCACAGCUUGAGUUUUUGCUGUGAUUUAUAACAAUUCAUUCUUGCCAAUUUGCCAUUUUGUCCCUUUCUUUUUUAUAUUCUCUAAAGUUACCUGGUGGGACCUUUUUUAAUUUUAAAUUUAGUAAGAACUGUAUCAUGUCAUCUUGCAUUUUAUGACUUGUGUAAUUGAUUAAUACUUGGUCCAACCUUUUUUUUAAUUGAUGUGUAUUGGGCCAAACUGCAUUCUAAUGGGAACUUGCAGCAUGCUAUUCACUUAAAUCAAGACAUCUAGGGUUGGGUUAGGUCAUGACCAUGAGAAUAACUUAAAAUUGGAGGACAACUGCAUUAGACUAAUAGGACUCAUUUACCUACACUUUUGUCUAAAAGUUUAAGACAGUAAAUUUAUGAGUAAUUUUAUUUAUAUAUCGUUGAGCGCUUGUAUUUUCAUCUAAUGUGAGAUUAUUUUACUCACAUUUGAUAUAUCAACCAACCACUAGUAACAUUAUGUUACAUGUCAGUCUUUGAGUAUUAAUUGUUGCUAGGAUUCAACUUAGUGUCGUGUUGAUGUCAAUGUUGAAUGUAGUGACUGUAUUGCUAAUUAUAUAUACUACAUGUUAGAGCAUUUGGCUGAAAAUAUUGAUGACUCGGUGAAGACCGCACUAGAGAUGGUCAAUGAAGUUGCAAUGAAGCCUGUGAGGAAUAACAUAGCACACUUGCUAAAUUUAUGGAUUUGAUUGGUUAGUGCAAUAGUGCAACUUUUGCUACUUUCUCAUACCAAGUUUUCAUACGUUUCAAACAAUGAGAUCUUAGGGGAUGUUCCAUGGUUCACGAGUACGGUCAACUUAUAUUCAAGACCUAGUAGGAUGAUGCAAUGUUACUAAGCUUUUGAGGUUUUCCUAACCAAAAACAUUUACGCCAUGAUUGUUGUGGUGAUUAUGAUCCUCUCUAACUUCAAAAAAGAAAAAAUCAUGAUCCUCUCUCAUGCUGAAAAAAAUGUGAGAAAAAAAUGUGGAAUAUCUAGAUGAUUGAAAUAUAGAGGGGAAGGUUUUGAAAUUUGAAAUAAUAAAGGAGAAACACUAGUUAAGGAUUGAGAUUUUGAAACUUUUUUGUUGGCCAAAAGGUUGAGAUUUGAAACUUGAGAAAAUAGGAGGAGAAAUAGCGACGAUUCACUUCUUGUUGUUGGGCACAAAUGGAGUGAUGGUAAUUUUUUUGCUUACCUAGUUAAUUUAUUUGAUAUCAUCAUAAUUUUGUUUGAGAAGAUAUUAUCAUCAUCAUCAUUGUAUACCUAGCAACGGAUGCGGGGUGAUUUGGAUCUGAUCAAAGCUUUGUUAAGGAACAAGGUAGAGAAGAAUUUUAUUAAAAAAAAAGGUAGAGAAGAAUUUCAACAUAUAGUGUUUCUUUUGAUCCUAUCUUCACUUUUUGGAGUAUUUAUCAUGCUCGAAAGGUUCAUGACCUUGUUAACGUUGUAAUUAGUUAAAUAUAUUUUAUCAAAGAAAAAAAAAACUCAAACGUUAACUAUUAUCGAUAACUUGUAACCAAAAAAAAACUAUUAUGAUAAUUUUGAUCGAAUAUUCUUUGGACAAAUUUACAAUCGACAUCAUACUUUAUUUCUUUUGUAAAAAAAAAAAAAAAAAAACUUUAUUUCUUGCAAAUUGGGUCAAGAAUUGACAAUAUACUUUUUAUUUAUGUAAAAGAAAACAUUUUUUAUUUAUAUUUAUUGUUGAACUUAAAAGUUAAACAGACUAUCGAUUAACAUUCAGCUGUAAUUUUGUUUGUGCUUCCAACGAUUACGUUGUGGAAUAAAUUAUGUUUUUCGACAUAAGUUUUUUAAAUUGUUUAAAGAGUGUCAAUUGUAUAUUUGGAGCUACUUAACUAAGAAAUGCAUGAAUGAAAAGUAAAGCAGAACGAAAACGAUUGUGUUUUUUGAAAAUUAUACAAUUGUGGUAUUUGUAGGUAAAUGUUGAUCCUACUGGUCAAAACAUUGCGACUACAUAAUUUAUUCUUUCUCGACUAUUUGUACAAGUAGUGUGAUCCUUUUUAUUGCUAGAAUAUAUGGCGCCCUAUUUUUGACUUGGUCUUCCCUCUUUCACGAUGAUUUUUGUUUCCUUAUCCCAUAUGUACAUUUCAUCAUUAGAAAGCACCUCUGUGUUAGAGAGUGGUGUUAUAAACAUGAAAUAUGAGUAAAAUUAUAGGUUGUCAAGUUCCAUCGAAAUUGAUUAGUUGUUUAUACGUACCCAAAGCCUUGAUGGAUCUCUACUUGAGAAAAAAAUUGAUUAUUUUGUAUUCAACUAUUUGCUUUGGUCUAACCUUUAAUUUACUCGCUCUAAAUUCAAUUGUUUACCAUUUUUUUUUUUAGGUAGCUUAAUGGUCUGAGAUUCGAACCCCAACCCCUUACAUAUAAUAAUGCAUUGUCCUACCAACUGAGCUAUGCUCACGGGACAACAUCUUUUUCUUUUAGGCGUAAACAAAAUGUAAAUUAAAUCAAAUUAUUAAUAUUUUGAUAAAAAAAAAUCCACAAUGCAUGCCUAACAAACUAAACUACUCCCACUUGGUAAACGUUGGGAUAAUCGAUAAGCAAGAAUUAAGAUGAGCCUACCCUACGAUGCGUGGUUUGUAAGAGUGAGUCAGGUCAGCUAUGGUAUGAAUGAACUAUUGUAACUGCCAGGAAGCCAAGUGAAAAGGUCGAAAAACCAGCCAAUAAAGACUUUGCCUUAUUCAAAAUUCCAUUUGAUUUUCUAAAACCCACCCCCACCCCCACCCACGCGUUUUCUCUCUCUCUCUACACCGUAAUUCAUUCCUUCAAUUGAUUGAAAGAACAAUUAAUUUGUUUCCUAUUUCGUUUUUUUUUUUUUCAUUUUCUAUAAAUUCAAAUACGCGUCUCUUUUCUCUCUCUCUCUCAGAUCUAUCUAUCUAUCUAGGGUUACUUCUCCUCCGGCAAAGAAAAAGAAGAAGAAGAAGAAAUGGCGAAUCAGCAGAAUCUUGAGAAAAUGCAACUCCGGCAGAAUUACCGGAAUCUAUGGCACACUGAUCUCAUGAGAACUAUCCAGGUCGAUACUCCAUGUAAGCAAGCAAACACACUUUCAUCACUCUUAUUAUUAUUAUCAUUAUUUCAUUUUCCAUUUCUCUUAUCUAAUUACUCAAUUCUCCUCCGCGCAGAUUGCUGCUUAUCUUUGUGGUGGUAUGUCAUCCAAAACACUCUCUUCAGAUCUCAUCAUCAUUUAUUUUCACUCUCUAAUUUUUGUUAUUUUAGAUCUUGAAUUGCAUAUACGUUGACUUGCAUUGACUAUUCAAAUUACUCUAAUUACUGUUUGCUUUAUGGAAUCUCCGUACUCUGUUGAUUAUAGUUAUUAUUUCUUAGCUCCAACUCCUCUUAUAUGGUGUCAGUCAGGUGUUGUCAGAGACUUCCAAUACUGACAUACUAUGUGAUUAUAUUCAAAUAGUUCAUUUUCUCAAAUUAUUAUCGGUUUCAUCGGUGCUUCAUAUGUUAUUAUUAUUUGCUUAAUACACAUUGAGCAAUUUUUUGAUGGCCUGUAUUUAUGUUGAUUGUUACUUAUGAUUUAGUUGACAAUUUGUAAUGUAUAUUUAUGCUCAUCACCAGUUGAUCAAGCUGAAUAAUUUAUUCUUUUUCAACUUUAUUUGAUCAUAAUGUGCUUUCUGUCGCACCUUGAGCUUAUCAGCCUUCUCAGUCAUGCGAUAGUCAGGGUUAUUGAAAAAAGUAUGUUCCUUGAAUUUAGAUGAUCAUUCAGACUUAAUUCGAUAGUACACUGCGUCUGUUUGGUGUUUUGAGCUAGUUUCCAUUUCCAAGUAUCUCUUUGUACUUUGUUUAAAGAAUUCAUCCAAGACCCGAUUCAUUACUUGGUGAUUAGUACUUUUUAGCUCCAAUGCACUUUCAGUUGAUUGCAAUUUUACUCCUCCUUAAAAGGAGGCAUAAAUGUAAUCUAUUACUUAUUUUCCUAAUAGUAAUUUAAAUUUCUGUUGUCUCAUUAUAGUGCGCCAUGUGUAUCAUACUUGCUUCGCAAACGAGCCCUUUAUGAUGAUAUGUCAAGGUAAUUGGUGCUGUUUCUGCUUUUCCAAACUUCCAAAAUGAAUAUCAGUUUGGUUGUGUGAUAUAUAUUUAUCUUGUUUGUUCCAGAUACACAUGCUGUGCUGGUUACAUGCCCUGCAGUGGUAGGUGUGGAGAAAGUAAAUGUCCUGAAUUUUGCCUUUGUACUGAGGUAUAUAAACUUUUUACUUGUUUUCCUUAUUUUUUUUACAUACCUGAUAUCUGCAAAUGCUGCCAUGGGUGUUCUUCAAGGUCGACUUUCCCUCUGGCUCUUUUAGUCAGAGUAGGUUGGGGUUAUGAAAGUAUGAAGCCGUAGACAUUGCAUGAUUUAAGCCCAUGCAUAUAAUGUGGAAAUAAUAGUCAAAGACAUAUAAUAUGACCAGGGCAGGAAGUAAUAGAGAAAGAAAAUACAUGUAUAUAGGGUUGUGGUUAGUCUAGUAAAUUGUUUCAAAUUUACAAUAUUAAGCUUGUUGCUGCUGUUUUUAUUGUUGUAUUUGGGAUAGUGAAUGUGAAAAACAACAACAAUCAAACCUCACCUCACUAGGUGGGUUGGCCACAUGAAUCAAAUAUUGCCAUAAUGGUCUAUCAUAGAUCAUGUCUUUUUCCAAACACUGACCUCUAAGUCUUGAUAGUUUCUUCUAUAUAGUCGGACUUUCACCUCUUAUGAAUAAGAGUGAUCUACGUGUUAUGGCUUUGAGGUAUUGCAGAAUACAACAAACUCACCCUCGUGAUGUAACGAGAGAUUAAAACACUCCUAGUGUUAAUCUCUGCCACAAUCCCAAAUACUUCCAAUUUUUAUCGGUGCCAUACGAUUGAGUGUAUCGGUCAAAUGUGUCAUCUGAUUUAUGCUUGACCGUUUAAAUCCACCUCUCAUCUAUCUCCUUUCCUUUCAAGGUCGUUUAUUUCCUCAUUUAUAGCCUUACCUCUGAUUUAUGUUGCCUAACUGGCCUUAUUUUUCACACUCCCCAACCUUUUCUCUUCAAUAUAGAUAAAAUUGUCAAUAUUCUGUGAUUGGUGACCCAAUGGGACUAUCAAUUGGUCUGUUCCUGGUGCACCAGCAUCAGAAUGUGGUGGGAUCGUGAUCGAAUCUCCCGCGAUUUGAGUCUCAGUUUUUGCCACAUCCAAUUUCCGCUUUGCCUCCACAACAUAUGUACCAUUGUAUGGUUCUUGUUGAUGCCAUGUUCAGUUUUAGAUACGCCAGUUUGGAGGAUGGUGCAAAGCUGGACCAGCAUACUCGGUGACCAAAUAUCGGUCCCAUCAUAACCACAAUUCAACUUGUCGUCAUUCCUCAUCUUUAUUUAAAGAACAUGAUUGCUGCUCCCUUUCUCCUCCUUGGUCGUUACAUAGGGUGUGUUUGUUUCAAGUUAUAAUUGUUAAUUCCCGGGAAUAAAAUGGUAGGAAUGUAUAUGCCUACGUUUGUUACAAGUUUACUAAAUUUUAUUCCCGGGUAUAAAAUGUUCCUUGGAAUAGAAAAAAUUUCCCGAGGAAAAGGGUGGGAAUAAAGUUCCUAUGGAGAUAGAAUAAAUUCAUAAAUAGUUUACCUAUUAUAAUCCCUAUUUUUAUGGUUUCUAGGAAUAUUAUAAAGCUAACCAAACAUAUUUUUCCUAAAUUCCUUGGAAUAAAUUUGGUAAACUUGAAACAAACACACCCAUAGUUCCUCUUCAGCUUUUCCAUUGAGUGUUCUAAAGUCCCGGUCUGUGAUUCAAUCUCUGUUCUGACUUGUUUCAAGGAAAUCAACUUGUCAAACAUAUUGCUAAAUCUGUCUGUUCUACACCAAUACUUGGACAAUGGACACACGCUCCAUACUUAACACCAAAUACUUGGACAAUGGACACACGCUCCAUACUUAACACCAAUACUUGAACAAUGGACACUCACUCCAUACUCAUAAAUGCCCACUGUUAAUAUGGUAGAUUUUUAACAACCGCCAUAGGCUAUUUGCGAAGGGUUGUCCGCCAUUGAGUUGCGGUACAAUAGGCUGCAAUGGUUUGUUUAUAUGGUAGAUUUUGAGACAUCUGCCAUCAACAACAUUGAUUGCAAUUUAUCAGGUAAUUGGAUUUUUGUUCUGCAAAGAACUUUUGCCUUUGACAACCCGCCCAAGAGGGUCAGUUCCCUUGAAGUCAGGCAGCUCGGCCUUCUUGGCCCACAUGUCCUCUAUCUCUGGUAUUACAAGCCCUCCCUUUGAAACCGGCUGGUCGGAUAAAUUGACAAAACCCGAAUUAAGAGAGAAGUGAAAAAUCGUAUUAUUGAUUGAAAAACUAUUACAGAAGAUUGAUCCGUGUAAUCCCAGAGCAAAGCUUCUCAAAGAAGAGAUAAAAAUCCCUAAACUGUGGGAAACUGUAGAUAAACUUGACCAAGAUUUAAUAUUUGAAAGGAAACCUGAGGUUUUAAGCUGGAUUUUGAGAAAGCUGGAGGAUCAUUUCUGUUGACAAUUGAUGAACAAGGUUUUAGAUAGAAAUACCGUUUGUUCAAGAUGGAGAAUGGAGAAUCUGGACCAUGGAGUUUCUUUUCACCGGUUUUUAUGUCAUUGUUGAUAAUGAACUAAAUUAUUUAUUUCAUGCUCAAAUGAGGGCGUAGGAUUGAAAAUACCCUUUCAGGUGGUGGAUAAGUAUGUUGUUGGUUUUCAUUUAUUAACCCGUUGUUCAACUAUAGUAUUUAACCUUUCUUUUCAUUUUAGGUUGUUGACUUGACUCAUCAUAGUUGAAAAGAUGAAAAUGUACUGAAAAUAUAGUUAAAGUGAAAGACGUCUCUAUUUGAAUAUAGUUGUAAAAGGGCCUCGGAGCUAUAAGUGAAACAAUUUUUUGGACUUCAUUUGGGGUCUGUUUGUAGGAAUUAGGAUUCCCUAACUGUGGGUCUCUACAUUUGGGGUGACUUUAGGCUAAAAUAGUAAAGAGAAAGUAGAAAAGUGUGGAGAAAUUUAGAGGGAAAUGAUGAAAGAGAAAAAUAGAUUAGAGAGAUAGAGAGAAGGGUAGGUACCAUUCCCUCUUUAAAAUUAGUGAAUCCUCACCCUUGUUUGUAGACUUUCUGCACUUCUUGUGCAUUGAAUACAAUUCAUUUCUCUUUUGCAAAAAAAAAAAAAACAGUAUCUUUACCAUUAACUAAAGAUCAGACAGGUUGCCUUAAAGCUAGUUUUUUGUUUCACUUGAAUUUUCUGUGGUUAGUUUAUAUAAACUGUCAAUUAACUAUUAUGCAUUGUUGUUUCAGGUUUUUCUCUGCUUUGGAAAUUCAGUGGCCUCAACUCGCUUUCUGUUGCAAGAUGAAUUUAACAUUCAAACUACGCAGUGUGAUAAUUGCAUUAUUGUACUCUCUCUUCCCUUCCCACUCUCAUCUCUUAAUUUCAUUCAUACUCACAUCAUAGACUGAUACACAUUGAAAUACAUUUUUUUAUUGAUGUUAUAUUAAAUCAUAUGCAAUUUUUUUGUUUAGGGUUUCAUGCUUUGCCUUAACCAAGUUGCAUGCAUAUUCUCUAUUGUUGCCAUGAUUGUGGGGAGUGAGGAAAUUUCUGAGGCUUCUCAAAUACUAUCUUGUUUGGCUGACCUUGUUUACUGCUCGUAAGACCUACUCUAUCUCAAAUACUGUAAUUGAUUGUGCACGUUAUAGUGAAUGGUUUUGUACUAAACUUAUGUUUCUUUUGUUUGUAGGGUGUGUGCGUGCAUGCAGGUAAGUAUGUUACUUAUUACCGGCAAUUGGUUGAUCAAUAUUUAUUUUGAGAUUAUGAUAUUAAUUCAACAAAUUUUAUUUGCAGACUCAACACAAGGUUGAAAUGGACAAGCGUGACGGGAAGUUUGGGCCGCAACCAGCGAUGGCAGUGCCUCCUGUACAGCAAAUGUCCCGCAUUGAUCAGCCAGUUCCACCUUCUGUUGGGUAUGCACCUCAACCAGCAUAUGGGCAGAAUUAUGGUUAUCCACCUGCCCCACCACCAGCUCAGGGCUAUCCCGCUACUGGUUACCCCUCUGCUGCUUAUCCUCCACAACAAGGAUAUCCCCCUACUGCUUAUCCUCCACAAGGAUAUCCCCCUUCUGGUUAUUCUAGGUGAUAAAUAAAUUUAGAGCGGUUUGUGUUGGUCUAGAUACCUAUUGAUUGUUUCAGGAACCGUUGUUUUCUUCAAUUUCGUACAUUCAAAGCUAUAUCAAGCAGUCAUAUAUGUGUGGUGAAAAUGCACUUGCUAUAUAGAUUUGACUAUUUUGCAUUUUCCCCCCAAGUUUGGAUUUCUGACAUGAGAUUACAGUUCCUAUCGGUUUGUCCAUUUUUAUACUAUGACUUCGAUUUAUAUAUUGGUGUUUAUAUAAUCUCGUUUGGUUAUGUGCAAUAUGGUGUAAUGUGCUGUUCCAAGUAUUUCAAAACCCGUGAUUUAAUGUGUGAUAUUAGCCUCACAGCCCCAAGUGGCCAAGAAAUAUGUGCAACAAUAGAAUGUUGUUGACAAAUUCACUUUAGACUUUAGAGUGUAAAAUGAAUAAUAUCCAUUGUUAAUAAAUCAAAGGUAGAUAUUAUGAAUGUAUUAUAACAAGUGACAAGCUUGUUGAAAUAAUGACCCUUGAUCUAUCCGGAAAAAAAAAUGACCCUUGACUUUUUUACAUGGUUUUUUCUAGAUUAUCUUUGAAGAAUGGUGGGUAAUUUACCCACCAACCAAUGAAAAUGAACAAUUUGUUGGUGGGGUCAAGAUAGUUCAUGGAUACCACUUAAAAAUGUGCUUAUGUGACCAAUGUGUAUUGGUUGGGGUAAAUUACCCACUAUUCCUCCAUGGAUACCCUAGUUGUCACCUUUUUACAUUAUACUGUACAUUAUGUCCUCAAACGUUGCAAGAUCCGCCACAUCAAUAUAAGGUAUCACACCUACAUGGUUUCGUCCUUGUAGAACUGCAUGCGGUACGUAAUACAUUGCAGUUGAGAAUCAACAUUGCUCCCAAUUCUACAAGUGUUGCUAUCAGAAUAUCAGUUUGCAUCCGGUUUUUCGCCAUCUUUUCUUCUAAUUUCGAUAUUAAAAUAUUUUUACAAAUAGCAAAAGUAAUGUAAACAUUAAAUUUUGUCAAUUCUCCCUAAUUAAAUUUGGAAGAAAAAAAAAACUCAGAACACCAAAAGAAUAAAAAAUGAAAAAUAAUAUACAAGUUAGAUUUUACAUUAUUAGUCCUUUUCUAACUAGUUUUUAAAAUUAGUAUAGUAAAUUAUAAAUCCACCUAUUAAUCCAGUCAAAAAAACUCAACAACUUUGAAUUCAAAUUUUCUCUCAAAAAAAAACUUUGAAUUUAAAUUUAUUUUGGUGUAUAAUUGAAUAGCAUAUGCAUAAUCCUUUUAAAAUUUGAAAAAUAUAAACAUUGCGUAAACCUCUGAAAAUUAAAAUAAUUAUGGCAACAAGAAAAAUUUAGUAAAAAAAUAUUGAUAAAAAAUAUAGUAGUUCAAGUAAAUCAAUUCGAGACAAUAUUGCUAGAUUUUCAAAGUAUAGUAUUCCUUCUGCUAAAAACAACUAUUCCUUACAUUUCAAAUUUUAUUGAAAACUUCUUUGUAAUUCAUAGCUGUCCAUGCAAAUAGCUUGAGGAACUAUUUAUAGUGUUUGUCCUCUUUAUUUCACCACUAAUCUCUUCUCUUCCGAUGUUAUGGAAAAACAAAGAAGGAAACUAAACAUGGAAAACUCAUUUGGCCUAGCUAACUCUUCUGGUUAAUAUGCUUUUAUGGCUUCCCUGAAGUGUUAGCAGUUUCUAAUAUGCAGUGACAAUGCAAUUCGGAUACCAUCACUUCAAUCUUGAUAAGACAUGCAUGGUAGUUGGUCCAAGAAAAACACAUGAAUACAUUCAACAGACAUGCAUGUCCAAAAUGCACCCAAAUAUAAGUUUGCAAAGCUGGUGUCUGCAUGACAGAGAGAUAUUAUACACAAGCAAUCACAUAUUUGGAUAUGUUCCACUAGAAUGAGCAGUGAGAGGCGUUCAAAUAAUAGUAUAUGUGUAUGAUACCCGUUAAAACAAAGGGAAACAAACACAUGAAUAUAUACAUAAGGGAAACAAACACGUGAAUAUAUACAUAUAUGCAUUAGGGGAAUUCUAUGAACACAUCAAAUAAAUUCUAUGAAAAGAAGAAUUGUCUUGAGCCAUAAAUCAAUUCAGCUGGACUGGAAAGGAAUCAAAUCUUAAGAAGAAAAAAAACAUAAACUUUGAGAUCCAUGUUAUAUCUCAAUAACGUGGUUAUCGAAUCGAGAUUCAAAUGGAUCGGAAGACCUAUUUGCUGAAUUCUUGAUCUAAUCUAUCAUGUUAAGAAUGGUAUUGUUAAGAUACAUGAUCAAUAAAAUAUGAUAUUUUUAAGUAAAAACAAGUGACUUUGCAAAAAUAUAAGUUGAUACAUGAACCUCAAAAGAAUUCAAGAUUCAAGUCAAAAACAAAAGGACAAAAAUAGUGGCUGUUAUACAAAAUUAUCGGGUAAAGUUCAAAACACUCAAGUACUUGAUAAAAACACCCAUCAUUAGCCAGAUAUAACAAGAAAUGACAGUGUAGAUAAGCACAUGAGUUUAUUGGGAAAACACGGUUUGGACCCAAAUCAAAAUGGCCAAUCAACGAUUGUAAAAGUAAGCUAAACCAGAACUAUGAUCAUUAUUAUAAAACAAACAGAAAAUUAUGGAAUAAUCAUGAUACUUACCAUCAAUAAGACCUUAAUCGUGUGAUUGUUGAUGCAGAUCCUUUUUGAGUCGGCACUUCAGAGUCCCAACAAAAUAGGGUGACCUAUACAAUAACCUAAAUUUAAUACAGCAUACAACAGAAUCUUAUCUGGAAAGCAUAAGGAUAAUUCUGUCAAAAUCUCUAACUUAUAUAAAUAUUAGAGACUGACAUUAUGUUUAUUCAAUCGCGUCAAAUGUAAGAACAAGAACACCAGAAAGAACCAUAUUGUUGAUUAUAAAAGGCAAAUAAAACUUUAAUGAUAUACUCUAAUAUAAUAUCUAUUAACCAUGUCGUGAGUCUUCCUACAUCUACAAAAGAGUUUCAUAACAAAGCACCCAAAAUAGAAGAAAACAAGUAUUUCAAAACAUGUGUCUCAGACCAAGUAAAACCUGAAAUCAGCUAGCUACAGUGGUAGAAGAGCUUUGUUUAGUACCAUAAUAACAUUGAUAGUAAUCUACAAUCCUGUUUUGCUUUUCUUGAAGAUCUGAAAAACUUCCUAACUGAUUGAACUCAAAAAGAAGAUACAAUUUUUCUUAUAUGCAUUGUUUAUUAAAAACCUCAAUGGGUGCAGGUACAACAUGUAAUAAUAAUUCAUAGAAGACAUCCUGAAAAGUAAAAAAAAAAAGUCAAGAGAAAGAAAAUUCUGAUUAUACCAGUUUAGCAUAGCCCUCAUUCUCUUCAAAAGUAUUGCUAACUCUGACCUGAAGUCAACAACACAAAUGAAUCAAAUACAUACAAUACAAUGAUGAAAUUCCCGUUCGAGCAGACAGCUAGGAGUGGAGAAUAUAUUCUGAAUAUUGGAUUCUGAAAAGUUGACUCUGGAAGUACAAGAGGCGUUCAGUAAUUAUAAGGUCAGUGUAGCCUAACUGAUUGGAUUCAGUUAGUGAAACUUUGCAACUCACUUGUACAACAGAAACGAACUUUGUUAUUUGCUAUCAGACAAUGCUAACUAACUAUUAACUGACUGUUGCUAUAUACUCUACUAAGUGCUUACAUAUUCAACACGAGCAACAAAGACAGAGUAAGAAUGAAGUUUAUGAUCAGCAAUGAUGUUUGUCGCAUAUAAAUGAAACUUUGUAAGAUUCUUGUCUUAUAACUGUUUCCAUCGCAUAAGCAACAGAGACCAAGUAUGAAUGAAGGUGAAGAUCAAUAACGAUGAAUGUAACGUAUAAUAACGGGGUGUGUGUAUGUGUAUGCGCGUGCGCAAGUAUAUGGGCAUUUCUUUUGCUGGGGACUGGUAAGUAGCCACCACCACUAUUUCCUCAAGACAAAAACCCAACUUAUUUCCUCUUGACACAAAACCUGUGAGUAAUUUAUAUAGUAAGUGAAAACAUAAGAAAUAGGAAUAAUCAUAGGGAGAAAAGAAAGAAGCAGAAGCCCCUUGCAUGGUGGCACACAUUUAUAGAAAUUAAGUGCUCACCUCUUUUACACACAACUUUGAUUAAAUAAAUAAUCAUGUGUAAGAGCAUUAAUGCAGAUAAAAUUUAAGCCAAAUGACAGCUAAAACAAGUUUCCAUUGUCAUCAUUGUUAAGUAAUCAACAUUCAGAGCUUACCUUCCCACCUUCGGUGGUUUAGGUGGAAGGUAUCAUGUAUUGCCUCCCUUCAUUGCUGAAAGUAUUAUGAGAAAGACGUUUGACAUCCAUUUUUAGAAAUUUAUCUUCUAUCAAAGAAUAGUACCUAUCAUUUCUUUUACAUAGUGAUAUAGGUAGCAUGUUAAGCAUUCAACACCGGUACCAACACUAAUAAUCUCGGGCUGGCAACCUAUUUGAAAAUGUAACAAAAUCACAGCGACAAUAAUUUAAAGAGUCUUGCUAAUAAGUAAGGAUUCAAAAAUGGAAACAAUUGAUAAAUUUCAUGUAGAAAAAGUUGUUUUUUGAUGUUUGUGUUGAAUACACAAAUCCCAAGUAAAAUUUCUACUUUAAACUUUUUAUCAAGUGCCCUAAUGACACUUGUUAGCAUUUCCCCAAUAAAUCAUAAAUUUACACGUACAGUUGAAGUUUGAAUUCAGCUUGAGUGUAAUGGUUUCAAAAUGACCACAAAAGAAAUACAAAAAUUGGAGCUUAGAUAAUAAAAGCUAAUCAUUUUGACUUAGUUCAAGCCUACUACUAAGUUAUUGAAGUUUGAAGUGAUGAUGGAUUAGAGGAAACACGAUGUCCUUUGACAAAAAGUUUCAGUUUUUCUAUUUCACCAAUAGCGGAAAGCCAUUCAGUAAGAAUCUCCAUGGUUACAUAGUCAGGAUUGCAAGCAUCUUCCACCAUCCUAUCCAUAAGUUCAAAUGCUUUGUGCAGCAUUCUCUUAUCCUGGACCCCCUUGAAAAUAGCAUUAUACGUGGUUGUAUUAGGUUGAACCCCCUUUACUUUCAUGUCAUCCAUCAAAGAAACAGCCCUUUCAACAUCGUUGUUUUUGCAUAGAGCGUCUAUUAAAAUGUUGUAUAUCACAGUGUUGGGAGGAACCAUAGAUGUAGAACACAUUUCCCCAAAAAUCUUCAUGGCCUCAUCAAUGUUCUUUUUUAAACAAUAUGCAUGUAUGACUGCCCCAUAUGUGACAACAGAGGGCUUAAGACCCUCUUUAAUCAUCUUUUUCAUUACCUUGGUAGCAGUUGCAAAAUCUCCAGCUUUGCCAAGGUAAGAAACCAAAGUGUUAUAGGUGACAAUGUCGGGCUUGACUCCAUUUUCUUCCAUUUCGUUGAGCAUUUCAUAAACUCGCUCCAGCUUCUUCUUCUUGCAGAAUCCACUGAUGAGAACAUUAUAGCAAUGUCUAUCAAGGCCAAACCCAGCCCGUUUCAACUGCGACACAACAACACUAGCAUCACCCAUCCUUCCAGCAAUGGUUAAACCAGAUAUCAAACAAUAGUAAACAAUUGCAUCCGGUGAGCAUCCAGAACUCAACAUCUCAUCAAAAUAUUGCAUGGCUUUAUCAAUGUUGUUCACUCCACAGAAGGCAGAUAUCAACGCAGUGUAUGUAACAGCAUUUCCUUUAAGGCCCUUGCCUUUCAUCUCAUUGAAAAAUUCAACUGCACUAAAGACCCUUCCAAUUUUGCACAUGCCAUCAACCAAUGUAUUGAGGGUGACCACAUUUGGCUGUAUUUGUUCCUCAUUCAUCAAGCCGAAUAGCUCACGUGCUUUAUCAAUGUUGCCAGCUUUGCAGAACCCGUCAAUCAAGCAAUUAUAUGUAAUAGUGUUUGGCUUAUUUUUCUUCUCGGUUUUCAUCUCUUCCAACAAAUUCAAACCCUCUUCUUCCCUCCCAACUUUACAAAGUCCAUUGAUCAAAGUAUUAUACAAGACCACAUCAGGUUCAACACCAAUCCACUUCUUUUCUCUUCCUUUACCUCUCAAUUUAUCAAACACCCCCAGCGCUUCGUCGAUCCUCCUAGACUUGCAAAAUUGAUUAAUAAGAAUCCCAAAGGUUAUGACACUGGGAUGUAUUUUCAUUUCUUCCAUCUCUGCCAACAGUUCAUUCAUCUUGUGAAUGUCUCUCUCCCGUCCAAGCCCUGUUAACAAGGCAUUGCAAGAUGCAGCUUCAACUGUACCACCCAACUUAAUCACAGCAUGCAAAAGUUCCCACGCCACACCAUUCUUCCGAUUCCCGCACAGCUUGGAUAUCAACUGAGUAAGCUUAAACGUAUCAGGGAAAACUCCAUAUUCACAAAGCUUAGUAACCAACCCUACAAUUUCCUCAUCAGCAAAGCCUUUUCCGGGGCGGUCCCUCUUCACCAACUCACCAAAAACAAUUUGACCAGUGAAAUCAUCAGGAGGAAAUCCGGUAUCCGGUUGAAGCAAUUGGUCAAGCACCUGGCGGGCAUCAUCAAUACGACCGGAUUUGAGCAAACCCACCAAUAAAUGGUUGCAAAUUCGUGAACUUUUCAAAGACGGGUCAAGUUGGUUGAAGUGAAGAAGUGAUUCGUCCAACGUUCUGGCAUUUCUUAAGUACUGGAAAAGAAACAUUGGCACUAAUUGACAAUAAGAAUUUAUAUAAAGAAUUGAGAUGAGAAAAGGGAAAGGUUGGAUGCAAUGUAAAUACAUACUCCUUUAUCGUCGGGAUUCGCCAAAGGUGGCUUGGUGAGCAACUGUGGUUGAGAGUGAGAAGAGUGGGAAACAUAAGUGAAACUUGGUUGGUGCAAAAAUGGCAGAGCCACGCCAUAUCGGGUUGUGAAGAUGGCAGAGUAAGAAGAGUAGUGUAGUACGGGCAUUCGAAUUCGCAUAAUUGGAAGUGGCAUAGUGAGAUUAUUUAUGAGCUGCACUGCAAGGAGAAAAUGGUGAAGAAAUUUGCAAUAAAAUAACGAAAUGCUAACCUAAUAAAUAAAUAAAUUCACACAGAAUAGAAUAACAUGGGAAUAUGCAUUUCAAACGAAGAAAUGUAAAAAGAGUGCGUGGUGCAAGUACCGAUUGCUGUUGAGAGUGGUGAAGAAAUGACGAGCGGUGCGGCGAUUCUGAAGUGAAUAUGCGGGAGGAGGAGGAGGAGGACGAGUGUUUGUCUUCACUAGUAUCUCCUGACUUAUUUUAAGCCGUUGGAUUCAUCCAAAGACUUGGAAAUAAAAAUAGUUAAAAAAUAAUUAUCGAGUUACGCACAGUUUGUGACGACCGCGGCCUGACCUCGGAUCGGAUGGGUCACUGCGUUUAUCGGCGGCCAACAGAAAAUGAAGCAAGAGGUUGCAAUGCAACUUGCACGGAACCAAGCAGAGAGGUGAAGAAGUCCUUGAAAGAUGGAAGCGAUGAUCUAAGUUUCUCUUUCCUCUCAAUUGCCCCUUCUUUCCCUUUCUGUCAUGAGACCCUUGGAUAAAUCUCAUGGUUAAAAUUGCAUUUUUUAGUUCAGAUUAUGAGAAUUAUUGUUCCAUGUAGCACACGAGUAAUUUACGUUUUUGCUCCCUCGACAACUGCCGAGGAAUUAAAAAUCCGGCUGCAGUUAACUGCGAAAACGUCGGCAGUUAUGCAAACAGUAAGCUCUGCAUGAUUCUAAAACAUGUCCAAGCCAUUUUUCAGUCAGUUUUAACCUGUAAUUAAAGCAGAGCAUUUCGAAAUGCAAAAUAAUUCAUACAACAUUGAAUCUCGGACAUAAACAAGACAAAUACAAUAUCUUUUACAAUUGUUCAUAAUUAAAUCAAACCGACAUUUGAUUCAAAUUACACAAACGUUUGAAAUUCAUCGUAACGGUUCAAAUCACAAAAAACUAUUGGCGUAAAUGCACAACUUAAUUAAACCAACAUUUUUAUACAUUAAACAAAGUAAAAAAUCCCAUGAAAUUAAAAGUAAUGUCAUCAAAGUACAAAUAUACAAAUCAAUGUCAUGAAAACACCAAAACUAAAAAACAAGUCCUAAAAAACAAAAUACUACUGCUGGUCUUGGUCCUGGUCCUGCUGAUGGUGCCUCCUCCUCGGCCUCUGGCCUCGCCUCCUGGUCAAAAUCGGCACGAUCUGCUCCCUCAUAUGGCUCAUGGCCUGAAACCACUGUUGUAACGCCCUAGUUGUUAUAAUUAAUUAUUUUANNNNNNNNNNNNNNNNNNNNNNNNNNNNNNNNNNNNNNNNNNNNNNNNNNNNNNNNNNNNNNNNNNNNNNNNNNNNNNNNNNNNNNNNNNNNNNNNNNNNNNNNNNNNNNNNNNNNNNNNNNNNNNNNNNNNNNNNNNNNNNNNNNNNNNNNNNNNNNNNNNNNNNNNNNNNNNNNNNNNNNNNNNNNNNNNNNNNNNNNNNNNNNNNNNNNNNNNNNNNNNNNNNNNNNNNNNNNNNNNNNNNNNNNNNNNNNNNNNNNNNNNNNNNNNNNNNNNNNNNNNNNNNNNNNNNNNNNNNNNNNNNNNNNNNNNNNNNNNNNNNNNNNNNNNNNNNNNNNNNNNNNNNNNNNNNNNNNNNNNNNNNNNNNNNNNNNNNNNNNNNNNNNNNNNNNNNNNNNNNNNNNNNNNNNNNNNNNNNNNNNNNNNNNNNNNNNNNNNNNNNNNNNNNNNNNNNNNNNNNNNNNNNNNNNNNNNNNNNNNNNNNNNNNNNNNNNNNNNNNNNNNNNNNNNNNNNNNNNNNNNNNNNNNNNNNNNNNNNNNNNNNNNNNNNNNNNNNNNNNNNNNNNNNNNNNNNNNNNNNNNNNNNNNNNNNNNNNNNNNNNNNNNNNNNNNNNNNNNNNNNNNNNNNNNNNNNNNNNNNNNNNNNNNNNNNNNNNNNNNNNNNNNNNNNNNNNNNNNNNNNNNNNNNNNNNNNNNNNNNNNNNNNNNNNNNNNNNNNNNNNNNNNNNNNNNNNNNNNNNNNNNNNNNNNNNNNNNNNNNNNNNNNNNNNNNNNNNNNNNNNNNNNNNNNNNNNNNNNNNNNNNNNNNNNNNNNNNNNNNNNNNNNNNNNNNNNNNNNNNNNNNNNNNNNNNNNNNNNNNNNNNNNNNNNNNNNNNNNNNNNNNNNNNNNNNNNNNNNNNNNNNNNNNNNNNNNNNNNNNNNNNNNNNNNNNNNNNNNNNNNNNNNNNNNNNNNNNNNNNNNNNNNNNNNNNNNNNNNNNNNNNNNNNNNNNNNNNNNNNNNNNNNNNNNNNNNNNNNNNNNNNNNNNNNNNNNNNNNNNNNNNNNNNNNNNNNNNNNNNNNNNNNNNNNNNNNNNNNNNNNNNNNNNNNNNNNNNNNNNNNNNNNNNNNNNNNNNNNNNNNNNNNNNNNNNNNNNNNNNNNNNNNNNNNNNNNNNNNNNNNNNNNNNNNNNNNNNNNNNNNNNNNNNNNNNNNNNNNNNNNNNNNNNNNNNNNNNNNNNNNNNNNNNNNNNNNNNNNNNNNNNNNNNNNNNNNNNNNNNNNNNNNNNNNNNNNNNNNNNNNNNNNNNNNNNNNNNNNNNNNNNNNNNNNNNNNNNNNNNNNNNNNNNNNNNNNNNNNNNNNNNNNNNNNNNNNNNNNNNNNNNNNNNNNNNNNNNNNNNNNNNNNNNNNNNNNNNNNNNNNNNNNNNNNNNNNNNNNNNNNNNNNNNNNNNNNNNNNNNNNNNNNNNNNNNNNNNNNNNNNNNNNNNNNNNNNNNNNNNNNNNNNNNNNNNNNNNNNNNNNNNNNNNNNNNNNNNNNNNNNNNNNNNNNNNNNNNNNNNNNNNNNNNNNNNNNNNNNNNNNNNNNNNNNNNNNNNNNNNNNNNNNNNNNNNNNNNNNNNNNNNNNNNNNNNNNNNNNNNNNNNNNNNNNNNNNNNNNNNNNNNNNNNNNNNNNNNNNNNNNNNNNNNNNNNNNNNNNNNNNNNNNNNNNNNNNNNNNNNNNNNNNNNNNNNNNNNNNNNNNNNNNNNNNNNNNNNNNNNNNNNNNNNNNNNNNNNNNNNNNNNNNNNNNNNNNNNNNNNNNNNNNNNNNNNNNNNNNNNNNNNNNNNNNNNNNNNNNNNNNNNNNNNNNNNNNNNNNNNNNNNNNNNNNNNNNNNNNNNNNNNNNNNNNNNNNNNNNNNNNNNNNNNNNNNNNNNNNNNNNNNNNNNNNNNNNNNNNNNNNNNNNNNNNNNNNNNNNNNNNNNNNNNNNNNNNNNNNNNNNNNNNNNNNNNNNNNNNNNNNNNNNNNNNNNNNNNNNNNNNNNNNNNNNNNNNNNNNNNNNNNNNNNNNNNNNNNNNNNNNNNNNNNNNNNNNNNNNNNNNNNNNNNNNNNNNNNNNNNNNNNNNNNNNNNNNNNNNNNNNNNNNNNNNNNNNNNNNNNNNNNNNNNNNNNNNNNNNNNNNNNNNNNNNNNNNNNNNNNNNNNNNNNNNNNNNNNNNNNNNNNNNNNNNNNNNNNNNNNNNNNNNNNNNNNNNNNNNNNNNNNNNNNNNNNNNNNNNNNNNNNNNNNNNNNNNNNNNNNNNNNNNNNNNNNNNNNNNNNNNNNNNNNNNNNNNNNNNNNNNNNNNNNNNNNNNNNNNNNNNNNNNNNNNNNNNNNNNNNNNNNNNNNNNNNNNNNNNNNNNNNNNNNNNNNNNNNNNNNNNNNNNNNNNNNNNNNNNNNNNNNNNNNNNNNNNNNNNNNNNNNNNNNNNNNNNNNNNNNNNNNNNNNNNNNNNNNNNNNNNNNNNNNNNNNNNNNNNNNNNNNNNNNNNNNNNNNNNNNNNNNNNNNNNNNNNNNNNNNNNNNNNNNNAAUAGAUUGAGAAAUCAUCGAUUGAACGAUAAGAUCGACUCUUGAAUCAUUCAAUAGUUUGAGACAUCGACCAUUGAAUGAUACAAUUGAUUUCACAAUAUUGUUUGGACACGAAUGGUGUUGUCGAGGGAUACGUGAUAAUAUCAAAGAAAAGCUAGAAUCCAUGUAUGAUCAUUAGGUUACGUGCGACGCUCGAUCAAGGAACUCUAAUCCUAACAAGUUUUACGCCCUAUUAAUCUCAAUUUUAUCAUUUGCAAUUCAGUUACUAAAACAAACAAUCAACUAUCAUUUAACUUGAAAAGAUAUUUGGUGUCAAACGGUCCGCGAUAUCGCACUAGUCCCUGAGGAGACGAUAUAAAUACUUACUAUUGUUUGAUGCAAAAAUACUACAUCAAAUGUGCAUUUAUAUAUUCGUUGUGAUGGUGGUGUAUUGAUGUUGUUGCUUGUGGCUUAUACAUAUAUAUGUUUACAAGAUGAUGUGUUUGAUGAUUAGGGUGUUAGAUUCAAUUGAAGAUUUUAAUAUCUAUAUUUAUUGUUGUGAAUCUCACCCCUUCUGCUUGAAAAUGUUGCCCUUCCUAUGUGUAACUUGCAGGUGAUCCUGAGUAGUCGGUGGUGGCUCAAUGUCGUGUCUAGGGCUCUGAUACGUGGGAGGGGAACUAUUAUUUAUAUUUGUUGUUGUUUCUUUCCAUGUAUCAAAUUUUGGAAUUGUGAUGUGGAACCUUUAUUGUCUUUUGAACAAUGUUGUUGAAUUAUGCUAAGGCCUUUAAUGCCAUAGGCUGUUGUUGGAUGUUAUGAGGUUAUGGAUUUGAAAACUAUACUGUUGCUAUGUUUUCAUAAAUAAUAAGUUGCUUGAUUAAAUAGUUUUAUUUUCUAUUUAAGAAAUUUUGAAAUGAAGUGUAGCAUGCACGUUGUGGAUUACUCUGAUGUAAAAAUGUUAUUUAAUUGCUUUUGGGUAACGGGGUGUUACAACUGUUGAGGGCUUAUGACCUCCUCCUGGCCCAUCUGUGCAUCAGGGUAGGCAACAGCGGCACUAACCAUGUCAUAGGUGUCAGGCGAGCUUCUCGCCUCGUACCGCUCCCACUGCUCUGCAGUGAUUUGCUCUUCAUUUGCAGGCCUUGGAAGAUCUCCUGGAAGAGGUGACAAAAUCUGAGGGUGAGACACCCUAGUGUACCAUAGCACAUAGCCAUCUGCCAUGCCUGCUCACCCCAAUCGUCUGCCUUAAGCGUGUCAGUGCGGAAGUCGACGAACGCCUGCACAAUGUAAGGCGGUGGCAGGUCUACAACAUCUGUCGGAUGUCUGGGGAUGGUCUGGACGUAUCCGUACUGCCUCAAAACACUCUCUGGCAAGUGACGGUACACCCUACGAACAGCGCACAUAAUCCAGCCAGAAUACCAUAAAAUCUCCUCAAAGUCAUGGAUCUCCCUGUGCUCUUUGUACGGCCUCCAGCAUACGUCAUCAAACUGUAUACGAUCAAGCAGUGACUGAUACGUGACCCCCUCCCUGUAACACUCCUAUUUCUAUUAAAGCAAUUAAAAAUGUGAAUAAUACAUUUAUUCAAGAAAUAGAGGCUACGCCAUCGUACAAAAUUCAAAACCAAUAAACAUGUAUAUAAACUUCAACAGUCGCAGCGGAAUAUAAACCAGAGUAAUUCAAAUAUACAUGUCAUGAACCAAUUAUUACAUCAACAUAGAUGAAUCUCAAAAAUUCCAACAUACGGGUAAGUCUCCAAUCAUAACAAAAUCCAAAGUAAAAGAUAAUCUAGACCGACACAACGAAGCCUAGAUCAGAGCCGACUAAACAUUAAACACCGAUAUCGGAGAAAGCUCAUGAUAUCCACCAAGCACAAAAACUCACCGAGCAACUAACCCUGCACAACGUCUACCCAUCCAUACAGACAGGUAGGCGGUUAAAACCACUUGGGUUAAGUAUUACAUCAUCAUAAUCCAAAUAACAGUUAACAUGUAUAUUUCAAUUUAAACAUCAUGCACUUGAUCAAUAAUAAUAUUCUCAUACAUAUACUUACAUCAAACCCCAAUAUCUCACAUCAAUAAUCACCAAUCACAUGUGUCAUGAACAAAUAUCAAUACACAAUCCUCAAUCACAUAUAUCAAUAAGAUUCAUGUCAUGAUAUGCACCUAUCGACACAUAUAUGCAUGUGGUACCAAAUCACCUCAAGGUCGUCACCUUCGAUGCAACAAAAAUAUCGUAUGUAAGAUUUCACACCCGUCUUACAUAAUCUCCGAAGUAAAAGAGUUCAACCNNNNNNNNNNNNNNNNNNNNNNNNNNNNNNNNNNNNNNNNNNNNNNNNNNNNNNNNNNNNNNNNNNNNNNNNNNNNNNNNNNNNNNNNNNNNNNNNNNNNNNNNNNNNNNNNNNNNNNNNNNNNNNNNNNNNNNNNNNNNNNNNNNNNNNNNNNNNNNNNNNNNNNNNNNNNNNNNNNNNNNNNNNNNNNNNNNNNNNNNNNNNNNNNNNNNNNNNNNNNNNNNNNNNNNNNNNNNNNNNNNNNNNNNNNNNNNNNNNNNNNNNNNNNNNNNNNNNNNNNNNNNNNNNNNNNNNNNNNNNNNNNNNNNNNNNNNNNNNNNNNNNNNNNNNNNNNNNNNNNNNNNNNNNNNNNNNNNNNNNNNNNNNNNNNNNNNNNNNNNNNNNNNNNNNNNNNNNNNNNNNNNNNNNNNNNNNNNNNNNNNNNNNNNNNNNNNNNNNNNNNNNNNNNNNNNNNNNNNNNNNNNNNNNNNNNNNNNNNNNNNNNNNNNNNNNNNNNNNNNNNNNNNNNNNNNNNNNNNNNNNNNNNNNNNNNNNNNNNNNNNNNNNNNNNNNNNNNNNNNNNNNNNNNNNNNNNNNNNNNNNNNNNNNNNNNNNNNNNNNNNNNNNNNNNNNNNNNNNNNNNNNNNNNNNNNNNNNNNNNNNNNNNNNNNNNNNNNNNNNNNNNNNNNNNNNNNNNNNNNNNNNNNNNNNNNNNNNNNNNNNNNNNNNNNNNNNNNNNNNNNNNNNNNNNNNNNNNNNNNNNNNNNNNNNNNNNNNNNNNNNNNNNNNNNNNNNNNNNNNNNNNNNNNNNNNNNNNNNNNNNNNNNNNNNNNNNNNNNNNNNNNNNNNNNNNNNNNNNNNNNNNNNNNNNNNNNNNNNNNNNNNNNNNNNNNNNNNNNNNNNNNNNNNNNNNNNNNNNNNNNNNNNNNNNNNNNNNNNNNNNNNNNNNNNNNAUCACCUCAAGGUCGUCACCUUCGAUGCAACAAAAAUAUCGUAUGUAAGAUUUCACACCCGUCUUACAUAAUCUCCGAAGUAAAAGAGUUCAACCAUUUUACAACUACAAUUUCAACACGACUAUGAUGCAUGGACAUGUACAAGGACUCGAUAAUGCGACAACAAUCCACAAUUUUCACCUCAAUAUAUAGGACUACUCCCAAUUAUAUUGAUUAUCUCCAUAACAUUUGCAUUAUCAAGAAAACAUGUCCAUACACAAUCAAUUCAUAGUAUUCUUCUUCAUACAUCAACAUGAUUAUCAAUAAUCAACAAUGUCAUUCAACAUCAACUAUCACAUAUAGUUUUACCAUUCAAGCAUUCUUUAUAUUCUAAGUAAGAUAGCAUACACAUCUCAUGAUAAACAUCAUAUCCAAUACAAUCAUUCAUUCAUACAACUUCACUUAGUUAUAUAAAAAUGGUCACCACAAUUCUUAAGACAAUUGGUUCAAGAAACAUUUCCAGCCAAAACGUGUCCAGUGGCAAACGGCCAACUUUGACAAUCCCAAGACAAAACGUCAUAGACAAGUUGAAAGUUCUCAAACUACUUUAAUCAAUCAUGUAUUCAUGAACUUGAGUCGUCUCCGGACUAUUAACAUUAAUCCAAGAAUAACUUAAGUUCGUAUGAAAAACCCAAUUUCACAACCUUUCACAUUCCCACCCGAAAUAUCACUUUCUACAUGAUUAAGAUGUUUGACUGCUCUUACAAGUUUUACCUAAGUCUAUAUGAGCUGUAGGUUCAACUUGCAUGCUUCAUUAAUUUACAAAAGUUUGUUUUCGACAAAAGUUUGGAAUUUCCAAAAACUCCCAAGUUAAGACUCAAAUGAAGAAUUUCAAGUUUAGGCAAGCUAAUCAUUGUUCCAGUUGGUUUUAGGGGAUUUACAGUAGUUAAACAUGUUUAAAGAAUCAUUUUACAAAGCUCGGAUUGACCCACAAAGACCCGGAACAAAAGAUUAAUGUGGUUGAAACUAGAUCUGUUCGCUUAAGCGAACGAGUUACAUUGGCAAACCACAUUGCACGCUUUCUGGUCGCUGAUUUGUCGCUCACCAGUUCGCUUAAGCGACCACAUGUUUGCUUAAGCGAACGAGUUCCAGUAGCAACCAGAAAACUUCGCUUACCAGCACGCUAACUGGUCGCUUAAGCGACCUACCCAGAAAAAUCAAUAUGACUGUUCGCUUAAGCGGACCUCUAAGCGAAUGUUCACAGUUUUGCAGAAAAUGUUACGGGUUUGGAUCCCUUUUCAUCCAAAAUCCCCAAUUUUGAUCCCUCGUUGCCCAAUUGUGUUUCCAGAACAUGUUUAAAGGUCAAUAUGACUUAAAAGACUCAUAAAGGCUCAAUCAAACUUGAAAACACUUGACAAUUGGACCAAUUCACAAAUUUCACCAAAACACCAACAACAUUUCAUUUCUCAACAACAAACCAUGAAUCAUGCAAACCCAAGCCAUGAAUUAUCAUCAACAACAUGACUUAACAACAACAACAUCAAUUGAUCAUGAAACUUAUCACAAUUCAUCAACAACAAUGCAUAAUUCACCAAUUAAGCAUAUUUCAUCAUAUACCCAUUUUUCCUACUUUUAACAUGUAAUUCAACCAACAACAAUUUAAUUAUUCAUAACUUCAUACAUCUAAACAUGACAUCAUAAUUAGAGCACGAAUUUCAUCAUUUAUGAAAAAUUAAUCAAUUCAUCCAAUUAAGCACUUUUCAUACAACUAAUUGAAAAUUACAAUAAGUGAUUAUGAUGAACUCUAACCCCCUUACCUUAGUAGGUCAAUCUCUCUAGCUUAGGCUUCAAUUUUGCUCCUACCUCUUCUCCGAACCCUUAUUCUUCAAGUCCUCUUCUCUCUAACCCUUUUUUCCUCUUGCUCCCACUUUCUCUCUCUAUUCUCUCAAAAUAUCUUGUGAAGUGAAAGUGUGAGGAAAUUUCUCAUAAGUGUAUGUUUUUAUGUCAAGUCUCCUCAAUGGGCCUAACCCUCCACUCAAUGGACUUAACCCAUUUCUAUUCACAUCUCAAAAUGUUUCUACACUCUAACGGUAAUUCACUAAUAACGGUCAAAAAACGGUAAAAUGUCACUAACGGUCUCUAAGCGGUAAAAUCUUAAUUUUACUCUAGUAACUUAGUAAAACAACUAUUCUCACUAACCACUAAAAGUAACUCUCAUCAAAACUUAUAAUUUUACCCGUUCUCACAAAGUGAUCAAAAUACCCCUAAGUCCAAAAUGACUAAAAUACCCUUAUAACACGGAAACCCAUGAAAAUGCACCCAAUGAACAAUGAUCACAUAUAAACACACAAUAAAAGUAAUUAAAAUAAAUCUAGCUAAAAAUCGGGCUGUUACACUCCCCGUGACCCUUAUGAAGCUUCCACCUCGCUGCAACCGGAUAGUUUUCCAUGUAGUCAGUGUUGGGAUCAACACUGUAAAAGCCAGGAAAAUGCGCCAAAAAUCUUGUCUGCACAAACCAAACAAAUCACAUUUAUAAAUUAUUACGCACGAAAAAUAUAACAAAAAAAUAAAAGUUAACAAAAAAAUAAAGUUAAAAAAUAUAUAUAUAUAUAUAUAUAUUUUUUAACUUUAUUUUUUUGUUAACUUUUAUUUUUUUGUUAUAUUUUUCGUGCGUAAUAAUUUAUAAAUGUGAUUUGUUUGGUUUGUGCAGACAAGAUUUUUGGCGCAUUUUCCUGGCUUUUACAGUGUUGAUCCCAACACUGACUACAUGGAAAACUAUCCGGUUGCAGCGAGGUGGAAGCUUCAUAAGGGUCACGGGGAGUGUAACAGCCCGAUUUUUAGCUAGAUUUAUUUUAAUUACUUUUAUUGUGUGUUUAUAUGUGAUCAUUGUUCAUUGGGUGCAUUUUCAUGGGUUUCCGUGUUAUAAGGGUAUUUUAGUCAUUUUGGACUUAGGGGUAUUUUGNNNNNNNNNNNNNNNNNNNNNNNNNNNNNNNNNNNNNNNNNNNNNNNNNNNNNNNNNNNNNNNNNNNNNNNNNNNNNNNNNNNNNNNNNNNNNNNNNNNNNNNNNNNNNNNNNNNNNNNNNNNNNNNNNNNNNNNNNNNNNNNNNNNNNNNNNNNNNNNNNNNNNNNNNNNNNNNNNNNNNNNNNNNNNNNNNNNNNNNNNNNNNNNNNNNNNNNNNNNNNNNNNNNNNNNNNNNNNNNNNNNNNNNNNNNNNNNNNNNNNNNNNNNNNNNNNNNNNNNNNNNNNNNNNNNNNNNNNNNNNNNNNNNNNNNNNNNNNNNNNNNNNNNNNNNNNNNNNNNNNNNNNNNNNNNNNNNNNNNNNNNNNNNNNNNNNNNNNNNNNNNNNNNNNNNNNNNNNNNNNNNNNNNNNNNNNNNNNNNNNNNNNNNNNNNNNNNNNNNNNNNNNNNNNNNNNNNNNNNNNNNNNNNNNNNNNNNNNNNNNNNNNNNNNNNNNNNNNNNNNNNNNNNNNNNNNNNNNNNNNNNNNNNNNNNNNNNNNNNNNNNNNNNNNNNNNNNNNNNNNNNNNNNNNNNNNNNNNNNNNNNNNNNAAAAAACACAUAUAAAAGUGGAUAUAAUAAUUAAACAAACACACAUUUAAAGAAAAUAAUUAAACAUAAAGAAAAAGAAUUAAAAAGAGCACAUAUAAAAGUGGAUAUAAUAAUUAAACAAACACACAUAUAAAGAAAAUAAUUAAACUUACAGAAAAAGCAUUUAAAAAAAUUACACUUACGUUAUCUGAAUUAUACCAAAGUGGCAAUGCAACAUGACUGGCAUAAGAGUGCAGCAAAGAUAAGUCUGCCGGUCCGCCAGGAAAGGGAGGGUCCACAGGUAACACCUCCGGGGCAGCAGCUGCUGCAAUGUCGUUAUCAUCUCCUACAUGUUGCUGCUGUGGUAUAUGAUCCUGGUCAUACCCACCAUCAGUCAUAUCGUGGUGUACCUGAUCCUGAUAAUUCAGGUACUCCACCACAGACGGGUCAACAACCUGUGACUCCUCAAGCUGUGUAGCCUGAGAACUCCCUGAACUAUCUCCCCUCCGACCUCUACCUCUCUUUGGGAUGUGGCCGCUCUGCCUCUCCCUCCGGUGGCUUUGGGUCAUCGCACGCCUACCACCAAUCAUUUUAGAUGGAUCAAUGGGGUCCUGAUCGGCCAUAUCUACACAAAAAAUAAUAAAAUUAACAUCAUUUCCAUAACCUAAUUAAACACAUUAAACCUAAACUAAACAUAAACAUAAUCAAACUCAUUAAAAGUACAGCAAUGAACAUCAUUUCCAUAACCUAAAAUCAUUCAAUAUAAUCAUCAUUACAAUAAAAUUUAUGUCCAUCAUUUCCAUAAUAACCUAAACAUCACUCAUUAAUUAACAUACACUUAAUCAUUUGUGUCCAUCAUAAUUCUCGUAACCUACACUAACUAAAAAAUCAAUAUACACUUAAUCAAACUAUAAUUAACAUCAUUUCUAUCAUUUCCAUAACCUAAACUAACUACAUAAUCAAUAAAAUUGUCAUUGCGGCAAUGUGCAAAGUAUAAAGCAUAUUCAAAUUGUGUUCAUUUGCCACCAUUCAAAGCCACAUUAUGAUUUAAACAACAUAGGCAACAACUACAUUCAUUUAUCAAUUCCUAAACUACACAUGCAAUCAUCAAAUUGUCAAUUUUAAAAUCUACCCUAACCACAUGCAAACUACUCUAAUUUUUAAAAAAAAAUCAACCUAAACAAAUUAACAUUAUCAUUAAAAUGAUUGACACAACUUACUUGUGAUAAUGUGCACUUGAUUUGCUUGCAAUUCGUGAAAAUGGAUUUGGUGAAGAUUGGAGAGAAAUUGUGAAUUUUGAACAAGUUUUGGAAAUGGGAAGUUCUGGUUCUGCAAAUGAUUAAGUCCAGAUUUCCUCGGCAGUUAACCAUCGAGGUUUUCCUCGGCAGUAAACUGCAGUCGGAUUUCUAAAACUUCGACAGUUAACUACCGAGGGGCAAAAACGUCAAUUACUCGUGUGCCACAACCUUAUGCAAUGUGGGAACAACAAUUCUCUCAGUUUAUAGGCCUUAAUUAAUAUUUUUAUGUCUAUAUAUUCGCCCCUUAAGGUGAAUAUGUGAAGAAUUUGAUGCUUCAACUCAUGUCCCUAUAUCGUGAUAUACAUAUUAACUUAAUUAUGUUCACAUGGAUCAAAUAUCUUAGAAAAAUGUCAACUGGUAUCCUGGAAACACUAGUUAAGGAAACAAAAUAAAUAUCUUAAUAAUAUUAAGGAUCUUGUUUUUUUUUUUUUUACAAAAAUAUUAAGGAUCUUGUUAACGAGUGUCCGUAGGACUACAUACACUCAUUAUGAAUUUCAAAUUAAAAAAUUAUUCAUUAAAAAAAAUCAAAUGUUUCAAUUCUCAUGCACUGGAAAUAUAAUUUGUUAUAAAAAUUUAUGACUAUUGAAAGUCCUUAAAGACUACAUUAGGGACACUCAAUGGUAUUCCCUUAAUUUGAAUAGGUCUAAUUGCAUUUUUUAUCUCCCAAUUUUAUUAAAGUCACAGAUAUAGAUUGUACCAAAAAAAAUCAUGAAUAUAGUCUUCUUAAAAAAAUAAAUCUUUAGGUACCUUAAAGUUUGGUUGAGUAUGAGUAUUCCAUAGAUAAAAUUUGUAUAUAAUUUGAAUUAAUUUUAAAAUAAAUUAAUAUAUCAUGACAUUAAAUGAUUUGAUGAUGGAUAUAUACUCAAUCUAUGAGAUCACCUUUUUAAAAUUGACCUUUUUAAUCCUCUAUUUCCAAAAUUGAUUCCAUUUAGUCCUCAACCAAUGUAUUUUUUUUUAUCAUAAAAUGACCACUUUUCACACAAAAAGGUGAAUUUUAGUCUCAAAAGUGGUACUAUUUUUUAAUCCAACAUUGGAGAAUCACCUUUUUUGGUGCAAUAAAUUAUCAUAUGUUGGGCGAAAAGCACAAAUGAGAUAAAAAUUAAAAUAAGGCUUAAAUAGGUCUUUCGUCCCUGCAAAUAUAGGUCAAUUGAAUUUUCGUCUCUGAAGUUACUAAUCCUUCCAAUAUGUCCCUACAAAUAUUAAUCAUUUGACUUUUGGUCAUAAUUACACCUGUUUAGUAACUUCAUGGACGAAAAUUCAAAUGACCUAUAUUUGCAGGGAUGAAAGACCUAUUUAAGCAAACCACCUCGCUCAAUCAUCACUUGCCAUAUGGGCACCACGUCGCUAAUGACAACCAUCUUAGGAAGAAAAAAAACCUAAUUAUGACCAAAAGUCAAAUGAUUAAUAUUUGCAGGGGUAGAUUGAAAUGAUUAGUAACUUCAUGGACGGAAAUUCAAAUGGUUUAUAUUUGCAGGGACGAAAGAUAUAUUUAACCCUUAAAACAAAUAUAAAAAUAGAGAUACCAAAAUAUUUGAUUUUAAAAUACAGUGACUACUUUUGCGAAUUUGAAAAAACAUGAGAUCAAAAGUGAAAUAAAACCUUUUAAAUAAUAGACUUCGUAAUGUGAUAACUCUAUCGGUAAGAGCUCGGUCUUGUUACAUUAAGUAUGCGAGUUUGAUCUUGUCAUUUUAAUUAAUAAUAAUAAUUACCAUUCCUUAAUUUGUUAAUUAAAAAAUGGUUAAAUAUAUUUUUGCAUAUAUAUACAUAUAUAAUAUAUUUUGUUAUGUUUUCUCGUUUUUAAUCUCUCUAAGAUAAAUUUCAUUUUUGCCUAAAAAAAUUCUCUCUGAAAUUUUCCCUUAAACGAAUGAUUCCGUCUGUCAAAAAAAAAAUAUUCUCCAAAUAUUUUCGAUCAAAUUUGAGGAAAGAGGAAGGGUCAUAACUGUAAUCACAAUGAGGGUAAAUUUGGUAAAGGAUGAAGUGGUUGCAAAUUGCAUUGCAGCAACGUUACUCUUUUUUUUUUUUUUUUUGGUGUGCACAGCAACGUUACUCUUGAUCUGAAUCCGAUUCCUUAUCAAUGGAGCCUACCAUUUUCUUUACCCAUUCUCCUAAACACUGCUCCACAAAUCGAGUGUUAGCUUGUAAAUUCGUUCGAGUUUACUUUUUUAGGUGGCAAAAACGUGUUAACUCGGAAGUAAACUCGAUUUUUGAUGAAAUCGGAAAGUUUGACGAGUUUAACCGAGUCAACACGUGUUAAACUUGAUAAAGUCGGAGUAAAUUCGUCCGAGUUUACCUUUGAAUUUUUUUAUUUAUUUUUUUGUCUCAUUUUCUUUCAAAAUCCAAUUCUUUUUUCAAUCCCAAGGUGUUAAAAUGUGACCUUUAAGGUUAACAUGACUCGUUUUUUCCAUGCUUGUUAUGUACAUAAGCUACGCCAAUGCGUGACAAUGACAUACAUUGAAUUUUAGAGAAUGCAUUCAGAAGCUUGUUAUUAUUGAUUGAUUUGAAAUCAUUCAAAUAUAUUACUUGCUCAAGUAUUUAAACGAGAAAAUGGAACAAUUGAAGUUAAAGUUACAACUGAAGAUGAAACAGAGUUUAAAUGUACUGAUAAAUUUUGUUUUUUAUUGUUAGAGUUUAUUAUUUAAAUAUGGUUAAUUGAUUAUGUUUUGUUUAAAUACUAGCUUACAUAUGCAUAUAUAAUAAAUUUUAUUUUUAAUUUUAGGUAAACUCGUACAAGUUUAAGAUUCGAGUUUACAUAGCUAAAAUGAACUGAGAUAAACUCUUGAGUUAUAAAACCUUGCUCCUAUGUUAAUGUUAUCUCCGCGCACAAACGUUGAAAGGAAGGUAACGUUAACGGGAAAACCAAACAAUGUGUACUCAUUUCAUUGACCCGUCUAUUUAGUUUAUGACUCUUAAUUUGUCCAAUAUAUCUCUUCUCUGAGGUGAGUCAUAUCCUCCACCCCACCCUACCCUGCGCCACUCAAUCCCUUUACUCUAAACACAAGUAGCCUAAUGCCCUAAUUAAUACUCUCUCAAUCUACACCACUCAUGCAAUAAACGAUUGCUUGCUUGCAGAUCGAGAAUAAUGUCUUGGUCCAACCGUCUCUAAAUAACUUAGAUGAACACUUCACAUGUAGAAGGGAGAGAGAAAAAAUUAACUAAAGUGCAUGAUGCAUUCAUAUGUUUGUGAAUGAUACUAUUCAUCGAUGAUGGAAUUGAAAAAAAUAAAAAUAAGUCAGUCAUUUUUGCACAAAUUAUUUUUACAAAUAUAUCAAUUAUUUUGAGAGAAAAAGAGUACUAUAUUCAGUCAUCAUCAUAUCUGUUCAAAUCAAACAACGAGCCCCAUGUGUCCGUCCUUCACAAACUUUCUUGCACAACUGACUGAUUUAGUAAAAAAUUACUACGUUAUUCAUAGAAUUCAUAUGGUCUGUAAAAAAAUCAUAAAAUAAAAUGCUAAUAAAUAUCAUCAGAGCAUACCUUAAAGAAUCAAAAAUAAAAAUUUUGUGUUAGAAUUUUUUUUUAUGUAAUGGCUAUUCUUUAAAAGUUAAAUAAUAGUAGUCAUUUUUAAUACAAAUUCUAAGAUAAAAAUUUUAUUUUUACUUUUUUAACUUGUGUGUACUCUUACAACAGUCACUAGGAAGACAAAAAAAAUAUCCUAGUAUAUAGGUAAAAAUGAAACAUAGUCCAAGGUAGCAAAGUUAAAUUAAAAUUCUAAAAACCAAUCGCGGUUGACACAAUUGUAAAUCCUAAAAGUGGUAAGUAAUUGUGAAUGACCUUGUAUGAGGUAAUCCAAAUUUUUCAUUUAUGAAAGAGAAAAAUAAUUCAAACUCUAAAAAAGAAGACCCAGAUCCAGAAUCUAUUCUACUGAACAGAACUCAUCUAUCUAUAUAAAAAAUAAAAUCAAUAUACAUCUAAAAUCUGAUUUUUCUAUGUACAACAAAUACACACAAAAAAGAAAGAAAAACAUAAAAAGAAGAAAAUCCAACCAAACAUGUCCUUAGAGGCUAGAGCUACAAAGAAAGAACAUCCUCAGCAGAAUGAAAUUCAGGGAUCCCAGAAGCAGCCCAUAAUCUCUCAUUGAAAGCACUUUGCAACUCAUCAGGUAUGAAUGGUGUUCUACACAAAGGACACGUUCUUUGAUCAUAUCCCAUCCAACGGUCCAAACAACCUCGAUGGAAAAUGUGUCUACAAUUCGCUAACCGUCUGAUCUCAUCGUUUUCCUCGAACUCAGUAAGACAUACAGCGCAGCUUUCGGGUGGGUCCACCAGCUCCAUGAAUUUUACAACUGGAAGGAUUUCACGGAUAAGAAGAGCUGAAACGGAUUCGAAUUCGGGUAUUCGAGUUGAAUUUUCGGGCCAUAUAAUGUCGGGUUCGAUGAAAUCGGGGAGACCCAUGUAGCGGAAAAUGGUGUUGAUGAGUUUUCGUAUGAAAGUGAAGAUGGAUAAAAGGUGAAGAACUAAUUUUGGGAAGAGAAGUUCUGUGUAACCUACUGGAAAUCCCAUGGUUUGUGCUCUAACAAUGACAACAACUAUAUUGCUAAUUUGAGGCUGUGUGUGUGUGUAUUGAUUUGGAUUUAACUAUGGUUGUUGUUUUCUCUUAAUUUUUGUGUAGAGAGAGAGAGAGAGUUUGUAACACUGGCCUGCCUUUUAUAUAUAGUUGAGAUGAGAAUCAGAGUUGAAAGACACUUCUUUUGGUUACAAUUAAAAGACACUUCAAUGACUCACUUUAUUUAGUAUUAUUUUUGGUCACUUUAAAAUUAAACUCGUAACAAAUGGUUAAAAAAAAUAAAUUUAUGGAUUAAAUAUGUUUUUUUGUCUCUAUAAAAUUGAGACUUUUUAAGUUUAGUCCUUAUUUUUUUUUUUUUGAAGAGACUAAAAUGAAUUAUAUUACCACAACGAAGGUCUUCCUAGCACAAGGUGUGUCAAAGAAUAAAAACCUCAAAGUCAAACAAAAAAGAUUACAACAAGGCAAAAGCCAUCACCAUAAAACAACCUGAAACAACACAAUUUUUAGCCUAUGUCUAAUAAAGGGAACGGACUAAGCCACCAACCAUGAUAGUUAAAGGGAAGAUAAGCAUAGUUAACCUUCAACCACUUGAAUGUUAGUAACUUAAUCCGAUCCACCACCUGCAUAAUGGAACUAUUCUUAGCAUUAAAAAUUAUGUUGUUCCUUUCCUUCCAUAUUUCCCACAUAGUCGCACACUAAAUCACCUGAAGAAUAGAUUGCCUCGACUUAGGACCACCGCUUAAAAAUCUGAAUUGAUGAAAAUGCCCCGCAACAUCUUUUAGUCUUUAAAAAAAAUUAUGCACCCAGUAUUAGUCCAUACUCAAUUCAAAUUUGUUUAAUUAGUGUUUAAUCUCUUGAGUUUUUGAACAAUUUUUGGAGGAGGAGUCUAUGGGUUUAUAUCAUUUCCUAUUUAUUUCAGCAACUAAUUUUUCCAUAGUUACUUUAAAGGAUUAUACUGCUUAAUCCUUUUUUUUUUCUUUCUUAAUCCACAAAAAAAUAAAGAUUAAGCAGUAUAAUGCGCGCGGAUACUUAAUUUAUCAAGAUAUGGCUUAAUGGCAUAGUAGGAGUAUAAAAUAAAAUAUUAAUAUAUUAGAUUGUGACCAAAAUAUAUAUAUAUUAGAUUGAUUAAUUAUCUAUAAAUGAAUAAAAUAUUAAUAUAUUAGAUAGAUUGAUUAGUUAUCUAUAAAUGAAAGGAUGUUUAUUAGUAGUAUUUUUCUUCUUCUAUUUACUAACUGCUAAGUUGUCUUAUUUGUGGGUCGCCAACUCUGACUUAUUCGAGUUUGAAUCAAGCUAAUUAGCUAAACCUUUGAUUUGUUUUAUUUAUUUACUUUUGGCUUUACUCUAUUUUUUUUUAUUCAAGUUUUGUUAUUGUGCAAUUUUAAAGCCAUUGUUUCCUCCUUUUUCGCACUAAAGGGUUCUCUAAUUAUACCGUCACUUUCUAAUACACCAUUUGUCCUUCUUCUUUUAAUUAUUAUCCGAAACACAAACAUCUUUCAAAAUCUUCUAGAAUCACAAGUUCUGUUGAAUCUCUCAAUAGAUUUUACCUUAUAUUAUGAUUUGAUUAUACUUUAUAUUAUGACUUGAUGUAUGUUUGGUAUCGUCGUAGAUUUAUAAAUAUCAUGACGACUCGUGCGAUUCUAACAAAUUUAAAGUAAUGUCAAAUAUGAAAUUAAACAAACAUUAUACUCCCUCUGUUCCAAAUUGUAUGACGUUUUGACUAUUUCACACGUAUUAAGAAAUGUAAUUAAUAUUGUGUGGGGAAGAGAAAUUAUGAGUUGUUUUACAAAAUUAUCCUUAAUAAAUGGUAUGGAAAAGAUAAAUUAAAUAAUUGAAAGAAGAGAGAGUAAUUAAUAGUUAAGGAUAUAAUAGGAAAAAUAACAUUAAUAUUUCAUUGGUAUUGUAAAACGACAUAUAAUUUAGGACAAAUUUUUUUUCCAAAACGACAUACAAUUUAGGACGGAUGGAGUAUGUAAGUUGUUUUUUCUCGGCGAUGUAAAGAAAAUUCACAUAAUUAACUCGUGUCAUUAUGAUGAGUAAAUUUUUAUAGAAAAACUUAAAGACGCUUGAUUAUUAUAAUUACUGGUAAUUGUUUGAUUGUUACGUACGCAUGCGUUUAAAGCAUGAGGUAUGAGUUAUUUAGGUUGGUAAAAGUAAAACUAAAACAACAGAGAAAUAGACACAAUCACAUAUAGCAUGUGACAAGCUAUAAUGAUUCAUGAAACUGCCGUUUGAAUUAGGCAAGGCGUUCAAUACUUAUUUAUUAUUAUGAGCAUUUGCUGUUGGAGGGAAACAUGUCCACGGGUUUAUCAAUUGAAAGCAAUGGCUAAUUGUUCUUGCAAUUUCUUCUUGACCAAUUCAAUUGAGGUUGGUCCCUCUAAUUUAUCAAGAAAAAUAUUUAUUUAUUUAUUUAUUCUGUUGUUAAUUCAUGGAGUAAUUGGGUCAAGAAUGAGUUGAGAGAAAGAGAUGAGGGUGAUGGUGUUGAAAUGAAAUGUCCCAUUCGUGUCCAAGAAAAUGAGGAUAAGUGUGGUACCACCAACCGUCACUAUUGGAAUUGGAACCCACUAAAGAAGCUAGACCGUGGCACUCAUCAAGCAGCUAACAAACCAAAUAAGAAAAUAUAAAUUAUAAAUAGAGAGAAUUGACAAAACUAUUUCACUCUUUUGACAAUUGAGAAAUAGUUUUAAAAAUGUAAAAUCAAGUUGUUUUAUUAUGAGGUCUUGGUUAAAAUAGUCAGGUAAGUACAACUAUUGUGAUAAAAGAUGAAGAAAUGUUUGAUGUGAUGCCUUUUGCAUUUAGUUUUAUGAAUGAGUCAUAUUGAGUAAAUAGUCAAUCAAUUACCCUCCUGAAAUUAACAAAACUUCAAUUACCUCCUGAAAUUUUACAAUGUUAGUCAAUUUACCCCCUCCGUCAAAUUUUUUUGUUAGUGAACAUGACGGUUUGCAAAUACCCCCCUGAAGUUUUGCACUUAUGUGCAAAAUGGCCCCCAAACUUAAAAAUUUAUAUUAUUUUUUUCUUAAAAACAAACAAUUAAUAGUUAAAUAUUAAAACUAACUAUUAAUUUUGGAAUUUGGGAAAACUACAUGCAUAUAUACAUCAAAAUAGGCUCCAAAAUGGGGGAAAAUAUGUAUUUUUUAAAGUGACAAUAAUGGGAUGAUUUGUGGAUUAAUAUUGGGGGUUGUGUAGUUUAAAUGGUUUGAGCAAAUUGUUGAAGGAGUUGGAGGAGUUAAAAGACUAAGAUGGUGAAGGAGAAAAUAUAAAUUUAAAUCUGAUUAUUAAUUUGUUUAUAAACCUCUAAAAAUAAUAAUUUGUCUAUUAGAAAUAACCAUUAUUGUCACUUUAAAAAAACACAUUUUUCCCUAUUUUGAUGUAAAUAUGUAUGUAGUUUUUCCAAACUCCAAAAUUAAUAGUUAGCUUUAAUAUUUAACUAUUAAUUGUUUGUUUUUAAGAAAAAAAUAAUAUAAAUUUUUAAGUUUGGGGGGCAUUUUGCACAUAAGUGCAAAACUUCAGGGGGGUAUUUGCAAAACGUCAUGUUCACUAACAGAAAAAUUUGACGGAGGGAUAAAUUGACUAACGUUGUGAAAUUUCAGGGGGGUAAUUGAUGAAACUUAUAAUUUCAGGGGGGAAAUUGACUAUUUACUCGAGUCAUAUUAUGGAUGAGAAAGAAAAAUGUAAGAAUGAAAACAAGUAAACAUAAAUUAAUUUUCCAAAAUUAGUGAAUUUGAAUCUUUUUAGUAAAUAAAUUCAAAUUCAAGAAAUCAAAAUAAGAGGGACUUAUUGGACCAAACAUUUUAAAAGACAAGAUUAACUUUAGUUAUAUUUUUUUUAUCAAUGAUUAAAUUCAACACUAACAAAAUGGAAAAAGGGUUAAAAUAAUUUUUAUACGUAGACGAAAUGACAGAUAUCACCAUAAACCAACAUAAAUAAAAUAGAGAAAUUCAAGUUUUAAUCCAAAAACAUUGUCCUUCCGAUCACACUGUUAUGAACAAAAUUAACUUUUUAUAACCAUUAAAUAAUUUAUAUAUUUGAUAUAUAUUUUAGACCAUAGACGUCCGUUAUUUUUGUAAAGUGAAAUUUUUGUUUAUAACAAUAAACAAAUAUAUUUAAACGAUGUAGAAAUAGAGAAGAAUUUCUCCUUGGUAUUUUUUGGUAAAUAGAAAUUCUCCUUGGUGCAUACUGCAUAGUAACACACCUCCAUCUUAACCAAAACCAUAAAAAUAAGGGUUAACUAAGUUUUUAAUCCUAUAAAUAUUUACAGUUUUGUUUCUAGUCCCUACAAAAUAAAAUCACACUUUUUAGUCAUGUGACAUUUUCCUUAAACAUUUUAGGGACUAAAAAUGUCGAUGGAAAAUUUUAUAGGGAUUAAAAAUGCUGAUGGAAAAUUUUAUAGGGACUAAAAAUGUUGAUGGAAAAUUUUAUAGGAAUUAAAAAGUGUGAUUUUAUUUUGUAGGGACUAAAAACAAAAUUAUAAAUAUUUAUAAAGAUCAUUUAUUUUUUUUGACCAAAUAAAAACCAUUUACUUAAUUAAUCCUACAAAUAAAUAAACGCAUCGCCAUUCACGGAAUCAUGUCCCAUCUUGAUUGGUACGCGUCACCAUUUACAUUUAUAUUUCAGGUUAGCUUCAUUUCAUUUUCACAUAUCAUGUUUUCAAACAAAAUUAUCUAUCCUUCUCUCUUUUCACUAUUCAUAUGACGGGACAUAAAAAGUAGUAGUAAAAUAGAAAGAAUAAUGUCUCUGUUUAUAUUGUAAAAAAAAAAUGUCCCUUUUUAUGGUCUAUAUAGAAAGAAAAAAACAUGUCUGUAUAAUAUGACAACCUUAUCCUUUAUUUUACACUGUCAGUUUUAGAUAUUAAAAAUUUGUCAAAAAAAAGAUAUACUGUAAAAGUAUGAGUGAAGAUUUUAUUCAAAUUGGAUAGUUUUCUUCACUCAUGCAAAACUCUCUUUUCUACCAAUGAAUUAACAAAUUUUAUCAUAUUUCUUUUCAGAGAGCAAUGAGAUUAAUCAAGCGAAAAACAUUUCACGAUAAAUUGACAAAUGAAAAAAAAAUAAAAAAUUGAGAGAAAUUGACAAAUGACAAUUGAAAAAACUUACAAUGUACUUUUUAUUUAUAUUCACCGCAUAGCAAAAGUGAUGAUACUCUAACUUUUUUCAUAUAAUAUUCACACCUAAUUUGUGAGGAGUAUUUAUUUAAAAAUUUUGAUUUAGUAGGAGCCUGGAAGCAAAGCAGAUUAGCAGAGCACAUGAAAGUAUAUAAGACAUUUUUUAGGUUGAAAUGAUGACUUUAAAUUUAGUUGGGAAACGGUUAACUACCACCCAUUACCUUUUUAUUUUAAGAAGAAAAAAAAAACUUAAAAAGCAUUUAGGAGUCAAAUGCAAGUAUAUGUUCAAUCAUAACAUCCGAUCUCACAAUUUCAACAUUUUUUUUAAUUGAGCAAGAACUUGUGGACACGUUAUUAUUAACAUAUCUAAGAACACUUCAUUAAAGUCAUAAUAGAUCUCUUCCGACUUAAACAGAGAUAUUGCGUUCAAAUUCAGUUUGAGAAUAUAACAGUGUUAAAUCUCUUAAUGGAGAGUUUUGUCACUCAUUAUAGUUCUAUUCAGCUCGAGAGAUUAGUCUUUGCAGUUACACGUAUAGAGUUUUUUUAUAGCAUGUUUGAAUACGAGUGACCCAAAGGCCAACAACCUCAAACUCAUACUUUAGACCUCAAAAUUUUGGAAUCAGAAAAUACUUUAAAAAGUUUAAUUUAAUUAUAAAUAUAAGGCUUAAUUACACUUUUGGUCCUACCAUUUUGACCAACUCAUGAAAAUGGUCCUAUCUUUUUUAAAUCGAACAAAAUCGUCCUUAAACUAUAUGUUUUUUGCAGUUUUAGUCUUAUCUCCCUAUUUCCAACUCUAGAAAUGACACUUUUAGUCCAACCACCUAUGCUCAACCAUGAAAUAAACAAAGAAUAAAACAUGCGGGUACAAGAAAUCUACUUUAUUCAACACACUGACCUAAUUUCCGAGAUAUGUUACAUACCUGAAACAUGUCUUAGAAAUUAGGGUUUUUCUUGGUUUGUGUGCUGAACAAAGUAGAUUUCUUGUACCCACAUGAUUUAUUCCUUGUUUAUUUCAUGGUUGAGCAUAAGUGGUUGGACUAAAACUGUCAUUUAUGUGCGUUUCUGGAGUUGAAAAUAGGGAGAUAGGACUAAAACUGCAAAAAACAUAUAGUUUAGGGACGAUUUUGUUCGAUUUAAAAGAGGUAUGAUCAAUUUCGUGAGUUGAUCAAAAUGCAAUGACCAAAAGUAUAAUUAAGCCUAAAUAUAAUAUGACAUGUUAGUUAUAAAUGUUCUUCUAAUUCUAUUAGUCAAUAUAAGAACCUCGUAUCAAUCUUGAUCAACAUUUUUUUUUUUUUUGUGUUAACCCUCUAUGUUUUAGAGAAAAAAAUAUAAGUAAAUUCUGACCAAUAAUUAUUCAAACCAAAAAUCGAACCCAGGUUCUCCUUAGCAAGUUUGGUCAACAUUUGAACAUUAAACUUAGCAAAACUUAUUUUUAUUAUAUAAUUUAUUUCUUUGAGAUUUGUUUCAUUUUAAAAGACCACAUUAGAAAUUUUACUUUGAACCUCUAAACAUGUUGGACUCGUCCUGUGUUUAAGUGAUGUUGAUUGAAAUUGAUUUCACCUUUUAAACUAAUUUUAAUUUAAGGCUAUAAUAUAUAGUAGACUCAGGCUAACAUGUGUCUUUAGGAUACAUGUUAAUUUUUUAUUUUUUUUUUAUAAAUAAUAAAUAUUUAUUGAGGAAAAGUAAUUUUCAAAAUUUUAAAAAAUGGAUUAGCACAAUUUCUAAUACAUAAUUUAUAUCUUUGGUAUAUUAACAUGUGACUUCAAAUUUGACUUUUACACUUAAAUUUUUGUUCAAUUUUUUUAGGUAAAACCUAACACACGAAUAAAGUAGAGUGAUGAUAUUUAUACAAACAUUUAACGAUAAUUUUUGCGACAAUUUUUUUUUUAUUAGUAAAAAACAAUAGAAAGAGAGAAAAAAAUGAGAGCGAUAGAGAGUAAAAACAUAAUAUGAUUGUUAGAGAAUGUUAUUCAAAAAAUUUCACCAAAUAAAUUUACAAUUGUCAUUUUUCGGAGUAAGUAACUUUUUAUUCUUCCCCCUCGAAAAAGAAAAUUAACUUCUUCUUCCUAACGAGAUGAGUUAUUGAAGGAUGUCGGCUUAACCAAUAAGUGACAUUGAAUACUAGCUAGUAGGGGUCCAUAACUCAAGUUUCGUUUUCAUAUGGAAUGAACAACAAUUUCAAUACUAGUAUCACUUUUUCUUCAAAAAAAAUACUAGUAUGAAGUAUCACUUUAUUCAUCGUAGACUCAUUUGUUUGGUACUUUCGUCAACGGAGAGAAUAGGAAAGAAAGUUUAAAAGAAGAAAAAGUGAAGGAGGACAUUUUAAAAAUAUGGAUCAAAUACGGUUUUGGUUUCUAUAAAAUUGUGAGGUUUUAAAUUUAAUUCGUACAUAAUACUUCCCACAUAAUACUAUUAUUAAUAGUAUUUUUUUAGUAAAUUACAAUCUUCUUCUUUCAAAGAUGCUUGAAUUACAUUUUCUUCCUCUUAAAAAUUCGUAAAUCACACUCCUCUCCCCUCUUAUGUUAAAAUAUAUAUUUCCCUCCCUUGAAAAAUAAAAUUUAUACUCCCCUCCCUUAUAAGAUGCUUGAAUUAUAAUCCACUCCCUUAGUAAUUAAAUAUGCACUACACUUUAAUCUAUUUUAACAUAAACAAAUAUGAUAUAUAUUAAUUUUGAACCAUCAUUUAGGAAAAAUUAAAUUAUUUCUUAAUAAUUUGAAUGCCAAUGAUAAUUAAAUUUAAAUAUUUUGCUAUUGAUUUGAUAAUUUAGAGUAUAAAAUUAACUUUUAAAUAACCAUGCUUUAUUGUCUUUAGUAAUUUUUCACAUAUUUUAAUUUUAAUUUGGGUUGUUUCAUAUUUUAUAAUAAGGUUUAAAACUACAUGUUAAUGAAAUUGUGAAUAAAAAAUAGCGAAAAAUAUGUAUUCAAUUUUUUAUUAUAUUAAAAUAGACCCGCGAUACUAUUUUUUUCGAAGUGUGUGUUAGAUUAUUAUUAUUAUUAUUAUUAUUAUUAUUUUUCUAGAUUAUUAGAAAUAAUAAAAAGUAAAUAUUGAUGGAGUAAAGUGUAGAUUUUAACAUAAGGGGGGAGUAAAAAUGUAAUUCAAGCUUCUCUUAGGGGAGGGGAGUGAAAAAAUUUCUAAUAUGUUUUGAAUAAGAGGAGAGGGGAGUAUAUAUUUUAACAUAAGAGGGGAGUGUAAUUCAAGCAUAUUUGAGGAGAGGGAAGUAUAAUUUACUCUAUAUUUUUUAUGAAGAUCAUUAAUUUAUAAAAUCAUUUGUUAUCAAAUUUGGUCCCUGAAGUCAAAUGGUAUCAGAAUUACAUACACCAUAAACAAGUUAAUAAAUAUACUUCACUUAGAGCUACCCAACCCGCAUUAACACCAUAAACUUAAAACAGAUAUUUGAUUUACAAAAUGAAAAAAAAAUUACAAGAUCAAAACCAAAAUUCAGUAUACUUACAGUUACAUAGAUUGAACAUAUAUUUAAAUCUAUAAAAAUGAUGGUAAUUAUUUAUUACUAUCAGAAUUCAGAGAUCAGAGCCAUAAAAAUACUAUCAGAAUUCAGAGAUCAGAGCCAUAAAAAUCAAGCACAAGGCCACAUUCCUUGGUAACAUGUUUUGGAUUAUUUGAUGAACUAAUCUGUUUCUUGUCAUGCCAACAAACACUGAUCCAUUUCACAUGAACAUGAUAAAGACCAGAGAUGGUAUGGGCAAGUGGGCAAUGGUUGAUGGGCUAAUAAGAAAAAUGUGAACCAAGACAAAAAGAGAGUGUGUGGCCAAACUGGAUAGAGUGGCGGUUCUGUAAGCAAGCAGGUGCAUUGCUUUAGGCCACCAAGCACCAUCACACUCUAUUGUUAAUCUUCUCUGACAUGGUGUCUCAAUGAGGCCAAGACAACUAUUGGUCCACUUUUAUGGUUUCUUAAUUAAUCACUAAAUUAUUAUUUUUAGUCCACUUUUGACAAAUAUUUCUAUAUAGCUAGGCUCCAUUCAACCUUAUAUUCCCUUUGUCUCAUUCUUUGUCUAUCUAUCAUCCAUAAUAAAAUCUUAACCCUUUCAAUUUCUUCAUUCUUCCUCACUUUCAAGUCCAUUCAACAAUUUGAUUAUAAACUGAAUGAAACCAUUUACUGAUAUCUUUGAGCCCCUUUAAUAUUUGUAAUUUUUCACUUGUGUACAAAUGAUGAUAUUUUAUUAUGAAUAUCACUUUUUUAAUUACUCUCUCCAUUUCAAAAUACAUAUCCAAUUUUUGCAAUGUGCACUAUUCACUUGACUUACUUUGACCAUAUUUUUUAACUAAUGUAUAAAUACAAAUAUUAGCAUGUAAGAUGUUGUUUGAUUUGUCUCGACAAAUAUUUUCAAAAUAUUAAAUUUUUAUAAUUUUUUACUUUAGAUAAUUAAAGAUAUUAACGGUCAAAAUUAUGUAUUGGUAUAUGUGAAGUGAUUGACUUGGACAUGUAUUUUGAAAUGGAUGGAGUAUCAUAUUGAGAAAAUAAAGAGAAAAAUAGAAGUAAAUACAUGAAAGCCGACUUAGCUCAGUGGUAGAGCGCGUGGCUUUUAACCACGUGGUCGUGGGUUCGAUCCCCACAGUCGGCGUUUCAUUUUUUUUUUCUGUAGUAAAAACAUAAAUUUGAAAUAUUCAAUAUGUUUUUAUAGAGAAAUAUAAUUAAAUUCAAUCUUUUUUAUUGACGCAUAUAUUCAAUCUAAAUAUAUCUUGUAGUGGUUAAAUUAAUUAGUUUUUUCUUUUCAUUUUACAAAACGUUUUCAAAAACCUCUUACAUUUGCAGGAUAAGAUUAACAGGUCAUUAGGCCAACUAAUUCCAACCAUGAUGACUUAGCUUUAGGACCUUAACAACAAUGUUUAGUCCUCUAAUUGCCACUUGCAUUAUUAUUAUUAUUAUUAUUAACUUUAUCUCUUCCUUAUUUGAUUCUUCUCACUACUGAUGAGUAUCAUUAAGUCAAUUUGGUGAUUCCUACGUUAAAGGGCAUAUGUCGCUAUUGAUUCAAAAAAGCUUUAAUCUAAGCACCAGAAAUUGCCUGCCAUUAAGUUAAAAAGUUAAAACUUAAAAAUUGGAGCAUACCAUGGUGAACCACAAUAUGCUUGUCAGAUAUUGUCUAUGCCUAAAGACAAAUGACAAAAGCAAAAAAAUAAAAUGGAUUACGAGACAAUAAUCAACAACUUGGUCAUAUAUACAUGUGCAAAUUAGUUUUGCACUGUCACUACUAUCUUUCCAAGAAUUUCUCUAACAAUUGACAUGUGAGACCACGUUGAUGAUUAGUGAUGUAGACAUAAAAAAAAUAUUUAUAACUUCAUAAAUUUGACAUGAAAGAGGUUGAAUGGAAGGUAGAAAAUGGCCUUUAUAUACACUUUCUUCUUUCUCCGUGUCUUCCUCACUUCUUCUUUUGGGAUAUUGUAACACUAAUCAUUGUUCCAUAUAUUGUUACGCCAAGAAGCAAUUGAUUAAAGCUUAAACGUGUUUGGAUUAACAACGAGUUUGAUGAAAUUGUGACGACACUAUAAAAUUAUUAAGACGAUGAUUUUGUUGUGAUCUAUCAUAAUUUCGUCAAAUUCACUCUUGAUUCAAAUCCACGUGUAUAAUUUACUGAAUAUGGUGGAGUGUAAAAUAAUCACCUAACCUUUUUUUUCCCACUCAAUAAUUACCCAACCUUUUGUUUUUUUUCACAAGAAUAACCACCUAACCUAAAAAAGUAUUUUCCUGGAGUAUGUUAUAGCAAUAUGCUAGUACGGUAUUAGUACCGUGUCCUUUUUUAUUUUAUUUUAUUAACGACACGCACAAAACACUAAAUAAAUUAAAUAGUAAAGGCACUGAAAUACUGACAAUAUAUGUAAGGCAUGGCUAGCUAGAAAGAAGAGCUAGCUCUGUUAUCUUUCAACAGCUUGCACAACCUGUUCAAUUGAAUUAAAAUGAAGAUAUGAUCUGUAAUGUUGUACCAUAUAGUAGAGUUUUAAAAAUUAGCUGUAUGAUUUUUACUAUUUAUAUAUACCGCUUGGCUUGUUGUAGACAGGGUAGUUGGAAAACAUCAUGACAUGUAAAAAUUGAAAGACAGUGUUUCAUCUCUUUCAGAAAAUAUACAAAGUUUCAUAUUGUUUGUGAAUCGAGAUUAAAAGUAAUUUAUCCAAUGAGUUGUCUUUUUUAAAGGAAAAAAUUGUUUGAGUUUUUGAAAAACUCACAACAACAAUACAUCAAAAACGCGGUCGAGCCGACUUGAGGUUGGAAAAUUGGUACGCUAGGUAGGUGCCUAAGCAUCAAGCCCUUUAAUUUGUGAGCCUCAAUUGAGGGAUUAAUAAUACACCAAAAAAGUUCCAUAUUAUUUGAGAAUUAAGAUUAAAGUAAUUUGUAAACAUCUAUGCUUCUCUAUCGAUGCCUUUUAACUAAAGAUAGAACCAUGAAGACUUAUACACAAGACCCAAAAAAAGACAAUAUAUCAAAAAAUGGUGUCGCAAAAUUGAGGUAAGAACAAUUUCAUAUAGUGCCUUUGUGGAAUGUAGGCUGGCUUUGCUUCUUAACCACAUUUUCAUUAAGCAGAAUAUUGUUACUUUGUCCGCACGUUUUGUAUUGUGGGGCUUAACCCCUGAAAAUUAAAUGGAAUAUUUUCCUACCGGAUCUAAUUGGUCAAUUAAAUGAAUGAGAACUUAUAUUGUUUAAUGUAAUCUGUUUUCUUUCCAACACAUAUUCCUUCUAGCAGCCAUAUAGUAGACUAUAGACACCGUCUUACAUCCUUGUAAGCAGUUUAUUUAAGCACUAAACAUUUUAUUUAAGCUCUAACCUAAUAAUCACUUGAUAAUAAUUUAUAUCUAUGGUGCUCCCUCUUUCGGUUGUUUAAUGCUUUUCCCCUUUGCUUUAUAUAUUCAUUCAUAACACAAACAUUUGAUGAUGGCAUUUUUGGACGCGUUUCAAUGAACAAAGGGAAGGAGAUAGAAAAGAAAGAACGCUCAAACUAAAAAUUAUCCUUUAGAUAUGUGGCCUCCUUUUUUUGUUCAAGUAUAGGACUUCAUGUAUUAAAUCACUGUUCCUAGAAAAAUGUACUAAAAAAUGAGUUCUUGAGUUUGGAGGUUGUCACUGGUUUUAUCAUGGCACGAUUGCAGGGCAUUGUGACACGAUUAACAGAAAGAGUGUAAUAUUGUACUACCAUAUUAACUAUUUAUCGUGGCACGAUGGUUGCUUAAAGUGACACGAUGACUCAUAAUUAUAGACAAUAUAUAAGACUUCAUUCUUCGGGAUUCAAGAGAGAGAAACCUAGGAUAUCAAAUGAGGUAACUUUAGGGUUGAAUGUCUUUGGUGAGAGGUUCUCUUGGGUUGGGAGACAGUUGUAAAUACUUUGGGUGAGUGAAAUCAUUGAGUCUCUUGUUCUUAGGAAGAGUUUGAGAAAAUGGUAGAAAUUAGGUUUUGUUCUUAGAGAACUUGUUGAGACUAAUUUCUUGUAACUCUUUUGUAUUUCUUUCUAAAGAACUUCUUGAUAGUGAAGUGAAAACGUCUCUCUCCCCAAGAAUAGGUCAUUGUUGGACCGAACUGGACAAACAUUUAUUGGAGUGUUUGUUUAUCUUUUGCUUGUGAUUUUGUGACUUACACUUGAUUCUUAUAUUAGAUUUAGGUUUAUUAUUGGUGUCGUCGUCGUUUGAUGUUACUUUAAUAUUGGUUACUACUUUCUUUUUGUCCCAUAAUCUAAAUUUCAUUAGUGUGAGAUUUGUAGUUAUUGAGUUCACAACAUAACUCAUAUAUGAAAAAACAAAGAAAACUUUAUAAAAAUGCACAAAUAAAUUUCUCAACAUGUCUUAUAUAGGGAGUAUAUAUAACACUUCUUGCCGGUGAGUUGUCAGACUCUUAAAAUGCCACUUUUCCAACAUUGUAUAUAGUUUUUAAGGAAAUGCUUAAAUACAUUGUAUUCUUAAAUACAUUGUCCACUUAUUUGUGUUUUUUUAAAAUUUGUUUUGAAUAGAUAUGCCUAGGGACGAGGAUGAGCGGCAUCGGGUUAUUAGAGAGGAUAGGAUCCGCAAAGGCAACACGGCGAGUACCGCUAGCGCUCGGAAGGAAAAGGUGGACCAAAACCCGUAUGUCCCGAAGACUCGGAAGCGGAGGGACGCGAGGCCAGGUGUAGAGAGCUUACUGCCGCAUAUGUAUUACUCCUCCCAGGUGGUUGAUCCGACACAGACGUAUGUGUAGCGGAGGGAUUUCAGGGAUAUGUUUGGAUGGAGGAGGAUAGAAUGUUUUAUCAGCCGGAGGACGAGGCAGAGGAGGUGCCAGAGGAUGUUGUGGCGGAUUAUAUGGAGGCAGAGAAUGUUAUUCCUAAGGGUAAACCUGAGCCUCAGACUCAGCGACAACGUCGUUGUGUUCCACAGUUAUUGCCAUAUCCUGUUGGAGAGCCUCCAUAUCCUGGAGGACAUGAGAUCACGUCACUGUUGUCCGACUACGUGAGGCACGUGGCGAACCCUCUUUGGGUGAACCAUCAUAAUGUAAGCGUUUAAAUUAUUUAAAAUUCUUUAAAUGCUUUAAAGUGAUUAUUUAAAAUAAUGUAGCAUAAAUGUUAUAAUUAUUUAAAAUAAUGUAGCGUAAAUGUUUUAAUUAUUUAAAAGAAUGUAGCGUUAAUGUUUUAAUUAUAUAAUAUUAUGUAGCGUUAAUGUUUUAAUUAUAUAAUAUUAUGUAGCGUAAGUGUUUUAAUUAUAUAAUAUUAUGUAGCAUAAGUGUUUUAAUUAUAUAAAUUAGUGACAAUGUCUUAAUUAAUUUGAAUUUCAGAUGUGGCAUGAUCAAACGAGUUACAAGUGUAUAAAUGCAGGGAAAAAGAUGAAAGAGCUUGGUAAGCCGGAGGCGGGUUUGAGGUCGUUUUGGGAGCAUGUGGAGGGGUCUGGCCUACAUGAUUUGUUAUACACGGGGUAUUCUACCGUGACCCAUGCCAUGAUACGUGCUAUGUGCGAGAGGUGGCACACAGAGACCAGUAGUUUUCAUCUACCUGUGGGGGAGAUGACGAUCACUUUAGACGAUGUACAUAAUCUCCUACACAUUCCUAUUCACGACCGCAUGCUGGACCACGAUGAGGCAAUGGAGCAUGCGAUUGAUUUGAUGACCAGGUUGUUGGGUAUGUUAGAUGUUGAUGCUAGGGCUGAGAUAAGGACUGAGUCUGCUGGUCAUAUUAGUUAUCCCACACUGAAGUGGGUUUAUGAAGACCACCUGACAGAGGCUAGACGGCUGGAGGACCCACAGACGAGGGAGGAGCUGCAGGAGAGAGCCAGGAGGAGACAAUGGUGUGUGAGGAGUUUUCUUCUAUAUCUCGUCGGUUGUGCGCUGUUCACUAACAAAACGAACAGACACAUCGACUUGAUAUAUCUUGAUUGUAUGGCGGACUUGCAGGCGAUUGGGAAGUGGUCAUGGGGAGGAAUGGCCUUAGCGUACUUGUACUACUAUCUGGAUGAUUCUGUUAUUUUGAAUAACAGAACGAUGGCUGGUAGUACGACUCUUUUUAUGGUAAUAAUUUAAUAUUUAUCUUCAUUUCUUUAUGAAUUUAUUUUAUAAUUUUUAUUAUCAUGUUAGAUUAUUUUUUCCUAAGUUAGACUGCAUUUAUUUAGGAUUUAAUUUAAAUUUUCUGUGAAGCUUUUAUAAUGUAUUUUAUUUAUUUGUUGCAGUGAUGGAUUUUGGAGCAUUUGUCUGGUCCGUACACAAGGAAGAAAAACACGGAGUGAACGCCCGAGAGACCAUAUGCUGGGAGAUGGCUUACAAGCAAAGGACAUAAAUAUGUGCACCAAUUUCGCUCACGCCUGGAUCGCUUGGAGGUGGAUGACGUCAGGUUUUCUACUUAUGGUGAUCACAGAGACGUGCACCUAUUUCAACUUAUUGUCACUUACUCGGGAUGGCUGAUGUGCGGAAAGGAGAUGGUGUAACGUCAUUUAUUUGAGCGGGUAAAGAGGAGGCUUUUCUAUGUACAGGAUGUUCCCAGACAUCCGUCAUCUGUUGCUCAGGUGCCUACGCAUGAUCUCACCACUGUGCUGCAAAACGCUCAGGCAUGGUUCUUCACUGCUUGGGGAGAUGCGUGUGAGAGACCAUGGCAUCAUGCGCCUGACUACAUGGCUUGGUAUGCCAAAGUCUCUCACCCUCGUAUUCUCCCACCUAAUGAAGGAUCUCCUCCCAGACCUACGAACGUGGAACAGAUCAUAGAGGAGGAGCAUGCCAGAGAGAUGCCUGACACACUGACGAUCAUCCGGGAUGUGGUGCAUAUAGCUGAUGAUAUUGUGGCCAGGCAAACCGAGAUGACUAAAGAGGAGAUUGUCCAAGAGGUGAUGCGGAUAGCCGGUACUGGUCGCCCUGCCCUUACGUAUCAGAUUGCCAGGCGGCGCAGGGGGCCAAGGCAUGCUAGGCAGCAGGGUUGAUUAUGAUUAGGGUUUUUUUUAUUUACUUUUUUUACUGUGAUGUAUAAUUAUGACAUGUUCCGUACAUUUUGGUAUUUAUAUGACAUUUUCCGACAUACCUUUUAUAUUAUUUCUUGCGUUUUAAUUUUUUAUGUUAAAUAUUAUUUUGUACACGUACAUUUUAAUUUCCCGACAUAUCCUGAUUAUUUACUUUAAUUUUCAAUUGUAUGCAAAAACAGGCCAAAGUUCCUGGAAAAACCAGUGCAGAGUGCACUGGUUUUGUUAACUAGUGUGAACGGCAAUUAACUGCCGCUGGUGUCAGUGGUUGUUAACUGUCGGCGUAUCAUGAAGCGGUUGUUAACUGUCGCUAGAGGCAUUUACGUAUUUUACUUGUGUCAAUAUGAAAUUUUCACUGUCAAAAAAGCAAUUUUCUCAUUCUUUUUGGGUCAAGCCGUUCUACCCAUUUUUAUUUGGGCCGUUUCAGAGUCCACUCUGGUGGAGGGCCCGAAUUAGGGCCCAUUUAGUAUAGAUUUAAAAAAAUUAAAAUUAUUUUAACACUUUUUUUUCUUCAAAAAUGAUGUUAAUAAAAAACAGUACAUAUUUUAGACACAUUUUUUAUUGAUUAAAAGAGUAAUAUUGACAUUCAGUAAGUAACCUAGAUAUCCACGUUAGAGAUUUUAACAUAAUAGAGAUUCAUUUUUGAAAUAUCUCUCAAAAAUGAAUUUUGUGAGAAUCUAUUCAAAAUAGCUUCUUAUUUUAUAUAUAUUUUUUUGAAAUUUUAUCAUCCAAAAUCGGUAAUAAAAUGUUGAAAUAUUUAAAUUGAUUUUUCCAUGAGAAUCUUUGUAUCUGAAAAAAGCCAAGGGCAAAUGCAAGCGCAUCCCUUAAAAAGAAAUUACUUGGCUCCCUUAGUCGAUUUUUUUUUUUGGUCUAGAGUCGAUUUUUUAUUUUCAUCCGAAAAAGGAUAAUUCAUCACUUCAAAAAUAAAUAAAUAUUUUUAUUCAUUAAUUUAAAAACAUUAUAAUCAAAUUUAUAAUAAAAUAUACGUGCGUUUAUAAUAAAUACUUAAAUUACAUAAAAUUGUUAUUUUUAUCAUCGACAAAUUUACAUCGUACUUGUGAAUUGAAAGUCUAAAUAAAAAACAUACAAUAAUUUUCAACCUGGAAGUUUUUCCCUAGUAAAACAUGAAAGUUUUUUUAAGUAAACAUGGAAGUAAAUUCUCUAAUAGAAAAUAUCAAAAUAGUGUAAGAAGUUUACAAAGUGCAAUAUUUGGAUUGAGAGGAUUCACCAUGCUUGAGGGAUGUUAUCUAGAGCUGUUAAAACGAACCGACCUUGGGUCAUAAAAGCCCGAAAAAUGCCGGGUUUGCACAUAAAAAAUUAGUCCCGUUAAAAAUCGGAUCUUUUUAGCCCGAGCUCGUCGUGGGCUAGCCCGUUUAUUUUAUAAUUAUUUUUUAAUUUAUAUUGCUAUACUGAAAGCUUGGACAUUGUUUCCUAGUUUCCACAAUGGUUCAGUAAUGCAUUUUUAUAUGUUUCAAUAUCUAAUUCUAUUCAAUAUGUUUCCUGUCAACCAAUGAUGAUCAUUUUGUUGAUGCCUAAAGGUUAUAAACUGAUGCAACUUUGUUUAGAUAAUUUUUUGAUGUUGUUUAUAAGUAAUUGCUGUGCUGUUAAUUUUAAAUGAACUUUGUUUACAUCAAAAUUCUGCUAAUUAUAAGUAAUUGCGGUGCUGUUUUGCUGAUGAUGCAGGGGUAUGCAAUUUAUGUUGCUCUUUUGAUUGUAUUAUUGUGGAUUUGAAUGUAAUUUGCUGUAAUGUCUACUUUAAUAUGUAAUAUUUGGCACAUGAAAAUUUAACAUUGGUAUUUUGGGAAGUUUAGCAUUCAUUGGUAUUUUUUUAGAGUAAUUUUUUAAUUAAAAUCUUAAAGUAACCGGGCUGGCCCGAAAGGCCGUAGUCCGCAAAGGGCUGGACUUGGACAAAUAUUUUUGAGCCCACCAAAGCCCGAGUCCGUCACGGGCCGGUCCGACGCAGGCCGGAUAGUCCGUUUUGACAGCUCUUGUUAUCGCAUGUUCUUUGGAUAAUUUAGUGAGCUAGGCUCUCAUUGUACCGUUGCUCUCUCUAUUCUUUUCUUCUGAUAAUUAAUAUUUUAUUGUCCCCGUGAGUAUAGCUCAAUUAGUAGGGACAUUGCAUAAUUUAUGCAGGGGCUGGGGUUCGAACUCUGGACACACCACUUCUCCACAUUUAAAUGUGUGAGCUCCCGCCACUAGGCUAUUAAACAAAAAAAAAAUUAUUGAAUUUGUCUAACCAACAGGAGAGACGGAAAAAACGUGGGAUGGGAGGGCUAGAGAUAUUAUUGUACUUUCUAUUUAGAUUAUUAGAUUAGAUAUUAGAUUUUAAUUAAAUGACCUCCUAGAUUUUAUGGAUCCCUCCCCUCUCUAACCUCCAAUAAUUAAAAGUCGAAGUCUCUUAAAAGAGUAGUGUAGUGAUUUGGAUUAGGACACAAAAAUUACAUGUAGGAGGUCUAGGGGUCAAUCUCUACUCCUAACAUUUACCAUAACCUUUAUUGACUAAACCAUUUACCAUGCUACUAAUAUUUGUUAUUUUGAUCGUUCUUAAAAAGAACACAGAGAAGGAGAAGAAAGAAAAAUAGAGAAGAGGAGUAAACAGAGAUAAAAAAGGAGAGAUGAUGGGGAGGAUCUACAUACACUCUUGACAGAACUAAUUUGUUUAAUUGAUCUCCACCCAUUAAGUUAUCUUCAAAAAUAUAAAUUGAUGACACCAACAAAAUUUCAACGCGGUAAAAAUUCGUAAAAGAAAUUCUCAAAUUCACUAGUGAAAAAGUAAAACUUAUACCGGUAUAUAAGAGCAGUACCUCCAAUGGUAAACUUAUUUAAAGGAAUUUUGUGGGUCAAAAUAGAGCAACACCAUCUUGAAGCAAUCCACUUAUAUUUUGCUCCAUUGAUGCAAUUCUAAAAAACCAAUGCAUGGUCCCACAAUUUUAAUUCAUAUAUUAAUAUUUUAAUAAAGGUUAGGAUCAAAUGACACCAUGGUGUUAAAAUUAGUUUGACAUCAAAUCUCAUCCCUUCAUUUUAUUUAAUUCAAAGGCUUAAAACUAUCACCAAAUUAAUUAAUAUACACCAAAUACUCUCUAUCACCUAAUUAAGAAAAAUAUCUAUCAUCAUUAAUUUAUAAUCAAACAUUCCAUUUUUAUUUCCUCAAAUUUAUUUGUUUCUCUUUUUUAUUUCCCCAAAUUUAUAAAUUUUCCCAGAUUUCUAUAAUCAUACUCAAACUUCUUUUCUAAACUUUUUUAUAAAAUGAAUGGUUGAACUCAUAUUUGAGUAUAUGAGAUAAAGAUAAAGAAAUAUCAUUGAUGGUGAUGAUGACUCAAACAACCAUAGGUAUAUGAGUUCAACCAUUCAUUUUAUAAAAAAGUUUAGAAAAGAAGUUUGACUGUGAUUAUAGAAAUCUGGGAAAAUUUAUAAAUUUGGGGAAAUAAAAAAGAGAAACAAAUAAAUUUGGGAAAAUAAAAAUGGAAUGUUUGAUUAUAAAUUAAUGAUGAUAGAUAUUUUUCUUAAGAGAAAUGAUAUUUGUACAAACAAUUUGUGACAACUUUUGUACAACUUUCUCUCUCAUACUCACAUGAUGGUCUUAUCCUCUCUCUUCCUUUUUCUCUCUCCAUUGUUUUUGACCAAUAAGAAGAGAGAAAAACAAGGUUGUUACUAAAGUUGUCAUGGAAUGGAUGUACAAAUAUCAUUGCUCUUUUUUAAUUAGGUGAUAGAGAGUAUUUGAUGUAUAUUAAUUAAUUUGGUGAUAGUUUUAAGCCUUUGGAUUAAAUAAAAUGAAGGGAUGAGAUUUAAUGUCAAACUAAUUUUGACACCAUGGUGUCAUUUGAUCCUAAUCCUUUAAAUAAUAUGCAAGUAUAAUUUUGUACCGAUUCAUGAAGAGACGAUUAUUACAUGCUGUCAAAAUAUUGGACAACUUCAAUGGUAAUUUAUGGAAAAAGUGGAUGAUAAGUUGGAUGAAUGAUCCUUGAAAAGUGCCGUCAGAUAUGCUCUAGGUGAAAUUCACUUUAGGUUGGGUAAAACUAUCAACGUCGCAUUUUUUUUCUUCAAACAUGGACUCUAAAAAAAAAAACUGCUUUAAGAUGUUUAAUUUUCUUAAUUACUUUUCUGCUCAUAAAUAAUUUUGAACAUCUUUUACUAUCUAAAUUUUUUAUUUUUUUUAUAUUAUUUUUGACAAAAUCCAAUCAUAGUUUUUAAAAAAAUAAUAUUUUUUUUCAAAGAAAAUGAGUAUGUUAGGAAAAAAAGGGAAGUUGAUAAUAAUUUUAUUAGAGAAAAAAUGAUGUGCUGACAAGUUAAUUGUUGGGCUGGCAAUAUCACUACUUCCGUGGCCCAGAACUCAUUAUUCAUUAGUUGACAAUUUGAAUGAUUUUGUGUUUUAUUUUAUGAAAGAUUUUUUAUUUUAUUUUUUGUGGUGUUACAAUUUGAAUGAUUAAUAUAGGACCCAAAAUUGUAACAAUAAAAGAAAAGAGGACCCAAACAAAAAUAAAAGAAGGGGGAAAAUGACAUGUCCUCCUUACUUAUGAUAUACGACGACUAUAGGGGGACCAAAUUUUGCUGGAGAAUUGCUAUUCUCACAUUUGAUAAGGCUGUGGCACACGAGUAAUUUACUUUUUUGCCCCUUCGGCAGUUAAUUGCCGAGGAAAAUCUCGGUAGUUAACUGCCGAGAAUCUUCUACUAUAAAUCUGGCAGAAGCUCUCUCAUCCAUUAUUCAUCUCAUCUUCUUCAAAUUUCUCUCACAAAUCUCUCUUAAAAACACAACCAAAUCGAACCAAAUUUAUUCAACAAAAUCAGAAGUAAGUAAUUAUACUGCUAUUAAUUUACAUUUUAGUUGUUAUAAAUGUUUUUAUUUUUUAGUUUUUGAGUACAUUUAUUAUUUUUUAUUUUUUGACUAGAUUUACAUGUUAUAAUUAAUUUUUAGGGUGGAUUUUAGUUGAUUAAUGUUGUUAAAAUAUUUGCAUGAUGUUUAUGUUAUAAUUUAGAAUUUUAGGGUUAUUUAUUAUUUUGUUGUUUUAUAUUUAUUUUUUUAUUUUAGUUUUUAAUUAGAUUUACAUGUUAUAAUCAUUUUUAGAUUAGAUGUUAGUUGAUUGAUGUUAUAUUAUAUGAUUAAUUUUAUUUUAGUAAGAGUAUAUGAUUUAUAAUUUUAGGGUUAUUUUUAUGAAUUUUAGAGUCUAUGUAUAAUGUGCACAUCAAGUGUUUGAUGAAAUGUUUGAAUGAGUUUUUCAUUGAUUGUUUUUAAUUUCUUAUUGUGUAGAUUUGAAACAAUGACGGGGUGGAUCGACGUUCAUGCGCAAUUCAACGGCGGAGAACCUCAGAGGUUGAAGGUUUGGUGCCUUGGUGUAAAGUUAAGAGGUCUUAAGGAUGAACUGACUGAAUUCAACCAAGGAGUCAACCCCAGAGACACAAGGAGGGUGGAACACCUUCGGUAUAAACGUCAAACGCUCGACGAGGGGAGAGUUUCAUUCACUUGGGUGGAAUUAACAAACGACGAAAACGUGACGAGCAUGUUUUGAGAGCACAACAUGUUCCAAUGGAUCGAUAUGCGGGUGACGUUGCUGAGAUCAACUGAAGAUAUCAUCAACAACUUGAUUCCGCCAGAAGAUCGUCAUUAGUUAGGGUAAGGUGCAUUCCAACUGCAAUAAUUGUCUUACUCUGGAUGAGGCAAUUCAAACUUGUUAAUCAGCAGGACUCUAGUAUUCGAUAAGCGUCUUGAACGCUGGUAUUCAAGUGUCAAGGAAUGCACCUCAUUCUUUUGACACUUGAAUACCAGCGUUCAAGAUGUUGAUCGAAUACUGGAGUCCUGUUGGUUAGCAAGUUUGAAUUUGCCCCAUUCAGUGGUAAGAUGAUUGUUGCAGUUGGAAGGUACAUUUUGAAAUGUAAUGUAAUUUGUAAUGCAAUGUAAUGUGAUAACAUAUAUUUUGUCUUGAAUGGAACAAUAAUUAUCUUAUUUAUUCACUUUUCGAAUUUAUUUAUUCAUUACGCAAUUUUAAUUAGUUGGAUUCACAUUAGAUUUAAUUAGUUUUUAUUCGAAUACGCAAUUAUUAAAAACGCGACUUUAAUCGAAAUUAUUUCAAAUGCGAUUUUAUUCUAAGUACCAUAAUGUCAAACAAAAUGUGCGAAACACAAAAAUAAAAUAAAACAUAAAAAUAUCGAAAACAAUUAGGCAUUAAAAGCCACUACAUUCAUUCAUCCUCGUCACACAAGUCAAUCGGGUUUCCCGCUACAGUCCCUGCGGCACCUUGUUUUGGUUGAGGACCAAAAUAGCAUGUCCUCCCGCUCCUCCUCAACCUCGAGUGAUUAUACACCGGCACCUUCGAACCCUUCUUUUUUUCGGAACCAUCGCAAACAAUUCCGUGCCACGUCAUAGGCGAUUUUUCUUUGUUCUUCUCAUCACCCUGAACGUUACCCUGAUUCUGAUUCUGAGACAUAUCUACAUUAAAAAAAAAUGGCGAUCAAAACCUAACUAAACAACAAUGCCAUAAAAUCGUAAAAUCAAAAACUAAACCUAAACCUAAACUAUCAUCAAAACCUACACCUAAACCUAAACAAUUCUAACAAUUCUACAACGAUUCAUCAAAACCUAAACCUAACAAUUCAAUAAAAGUUCUCUAACAACUCUAACCAUUCUAACCUAAACUAUCCUAACAUAUCAUAAAAUCAACAAAUCAAUAUAGUCGAACCUAUAUAAUCGAAAUUAAAAAAAAAAAAAAAAAAAAAUUCAACCGCAAAACAACAAUGCAAUAGGAUUAAAAAAACUUACUUGUUUUUGUGAUUGAAAUUGGCUUGGAAUGGCUUGAAAUAGCUCAAAAUCGUACCUUGGAGAUCAAAAAACGUAACAAUGGAGUUUUGGAAACUCCUAUGUCUGUUCUGUUCUUAUAAUAUUUUUCUCGGCAGUUAACUGCAGCCGAAUUUCUAAUUCCUCAACAGUUAACUGCCGAGGGGGCAAAAAAGUAAAUUACUCGUGUGCAACAUCCUUAUCAAAUGUGGGAACAACAAUUCUCAUUUUGCUGGUCCACACACGAAGACAUGAGUAUACAAACAAGGUCAUUUGAUGUAUAUUUAUUUUGGUUGGCAGAAGAGCAGCAGCACCUAUAACUGAGAGUUGGACAAUGAUAUAUUGUUAGCGAUGGAUGUAACUGAUUCCAUUAUUCAUCAUCUAGUUCAGAGUAUUAUGAAACAUUAUAGCUUUAUCUGUAUUUAUUUAUGAAGAUUCAGAGUAUUCCAAUUUUUUAAACCAAGACAAAUUAUUGUCGUAGUGCAUGGCUGUUUUUAACCAAACAUUUUUUCAAGACAUUUAACCCUGUCUUAAAACAUGUUUAAAAUUUGGAGUGGCUCUGCAUGAGCAUAACUCCAAUGCAUUUAUUUCUUCUUUAGGACUUGUUAUGAGUUAUCUAGUGCAAAUUUUAUUCGUAAGCCGGUAUAUCCCGCAAUAAUCUUUGAGCUAAAACUUCCUGUUAUGAACUUUUUCUUUGAUGCAAAUUUUAUUUGACUAUGCUUUCUAAUAGAAUCCAUACAACAAAAAAUAUGUUUGCGGUCAUCAAGGUUUAUAACUUAACUACUAGUUUGCGCAAUAUUUUUUGAAUAAUGUGCUGUUGAUGUUACAUUACUUAUAGUAUACAUUCUGUUCAGUUGAGAUAAAGAGUGUUGGAAACACAUUCUUUAGCCGUCAAGUUAGCCUUUUAUUCUUUCCCUUAUCGGAGUUGGAGAUAGGUACACGCGUAAUAAAAGAAAGCUUUGACAGAUCCAUCGAUCACUUUAAGUGCACAUAGCCCCUCUCGGUUGGUCUUCGCCCUACCUCUUUCGCUAAGACCCUUGUCCUGUCCCUAGAUAUUGCACGUUUAAAAAGCGUGGUCCAAAAAAGUCAUAACCAGAUCAAAUUUUCAAGUUGGUUGGGAAAUGUAUCUAAAACUAAUACAGGAACAAUCUUGUGGAUUUCUAAUAUUGUUGUCCAUUUAUUUACUUACUACACCCCCUUCUCUUUUUAUUUAUUUAUUUAUUUUAUUUUGGGUGUUCUUACAUGAUAGUACCUCCGCCUGGAACUUAAUUUUUAUUUUACUACACCCCCUACCUUUUGGUUAGAAUCUCAUUUUUAUUUUAAUAAAGGCCCUUCUCUCAUUUUUGUUAUAUAUUUGAAACUUAAUUUUUAAAAUCCCAAAAAAAUUAAAUAUUGAAAUAUGAUUUUAAUAUUAUUUUUUGUUUUAAUGUCAUUUUUGUCACUGACAGAUGUAUAUUUUAUUUUACCACAUUAUUAUAAUGUAUUUAUAGGGUCCUGCCAGUUUUAAUAAUGUUAUAUGUAAUAUGGAAAUAUGGUUAAGAAAAUAUUUGCAAUUUAUUAAAAUAUAAAAAAAGGAAUAAAGAUAGAAAUAUAUAUAUAUAUAUAUAUAUAUAUAUAUAUAUAAUAUUUUAAAAACUACCAUUACUAUGGUUGGUAAUAUUAUUAUAAUGAAAAGACGUGUUGGGAUGAUUUACAAAAUAAAAAAAUCCCAUUAGUCUGAAAAUUUAAAGCGUUAAAUGAAAAUGUGAAAAUAUUUUUUAUCUACAUUGUGAUAUAAUUAUUUGUGCGAAAAUGUCAAUAGUAUUGUGGUAUCAGAAAUGAACCUAAUCUAGAAGUCUUAGCUCAACUGGCAAAAUACCAAAAUUGUUAGGCUGGAUGCUAUGACUGGAGUUCGAACCCCGAUACCUCCACUUUUGUGUGUGAGUUUUUAAUGGUUUUGCCAUUUCGUCUUAUCUAAAAAAAAAAAGAACCUAUAUUUCCUAAAUAAUUAUUUGCAAAAUUUGAAUUAUAGUUUGUGAUGAUGAAAAACAAUAAUUUUCUUUUGUUUACCUUUCACGAAAAGAAAAACUGAGCAUCAAAGAAAGAGAAGUUACUACCGGCUUUUUGCCAACUUUGGACAAUAUUAUUAAUACACACAUACAUAUAUGAAAGGAUUAUUAUUAAGAUUCUAAAAUCAUACUACUAGCCUUUUAAAAAAAGUUAAUUAGACAAGUGAUGACAUUUUCAUAUGUGAAAAUUGUUGUAAUAUUUAGGCAUAAAUUAUCUCUAAAAAUAAUAAUCAAUAAAAUAUAAAUAAAAGAGAUCAAUAAACUUAUCUCUUUUGAGAUUGUGUUGAAUUGACCACCGACAUAACUCAUCAAUAACUAUCUUUAUUCAUGGAUUCAAUACGAGAACUGCAAAAUGAACAAAUAAUGAAAGUAGUUUGAGACGCGCUGAUCGCACUAUCUUUAAGGAUAUUUCGCGUAUAAUACGCUAAUCUCCCAAAAUUUAACAUAUUCUUCUUGAUUUAAAAUCAAAGAUACAGAACUGGCAAUAAGAAAUAUUUUCAGGAAGAUGUAACCCAAGAUUAUGCACUAGAUUCAUAGAAUUAGAGAGGAUUAUUUAUAGGUUGUGCAUGAGUUUUUAUAUAAAAGAAAAUUGGUGUUAUUGAUAUUCAAAAGAAAAGGAACCGUAACAAUGGUUGAAAAAUAGGCAGUUAGAUCAUUAGAAAAAGUAGGCACUCCUAAGAUAUAUUAGCAGCCCAUACUCAAACAUAACCUGCCGUUUUAAUUUGUUUUUUUCGGUUACAAAAUAGAAAGCAUGCACCUUGAUUACUCUUUAAUAUGAAAGUAAAUAUCCUUAAACAAAAUCAAGUUAAAAUAAUGCGGUGAAAAGAAGUAGAUCAAGUCAACUAUUAGUAUUAAUCAUAAAUAAAAUAAUAAUAAAUUUUUACUAACAAAUAUAUUAUAAAACUUUUGAAAUAUAAUCAAAAUUUACAACAAUAACAACCAAAUGUCACUAUGGCACAUGUUAAAAUUUAAUUACAUAUUUAAUAUCGCGUUGAAGUUUGUCGAAAUUAGAGUGAAUCAACCAUAAUUCUGAAUCAUGAUAUAUUGUUCAUAUAUAUUAAUAUUUGUUGUGCAUGUGAGCUACACGGGUAGACGUAAGUUGACAUUGAAUGACUUCAUAGAUGGAAAAUCACUCCCAAUUUCUAUCACUCUCAUAUCUCUUUCAUCUUUUUCUCUUAUAAAACACCUAAAAAAUAAGCUAAAUUUGCCACAACUUUCUUUUCACAAAAUCUCCUAAUCGGCUAAUCCUAAUUUUGACGUACGCAUCAAAUGCAGAAGCAAAAUACAAACGAAAUAACCAAGCUAACAUUCUUUCCUUAAAAAAAGAAAAAAAACAAGCUAACAUUCCCUAAAAUAAAAAAAGGGUUAAUUAUGUUUUAGAUUCCUAUAAAUAGGCGCGUUUCCAACAUUAGUAUUUACUUAAAUUUUAUUAAAUUUUUGGUCUCCAACGUUUUUUUCCGUUAGCAAAAUAGGUCAUCGCUGUUAAUUAUUGCUGAUUGAGCAAACGGUGGAGCACACAUAGAUGCCACAUCUGACUUUUUUUUUUUGGUUAAAUACGGUUUUAGUCCCGGUAAAAUUGAGGCAUUUUAAGCUUAGUCCUUAGUUAAUUUUAAUAGUUGUUUUAGUCCGUACAAAAAUAGUAUGCACUUGGUAUUAGUCCCUGCCCAAUUCAAAUUUGUUCAAUUUAUACUUAAACUCUUGUAUACUGCCACUAGUUAUAAUAAACUAGUUAUGAUAAAUUACGUCUUCUUUAUCUUGACGAAAUGGGCGGAAUGAUUAUUACAUACCAAAAAUAUUCAAGAUUUUCACUAUCUUAUCGAUGACUUCUCUUGCAUUGUCGGGCAGGACAGAUUUUUGUUCUGGACCGGACAAAAGGACCUUUGACCCAUUUACUUAGGCCCAACACAAUCCAAAGCCCAAACACCAUGUUUGGCAACAUUACUUGCGACACACCCCCUUUCGCACAAGGGGGGGUGCACGGAGCGAGCAAGACCGGUUCAAACGAGCCACAACGCUCUCUGCACGUUCCCGCAAUAAACUCUCUGGCGGUUACACUUCCCACGAUUUUGUAACCCCCAGAGUCAGGUGUGCCAUUACAACGGCUCUGCAGUCCUCCACCUCUAUAAAUAGGGGACUCAUAACAGUCCCCAAGGUAGAAUCUAACCUUCCUCGAAACCUUCACUCUCUGAUCUCUACUUACUUGAGUGUUGGAGUGUUUGCAGGUACGCAUCCCCCAUUCGCUCCAAGAAAGCAUUCUGAUGCAUUCUACCACCACUCAAACCACCGCAUUCAAAGUACCGGCAGUCACCUUCUAAUCAGGUACGAUCAGUUUUGUUGCCGAAUUGAUAGUUUUUUUUUGGAAUAAUUACUAGUCAAAAAUAUAUUUUCCUGAUAAAAAUACCAUCAUAACUAGUUUUAGUAGGUUUUUUAGUCCCUACAAAAAAAAAAUUACUUCUAAAUUUAGUCCUUGCUAAAACAAAGUUUGUUUAAUUAUCCUUAAACUCUUAAAUUUUUAAACGAUUUUUUUUAGACAAGUUUAGAACACUAUGAAAGGUUCAAUUACUAAAGUUUAGAAUUUUUUAACAUGAAACGAAUUAAAUAUGAAUUUUUGAAAACGAUAAAAGUUAAAGAUAAAAGUAAUGAAAUCUGGAUAUAUAAAUCAAAUUUUGCGAUAAUUUUUUGCUGAGGAACUUUUAGUAAUGUUCUUAAGACGUCUACAAAAAUUGUUAAAAAAUUAAGAGUUUAAACAUAAAUUAAACAAAUUUAAAUUGAACAGAGACUAAUAUUGAGUGCAUAAUAUUUUUGUAAGGACUAAAACAAUUAUUAAAAUUAAGUAAGGAUUAAACUUAAAAUGCCUCAAUUUUAUAGGGACUAAAAACAUAUUUAACCCAACAAAAAAAAAAGUUAGAUGUGGCAUCCACGUGUGCUUCACCGUUUGCUCAAUCAACAACAUUUAACAGCGAGAACCUAUUUUGCUAACGUCGGAGAUCAAAAAUUUAAUAAACCCAUAAAAAAAAUAACCAAGCUAACAUAAUAAAAAAAAUACAAACUCCAUACCAUCUCCAUUCAAUCUAUUGGUGAUUCCUCAAAAAAAAAAAAAAAAAAACCCAAAAAACUCAAAGUAUAUAUCCUCCUCCAAUUGUUGAAGAGAAAAGCAUACACUCGUAAUAGUAUAAUCUUUCGGCUAUUAAUUGUAAUUAGCAUUAAUUAAUGCUUCAUCUUAAAAGUAAUUAAUUAAGUACUUGUUGUCUAAGCCAGACUUGGCAGUUUCCAUAUCUAUUUUAUCUGACACAUAACCACACAAACAAUCUCGAUUGAACCGCCAUUUAUUAACCUUGGCUUUGCCUCCCGCACUCACAGGUUCACUCUCUCUCUCUCUCUCUCUAUUCCUUGGUGAACCACAAAACGACAACAACUGCUUAAAACCUUAGAUAAUGGCAACGACAACUACAACAACUAAAACAACAAUAACCAAUUCCCUCAAACCUCAAAACCAACAACAACAACCCAUUGUCAAACCUAAACGACGCAAGUGUCGCGAAACCACAAUCUCCACUUCCGCCACACAACCCGAACCCGAACCUCAAUUACCCGAUUCACCUUCUACUUACACAGUUCGUUACUCACCUGGUAGAUUUUCACCAAUCAUGGAUUUCACACACUCUUCUUCUUCACCAAUUUCAAACGGACAUUCCACUUCCGGUUCGGGUCAUGACCCGUUUCCUUCAAGCUUCACCAAAUUCAACUCUGCACUCACCGCCGGUCUUCUCAACCCAAUGUCGCCGCCACCGGACAAAACCCGAUCAAGUCCAACUCUCUUCGAAAUGAUGGUCAACGAACCCGAUAUUCAACAACGGACAAAUCAGAUCCCAAUCAACAAUGCAACUUCUUCAAUGCCAAAACCCCAAAUUAUUGCACAAGAUCGAGAAACCCUAAUGAUGAAUCGAAUUUCUGAACUAUUAUCUUCACGUAGUCCUGGUAAUCAUUUCAAUGAUUCAUCUUCCAGUGAUAUUAAGCUUACUCUUAGUUCUAAAGAUGGAUUCAGUGUUUCCAUGAAUGUGCAUCGUCAGAUUCUUGUUGCGCAUAGUAGAUUUUUUUCUGUCAAGCUUUCUGAUCGGUGGACGCAGAGUCAGCAACGUUCGGCGUUACCGUAUCUUGUUGAAAUUGCGGAUUGUGAUGAUGUUGAGGUUUAUGUCGAGACUUUGAGGUUGAUGUAUUGUAAGGAUCUUAGGAAGAAGCUUAUGAAAGAGGAUGUUUGUAAAGUUUUGGGUAUUUUGAAGGUAAUGAGUUUUUAUUUUUGGUGGGGUUUGUUUAAUUUGUUGUUUAUGGUUUAAUAAUAAUUGUUCUGUUUUAUUAGAUUGAUAAUGUAGUAUACUGUAGGAUUAGAUUGAGAUUUGAUACUUUUGCUAUGUUUUAUUAACUGGAUUAUAAUGCAAAUUGUAGGAUUAGGUUAAGACUAUAGCAAGUUUGAAUUUUAGAUUUUAACUGUUUGCAGACAAUUAUAGUUAUAUGAUAAGAUAACAUAAUUUCUGUCAUGUUGUUAUAUUACUUACUAAAUAUGCAACCGUCAAAGCCUAUGUAGCACCAACACUUCGGAUUAAAAGAGCGUCUGGGACACCGAGACAUAUGGUUGGUUACGUUUGAUUAAUCUAUUUAUCAAACAAUUGUAGGUGUUGCGUGUCAGUAUUUGUGUCUGGUGUACAUGUCUGAUUCAUGGAUUUGCGUUUUUUGUUUUAUCUUAGGUUUCGGCUGCAAUUGGAUUUGAUGCUGGGGUUUUGUCUUGUUUGGAGUACUUGGAAGCGGCACCGUGGGCAGAGGAUGAAGAAGACAAAGUGGCGUCGCUCCUGUCUGAACUUCGUCUUGAAUCUGUUGGAGCUGUGGAGGUUUUGAAGAGGGUUUCCACUGAAGUUGCCAAUGGAAAUGAAGAGGGGAAUGACAACGAGGAAGUCUUGCUUAAACUUAUUCGUGUGGUUCUUGAAGGUAAAGAUGAAAAGGCUAGGCGAGAGAUGAAAGGGUUGGUGUCGAAGAUGCUGCAUGAGAAUUCUUCUCAGAAUGAUCUUCGGAAGGAGUCAUUAUACUCGGCAUGUGAUGAUUGUCUGCAAUUACUUCGUCACCACUUUUUGCGGGCUGCGGAUUCAGACCUGCAGGAUGUAAGUCAAAUUGCACGACAAGCAGAUAAUUUGCAUUGGAUUUUGGAUAUUUUGAUUGAUAGACAGAUUGCGGAGGAUUUCCUGAAAAUGUGGGCAUCUGAAUCAGAAUUAUCUGAAGCACAUUCUAAGGUGCCUGCAGUUCAUAGGUUUGAGGUUAGCAGAGUUACCGCUAGGUUGUUUGUUGGGAUUGGAAAGGGACAAUUGUUGGCUACUAAAGAGGCUAGGUGUUUACUUCUCAAAACGUGGCUUGUUCCAUUUUAUGAUGAUUUUGGUUGGAUGAGGAGAGCAUCCAAGGGCCUUGAUAGGCAUAUAAUUGAGGAUGGUCUUAGUAACACAAUUCUCACCUUACCACUCUCCUGGCAACAGGAAAUUUUGCUUGCUUGGUUUAAUCGCUUCUUGAAUUCCGGUGAAGAUUGCCCAAAUAUUCAAAGAGGGUUUGAAGUUUGGUGGAGAAGGGCUUUCUGGAAGAGGAACGGAGAGCAAGACCGGACAAGACAAUUACGAAUUACAUCUGCAUCAGUUGAGCAUACUUGAAGAUGAUAUUUUUCCACAGUGGAGGAAACGGCAGACUAUAUACAUGGUGUGUCACCUUUUAACCUUCUCACGAUCGUCUCUAUAUGAUUCCUCUAUGAUUAUCAGUAUUUAAGCCUUCUGUCAAACUCUGGUAGAAAGAAUAGAUGCGCAAACCUUUGUGUGAAACUAGUUUUAGACUCAAUGUCUUCAUGCUUUGCCUGGUAGAUGGCACUAUUUAUUGCCACCUCCUAUUUUGUGGGAAAUAACCAGAGAGAAUACUUCUGUUUUCUUUUUCUUCCUUCAUAUCUGUUGUGUGAUUUACACCUAGGCUGAUCAUGAUUUUGGACUCUCUUGUCAGUUGAAUGGAUUGUACUCUGAUAAGAAGGAACAGAUAAAAGUGAUUCUGAGAUACCUAACAAAAAUAAAUCCCUCAUCUUAUCAAUGAGACUGUUUGGUCUUCCCCAUGCAUGCAAGAUAAAGCUUCAGAGAAAUUUUUACUUGUAGCAUGUUAUAAAACAAAUUAAGUGGUCAUAGCAUAUAGUCACCUGCACCUUUAUCGUAUCGUAUGCCAGGAUGUUUAGUUCAUGAUGCUCAUUUGUCAAUGUCUCAUGCUUCAAACCACCAAAUUUUCGUGUUCGGGUCUGUAAUGAUUUUCAAUGUUUGAUUUUUUCUCUGUGAAGUCAAUCUGCUGGAACAUUCUUUAGUAUAAUUUCUUCUUUAUAUCCUUUUGGAGUUCAAGUUUGUGAGCAUGCCAGGCAAUAUUGUCAUCCCAUUGACUAUUGUUUUUUUUCUUUUUCCUCUCUCUCUCUCUCUCUCUCUCUCUCUCUCUCUCUCUCUUAUGCAGGUAUACCAUAUACCACGCCAUUGUUGUAUGAGUUGACUGAGUUUCACUGAUCUUUACACCCCCUUGACAUAUUUGGGAUUUUGAUUGGCAUAUAGUCUUAAAUAACACUAUUCAGCUUGUAUUUGUCAGGGACUACUAAAUUAGUAUAUUCCACUGAAGUAUGUUUUCUUCCAGGAAAAUAUCUUUGUUGCGGUCAAACUAAUUGGUGGUAGCAAUAUGUUACCCUGUAGAUAGAAGUCAAUCCUAGUGCUUGUGUUCUUUUUAUAAUUUCAUUGACGAAAUACAAGUUUCCAACCGUUUAAUGUUAAUGAACUAGUACUUGACAAGACACAAGACUAAGCUAAUUGAAUACUAGUUUGAAGGUAUAGUUGACCUUCGACUGUAGAAUUCCCUAAAAUGUGCCAAAUUUUAAUAAAUUCAGCAGCUCUUUACAGGUCUCAUUACAGGCUAAUAAUUUGCUUUAUGGUAAAGCAUCGAAUGUAACUUUCUUGCAAAUCAAUCUAUGUUGAUUUUUAAUGAGUUUGGUUGAAUAAUGGGUUGUUAUAAUAGGAAUAACUUCUUUCGAGGUUCAUCUGUGGGGACAUUAUUUGUUUAUUUAUUAAGGAUCGUUCAUUCUUUACUUGCUUUUCAAGAAAAGAUUGUGAGUUUGAAACCUCUAUCAUUUGUAUCUUGCUUAAAUAUGGAAUCAGAAUGUGCAUCAUUUGGGAUGUAGAUACAAGUCUUUUAAGUGUCUUAAUCUUUAUUUUUAAUUUGUUUGAUUGACUCAAUGAAAAUUAACCAUGGUACACAUUAUAGACAUAGACGAUCUAUAAUGCUAUAUUGGCAAAUAUGUUGGUAUUGCCGGGACAAUUUAUGUUGUAAUAAUCCAUUAUUUUCACCGAAAAAGUAAAGAAACAACGUUUUCAGUUUCCAAUCAAAUCCAUGAGAAGAUGUAGAAAAUAACAGCUCUUGCAUUGUUUGCGUUUCCAUUAACACUACUAGUCAAACGACGAAGAAAAAUGUAUUCUUGAUGGUGACACGAUAAACUUAAAAUGACGAUACAACUGAUAGUAAUAGGAUCGUGCUAAUGAAAAUGAUGUGCGGCGCUAGAGUGAGUAGGUUUUGAAUGAAUGUUAAUAGAAUUUUUUUCUAUGUGAGACAAAAUAGGUUAUUUAUUUCAAAACUACUUUCACUCUCACAAAUUGAUAAAUAGACAGUUCUUUUAUUGUUGACUAAAACAAAUAGACAAAGUUUUUUUUUUUUGGUCAAGAUAGACAAAGUUAUCUCUAGUAAAAUAAAUAAAAAAUUGAAAAAGUUUCUUAGUACUAAUAUAUAUAUUUUUUUUGUAAACUAGAAGUUAAGUUUUAGUGUUUUACAGAACCAGAUUAAACAAAAAAGUUUUAUGGAACAAUUUUUUUAAAAGCAACACAUAUCAAAUGCAUUUGUUUUCUUUCGAAAAUUAUUUUCAAAUUUCAAAUGUAUAAGUAUCAAAAUAUCUUGUAAAAAAAUGCCAAAAUAUAUUUUAUUUUGAAAAUUACUCUUCUCCCUUUUGUUUUUCCUCAUUCAUGUGACGUUGAAAAAGUUGAGCGUGAGUUAACAUAAUUAAGGGGUUAAGCAGUUUUGAAAGGCAUAAGAGCAAUUUGCUUUUAUGUUUUCAAAACAUGAAGCCCAAAUCCAUCGGUUUUUGGCCCAAAAGUUGCAGAAACAAUGUUGGCUAUUUGCCGAUAAAAACUUAAAAUUGGUAAUAAAAAAAUGUUAAAACUGAGUGGUAUGGACGUGGUAGAGAAAAAAAAGGUAUAUUCAUGUAAUUUUUUUUUUCAAAUUAAAGUGAGAUUUAAUAAAAAAAAUAAAUAUGGACGACAUUUGUGUUAAUCUAUUAAAGACGUGAGCUCAUUUUUUUUAAUUUUUUAUUUUUUAUAGAUAGAUAAAAUGACAAAGUCAUCGUAAACUCAUGCACACAAAUGGGAGGUGCUGGGGUCGAAACUUCGAUUAUGACGUCCGACCUAACAAUUUUAAUGUUUUUUUUACCAAUUAAGCUAAGAUUUAUGGAACGACUUAAGCUCAUCUCUAAAUCCAACCAAGUCAAGCAAAAUAACACAUUUACUUAUGAGAUCCAUAUUUUAGCAUGUGUUGCUUUCCUUUUUUUUUUGACAAGGUUGCUUUCCUUAUCACUGUUUUUUUUUAUAAGAUCCCUCCUAGGGGUGGCAAAAAUACCCAUGCCCAUGGGUACCCGCGGGUAAAAUCCAUCACGGGCACGGACGGGUAGCUAAACGGGUAUCCAUGGAUAUAAUUAACGGGUAUUUGACUACCCAUUAUUAUAUGAAUACGGACACGGAUUUGAUGGUACCCAUACCCAAUAAUAAAUUAACUUAAUUACUAAAAUAUCCUUAUAUAUCUUAUUAUUAACCUAUUUUUAAUUUUUUUUAAUUUAUAUUAUAUUUCAACUAUCAUUGUCAUGUUGAUUAUUGUUAGUAAAUGUUAUAAAUUUUAUUUCAACUAUCAUUGUCAUGUUGAUUAUUUGGAUUUUUAUUUAGAGAUUUAUAUGUUUUUAUUGCAGAAAUUGGGAAGUCAAAUGAAGUUAUUGAAGUUUGAAAUGCAUGCAAAAUUUAGAUGUUUAUUUGGAUAUUUUGAUGUUUUUAUUUUACUUCAUGAAUUUGUAUGAAUUAUGUAAGAAUUAUGAAUUUUCUAUGGAUUAUGAUUUAUGAAAUUUUGAAUAGAUUAUGUAUGGAUGUUUAAAAGUAGUUGAAGUUUUUUGUUAAUUAAAAAAAGUUAUUCUUUGUUCCAAAAACUAAAUAAAUUCAAAAAUUCAUGGGUACCCACGAAUACCCAUGGAUACUUCAAUACCCGCGGGUACCCAUAUAAUGGGUACCCAUGUGGGUAAGGGGCGGGCAUGGGUAUCAUGUUUAUCCAACGGGGCGGGCACGGGUAUCAUACUAUCCGUGUCCAUGGGUAUCCAUUGACAUCCCUAAUCCCUCCAAAAUUUUACGUGCAUUAAAUUUUUUCUCAUUAUGAUUCGCUUAUUUAUUUUGUAUUUUUAUAGAAAAAAAAAAAGAAAGAAAUGUUAGAAAGGAAAAUAUAAAAUAAAUUAGGAGAAAACUUAUAUGCAGUACCUUAUAUACUGGUGGUACUGUUCCCUAUCAGAAAAUAACACGUGGCAUGUACACUAUAAUUUUAAUUGUGAUCUCGGUUUUCGACUGGUUUUUUUCCGCUUAAGUUAUUGUUUGUUUGUCUUACUCAUUCAAAAUCCAAUUAAAGGCAUCCUUAAUGUUCUAAUGUAUGGUUUAAAUGCAAAGUGUUGAAAUUUUUUAUUCCAGUAUUUCAGUUGUAUACAAAGUCCAAAAAUUGAAGACAAAGAAAAAACAGAGUAAACCCAUUAAUUAAAAUUGAAACUUUAUAAGGCAGAAGAAGAUAGACGGUGCUGAUGAAAGUCAGUUAGAAGAAGUAGUGGUUUCUUCUUCGAGCCAUUCAUUUAUUGAAAUUGCAAUUUGACUUUAUGGAAAAAGAAGAACCAUGUGGAAGGGCUUAGUAAGGAGAAAGCGAGUGGCAUUCUAUACUCAUAUGGAGAGGAGAGGAUGACCGAAAAAAUAAAAAUUAAUUUGGUUUAAUUGUUUGAUUAAAAGGACACGCGUAUUAUUUUAAUUGGGAGAACAACACCACCAGUACAUAAGGUGAGAGUACAAUGAUAUUGCAGGGAGAGAAUCAAGACUAUGUGGGUUUGGUUUGGCGGCGGCGAGAAUUGAUUUUGACAGAAUUGAGUUUGAGAGAAUUGAUUUUAAUUAAAAGUGAGUUGAUUGUGAAUUGAUUUAUGUUUGGAUACACUUUACUAAAAGUGAUUCUUAUAGGUUGAUGUUGUUUGGAUAGUUUGAAUCAAAAUUGAUUUUGAAUGCAAAAUUACCAAAAUGGUAUUAAUAUCUAUUUAAAAUUAGACUUCAUUUUUCAUUAAUAAACUUCAUUUUUAUUUUAUAUAAUGGUUCAAAUUUAUGUUGCAUUAUUAAGUUAAUUAUUUGUAGAUUAGUAAAACUUUUAAAAUAAAAUGCAUAUUGUAUUUUAGUAAAUAAAUUAAAAAAUGAAUAUAGUAUUAAAAACUUUUUUGCAAAGAUAGUUAAAUUUGAUUUACAUAUUUUAUAUUGAUUUUUUUUUUUUUAGGGAUAUUAAUUUUUUUGAUUGAAAAUUAUUAUUCCAAAACUAUUUUUUUAAAAGAACCUGUCAAAACUCAAAUGGGCUUAUGUAAGGAUGGGAAACGUAAUGGGCUAUUAAGCCCAAUCCCAGUUUCUUCCCUAACCUAGAGAAAAAGAGAUAUUAAUGAAACUUGCAGGUUGCAGCGCUGCAACUGAAAGCUAUAGCAAGGUCGAGUAAACAAAUAUUGAGGAAUGAAAAACCAUCACUGUGGCCGUUAAUUAGAAACUCGUUCACAAAUUUGUAGGAAAAUGAUAAAGAUGUCAUGGGUAAUUUCGGAAUAUAAAUCUGUCACCAAAAAGAAAAUCUCCAAAGCGCUUCUAAUUACCGCAGAAGCUCCGAAUUCUAGCUUUUAGUGAACGUGAAUUUGGGGCCUAAACCACGUUCAACUGAAUCGCGUCUGUAGUUUACCAAACAACAACAAAAAUUGUGAAACUGCGUUUUAACUCUUGAACGCGCGUUUGAAGCCACAAAACAUGGAACCAAACGGGUACUAUGAUAUGUGUCUAGUGAGAGUACAAUGAUAUCGCGUUAAUAUGCUUCUUUGGUUUACAAGUACUCAUGUUUGAGAAUUUUGAAGAAUACUCUUUUUAUUUAAGACUAUGAUGUGUGUCAAGUGACUAUUUAAUUAUUUAUUUCUUUAAGGAUUUAUUUUUUUUAUUUUUAAGGAAAGUUGCUUAUAGCAUUUCAUUAAAGAUAAUAUUGUUUAUACAACGCGGGAUAUUAAAAUAAGUGACGGGACUAACUAAAGAAGUGGUCUCUCCGCAAGUGCACGAGCUGCCGCAUUCGCUUGUCGCCUAGUGAACUCAACCCGAGAGUUCGUGAAGUGAGUGGAGAAAAGGGAUUAUUUAAGGAAUUAUUGUGAGGCACAAGUGCCAUUUAUUUAUUUUAUGUAGCAUUUCAUUUUAAUUUUUAGAACUAUUUUGAUCCACUUAGGGUAGAAAUUUUAAUAUAACGAUUUUUUUUUUUUUUUGGUACAAUAAUAUAACUAAUUUUAUUUCAUAAAAUAAGUAGAUUAAAUACUACUCCAUCAUAACUCUUGAUUUCGUCUGGAUAACUUUGAGAAUAACAUUAGGUCGCAUCAAUCUCUUUAUCGUAAAUUUUGUUAAAUUUCCUCAGAAAAAAAUUACAUAUAAAAAAUUUGGAGGAAAUAUUAUGGUGCAACUUCCGUAUUGAUUUUCUAGUAACGUUCUUCAACUAUCAACAUAAUUUUACAAGACAUCUUGCAUCAAUAUGUUAACCAAUUCUCAAAUGCCAAUCUAAACCCGCUAGCAUUAACUUAUCCUUGUCUAGUUUUUUUCCCAUAUUUUCAACAUCAUAGAUUCACUCCAUGGUUAAGGCUCACCUAGCUACUAACAUUAAAUCCAAUGAAGUGUUAUCCUUAAUAUUCAAUCAUCUUUCUUCAUAAAUCAUUUUGGUGACAGCUUCUUCAAAGCUCAAAGUUCCAUAUAUGAAAACAUGUUUAAUAUGACACUGCAUUUUGAAUAAUUGUUUGCUGCCAAUUUCAAUGGCAUCCGUUUCAAACUUAACACACUCCAAGUUUGUUUAUGACAAAUCUCAAAAAGUGAGUAGAUAAAAUAAAAAAACUAAUCUAUGCAAAUUUCAGUGUACAGUUUUUUCUUAAUUGUAAAAAAAUACUACAAUUAAAAAACGAGCUUAAUUAAAACAAAUAAGGUAAAAUGUAGUUCUAAUGAUAUGCAUGAUUUCAAUUUUUAGUUUAGCUAAUGGAAACAUUACACAUUAUUAAGAAAGUGUGUCUCGACAAAAAUAAAAGAAAUUGUGUUGCAAAAAAAAAAUUGUCUUUCUAAAAUAAAAUUUAUUUUUGUUUCCAUAUGAAAAGUAGUUUUUUUCAGGGUAAAAAAAAUGUGUUUUUUUCCCAUUAAAUUUAUUGUUUUUUUUUUUUUUUUACCAAAGAUUGAGAUAUAAUAUUUUUAAUUAUAGUGUCAUGUUAAUAAGGAUUUAAAAAUAAAAAUAAUUGGUAAUUUUAAUGUAAAAAAAAAUUAUUUUUUGAUGUUUCAAUAUGUUGAAUAUACAAAUCUCCAUAUAAAAUUUAUACUUUAAACUUCUUAUUAAGUGCCCUGCCAUUGUUAACAUUUAUCUUAAGGUAAAUGGUAACUAAUGUUUCAAACAUUAGUUAACUAGACAAAUAUAGUAAGAAUUUCUUAAAACUUGUGUAAUCAAGUAUUAAAAAAUGUAGAAAAUAUUGUCUACGAUAUAAAACUUAUCUUUUUUGUUUCUUUAACCGGUGUCUUGGAAGUGUCCGUUAAUGAAAACUUACAAAAGAAAAAUGGUUUUGCAUCACUCCUUCCGUCCUUCUUCCGAUCGUCUCUGAACUGAAUCUCAGACAUUGAUCCUGUAAUUAAUGAAAGCUGCUUCUUUUCUGUUUGGCUCUUGCAUGCUUUACCUACUUCAGCAUAACGAGCAGUAACCCUAGCUAGCAUAGUAGGAUUAGGAUGGUCCUAACCAAUAACCACAAAUAUACUACUAUUGUACGAGUAAAUAAAGUUAUUUUUAUACACAUAAAGAAAUAUGAAAGUGGACCACCCUAUCAUAGCCUGGUUGUGUGGCACGUUGUUCUAACAUGAAACCUGUUCAAAAAUGUGACUCAAAUGAAAUCAUGUCUCAGAGUUCAACUGUGUUCUAACUCGCGCCAGAUAAAUCCCCCGCCAUUUGUGGAGUCUCCAAUUGACUUGACCCCUCUAUAUAUCCCAUGGCCGCACCUUAUUGUUAUUACUUUGCUUCUUGAAACUUGUACAUGUCUAACUAAAUUAAUAGCAACAGAAGAAAAAAAAAUAGACAUUUAUCCAAUAUCACAUUUCAAAAUGGUCCAAAACUAGAGAUUUGUAAAAAAUCAAUUUUAUAAUAGAAAAACACAUAAUAAUUUUCCAUUAAAAUUUACUGAAAAUAGGAAAGUUCAUUUUUUUACUAUGUCCAAUAUAACUAUAAUAUGUCAUAAUAAUUUAAUAUACAUCAUUGAGUUUUUCAUUUGAUUCUGUUUUGAUUUGAUUUGAUCAGUCUUUGACCUUUAGUUUUGAUUAUUUCAUAGUACAUAUAUAACUAGAGAGAGGAGCUCAUGCUCAUAUACAAUAAUGCUCCCUUCUUAGGUACUUUUUAUAUAUGAAGAUGUGGUGCCAUAAUAUAUUAUCAUUAUAAAGGAUUUGUGUUUAUUGUAAAUAAAAAUAAAUGAUUUUUGCUAGUACAUAAACAAGUUGUAAUAAAAACUAUUAUGCUGUCAUAAAUGUUGGGAGUCUGCCUAAACGUACUAGUACAUGGAUAUAUAAAGUGAUGAAGGUGUAUAGUGAUUUGUUGCAUCAUGCAUGAGAAGAGUGCGUAGUGCACAAAGGCCAAAAAGAAUCAGUGGGGUGAGAGAGGUAGUGACAUCAUUGUUGUAUUUAUAGGCCUGUAUGUAAGGGUGAGAAGAGUAGAGCAAAGGGAAAUUUGGCAAGCGGCGGAGAAAGCUGUUCCUCCUACUUACAACACCAUUACUACCCUUUUUCACACACUUCAUUUCAACCUAUACUAACUUUCAUUUUCUGCACCUAUCCUCUCAACUUAUUCUUUCAAAUAUAAUAAACCAUCAAUUUGGUUUCAAAACUAUCACAUUCUCUCCAGUUUGAUGAAUAAACUAUAGAAAUAUACUAAAUAAUCCUUAUACUACUACUAAUCUAUCAAGUUAAUCCUUCAAAUCUCUUAAAAAUUGGUUUAUGGACUAAUUUUAUAGAUAAAUCUCUUAACCACCCAUUAUAUUAUUGGAUGGGUUUGACCAAAUUCGCUAAUUUUUGGGUUGAGUAUGAUUGGGUAAUGGAUUACCCAACUUAUUUUUUUAUUUUUUAAUAUUAAAUGACUAAACAACAGUACUCAUAAUUUAUCUUAAAUAUUACUCAACUUUUUAAUUCUCUUAAACAUAAUUGGUUAACUUAUUUUUAUUAUAAUUUUAUGCAUCAUAGAAUAAUAAAUUAUAAUAUCAAAUAAUAAACUCCAACAUAAAAUACUUGCAACAAACUAAAGCUGCAUAACAUUAAAUUGCAUUAGUAUUAAAUUAACCAAAAAUUGCAACAUCUUGAUCUGUAACAUUAGCAUGUUUUGAUUUUCAUUAUAUAGGAUACAAUGUGUAUGUUUAGAAAUAUAACAAUGAUAUUUGUACAUCCAUUCCAUGACAACUUUAGUGACAACUUGUUUUUCUCUCUUCUUAUUGGUCAAAAACAAUGGAGAGAGAAAAUGGAAGAGAGAAGAUAAGACCAUCAUGUGAGUAUGAGAGAGAAAGUUGUACAAAAGUUGUCACAAAUUGGUUGUAAAAAUAUCAUUUCUCUUAGAAAUAUAACUUGGUUUAUGAUCAUAACCUUUAGUAUUUUUCUUCUACCCUAUGAAAAUAAAGAUAAAAAAUAUUGACCUUAUUGAGUAAGUGGAUUUAUUGAGUCUGAGUCUAAUUUUACCCAAAAUCGAUUUAUUUUUAUGGGGUUUUCAUUUUUAGAAACCAUACCCACCCAAUUACCGCCCCAACCCAUUUUUUUUUAGGUUUUAUGGGUAGGUUUGACCGGAUUUUCUAGUUAAUCCAACCCAUGUACACCCUAGGUAGAAUGUAGCACUCAAAUAUGGGAAUUGAUCAUUUGCCGCGACUGAAGAGUUCAGUUAAAUAUUAGUUUUUAAAUAAAAAUAAAUACUUGAAAAUCUAAAUGUGACAAAUUAGAAAUUACAGUAGUGCUAUAUGGUACGAGACUUUUCUUCGCACAAAAUGCAGGACAGCUUGUUUGCCUUAUAAAAUCACCAUAUCUGGCUCAUUUUAAUUAUUUUAAACGGAUUAAAUAUGCUCACAAUAGAAUCUUAUAUAACUAUCAUUGCAUAUGAUGUUUACCAUAUAGCACUAUUGAUCACCGCCAACCUCACAUCGCUUCAUAUUUGAUAUCAUCAUUGCAUACGAAGGUAUAUACAUGAGAACGUGAGAGAGAGAAAUGAAGCAUAAAAAAACUGAGAAAUGUUGGCAGAUGGUAGUUACUCCUAUAUUCUUUAUAGAAAUUUAAUCUAGCUUGUUGGGUUUUGAAAAUAAAAUGAAUAGUUACUAUUCGUAUAAAUUCGUGCAAGACUGUGUCUCGUAACAUCAAGCAUUUUCCUAAAAAUUAUGAGAUAUAAUAAAUUUAAUGGUGUAGAUUCCCACACUGCAGAAAACUUGAGAGAAACACACCGGAGAAAAUCCCCUUCCCUUAAAUACUCAUCUAGUUUUCGGAACGCCGGGAUAAAGCUAAUUUAGAUAAUGAUUCCAUCUCAACUGCGUUAUAGUAAGUUCAGUGUUAGUCCAUAUAUAAAUCACAAGCAUUGAAACAUAUAUAGUUGGAAACACAUAAAACUUUUUCUGAAGGUAUACCAUUAAACUUUGUGUUAACUGUAACCAAAAGAUUAAACUCUCAAAUUAGAAGUGCUAUUAAAUUUGUCAUGACACGCUUUUGUUGUUUUGUUUUUGGUCUUAAAUUUGGUUUUGCACUAAUUGUUUAUAAGUAUCGCAAAAGUCAUCCGCGUGGAGAGGCAUAUUUGACGAUAAAUGAAAAUGAAGAAAGAAAAAGAUGCGGUCCCUCCCAUGCAAAAUGGUUUGGGGAGGAUAUGUGGGUGGAGUACUUUAUUACACCAAUUAAUAAGAAUUAGAUGUGCAAAGAUAGGACCACCUCAUCUCUAUUUCUCAUCUCAUCUUCACUCCUUAUUUUAGGAACGUUUUACACACACUAAACAACUAUGUAUAUCGGUAAAAAAAAUCAAUUUGUUUUGUAUGUCUUAUUGGUUCUCUACUUCAUUCACUAAGGUAAUUUUACUCAGUUAUUUUAACUAUAAUUAUCGUUUUCUCUCAACUAUAUAUCUAAUCUAAUAGUACUAAAAUAUAAGAUAUGAGAACAUAAAUUUUUAUCAACUUUUGUCCAUCACUAUACCUUAUUAUUUAGUUUUUUUUACAUGUACGUAUAUAUAUUAACAAACGAUAUGACGGUUAGUUAAUACUCACUAAUUGAUGUAUGUAUAAUUAAUAAGAAUACAAAAUAAUAAUGGAGGAAUAUUUGAGAAGAGAAAAUAUAUAUAGUCCUAUGUGGAUGAUAGUGUAAUAAUAUUAGAGCAACUUCAUUCAAUAUAUCUCUCGUGAGUGGAAACAGAUUGGAAGAGAAUAACUGGUAGCUUAUGGCUCAGAAAGACAACAGAGAAAACAGAAGGAGGAGGACCCACCUAACUCAUCCCAAACAGAGCCUUUUUCUCAUCUGAAAAAGCCUGUAAAAGACUUUACUUAGGAAUGACUUCAAUCUAGGGAUCCGUUCCCUACAAAGAUCUCCUUAUUCCUAUUCUUAUUUCUUUAAUUUAACUUCCAUGCAGAUUAAUUAAAUACUCCAAGGUAACCGUGACAAUUUUAGACUCCAAUUUAAAUUUAAAUGUGGCACCAUUAUUGUUGCUCAAAAUAAUAUUUGUGAUGUUAAAAGGAGAAUUUAUUCCAUAAAAAGAUGAAGAGUUUGUGAACCAUAAUCUAUUCGAUAAUAUUUUAAGCAAUAUAUAAUUUUUUUUUUAUUUAUAAAUUAUAUUUACGUUUGGUAUCAUGAUGAGUAUAUUAGAAUCACAACGAUCCGUUGUGAUUUAUCAAAAUUAUAUUUACUAGUUUAUGUAAAAUUAGAGUAGAUCUUAAAUCUAAUGCUUUAAAUUAAUAUAUUCUUUAUAUGAGUUCAUUUGUGUAUUUAAAAGUUUCAACUAAUAUAGACCAAAAAUGCAAAAAUUGAACUGCAUUAAAUCAUCAUUUUUUUCUAUGAGCUGCAAUAAAUCUUCAUGGUCUAGAAAUAAACUGUAAAGAACCAUAAUUAAUUCCUCAUACAUGUGAUACAACAAUUCAAGUGGCGGCUCAUAGUUUAUGUAUGAGGCAGAGGACAUCAUUACUUGUUGCUGGUCCUGCUUCAUCAUAUAUAUAUAUGUAAUUUAAUUUGUAGAGAAGGUUAGUCUUUUUUAUUUUCUUGACUGAAUAAAAGAUAUAUAAAUAUAUUAUGCAACAUAAUUUACUUCAAUUUUCAAAAAAUAAUACAGUUAUAUAAGAAAAACAAUGAGUAAAAUCCCCUAAAUAAAUAAAAUAAAACAAUGAGUUAAAUAUUGUUUACAAUAGAUUGAAAUAAUAUAAGAAGAAUUAUCUGUUUUGAACAUUUAUUGAUUAUAAGAUUUUUCUAAUACUAGGUAAGAAAUAAUUGAGGAAAUUUCCUUGAUAUUAAUUAAUAUUUUUGGUGGGAAUAUGAAGACUAAUUUGGUUGUAUUUAUAAAUCUUGGUCCAUUGACUCAUCAGUUGUUAAGAAAGAGAGAGAGAGAGAGAGAAAUAUAAAGAAAAAAAAAAGAGUAUAUGAUAGCAUGGAGGUCAUCAUCAAUACCCUCUCUAGCUAGCUAUCUCAUCUUCUAUUUCUGAGCAACUAUAUCUCAUCUUUCUUCCACACUCAUGCUCCCCUCAUAAUAUAAAUUAAUUCACUUAAUUUAUAUUUGAAACUAUAGCUAGAUAUAUUGAAGUUUGAAAAUUUUUAUUCAUGGCUAGACAACUUUGUCAUGAAGAUGACAAAACAUCAAGUGGUGGAUUUUGUUACAACCCAACGAUUCAAACACAAAUCCAAGGUUUUGUGUCCGAUCCAGAGAUGUUCAAUCUCACAACAGGGAUGGAGAUGAUAGGUUUUUCCAAACAACAUCUUCAACAACAUAGUACUGACACAACAAACUCUGUCAUGUGGAAAACAAAUUUCUCAGGAAAACUAAGUCAACAACAUGUUGGUCCUUCCUCUUCUUCAAAAACCAUGAAUGAUAAUUUCUAUCAUCAUCAAGAUUUCACUGUUUCUGAUACAACAAGUAGUGAUCAGAAUCUAAACAACAUGGUUCAUCAUGAUUCAUCUUCACAUCAUCAGUGGCAACAAGUUGAUGAUUCAUCUUUAAGAUGUGUUUUCCCUUGUGAAGGUAAUGAAAGACCAAGUCAAGGACUUUCACUCUCUCUUAGUUCAACAAACCCUUCCUCUAUUGGUUUACAAUCUUUUGAACUAAGACAUACUACUAAUCAUCAUUUGCAAGAUCAAGGGUAUCAAGGUCAUUUUCUUCUCAAAAACUCUAAGUUCUUACUUCCAGCACAAGAACUUCUCAAUGAGUUUUGUAGUUUAGAAAGUACUAAGCAAAAUGAUUUAGUUUUACAAAAGCAAAAAUCUCAAAAGUUCAACAACAAGCAAAGUUGGGAAGAUGAUAACAACAAUGGUGGUAGCAGUUCUUCAAUCAAACAAUCUUUAACCUCUGUAGAGUUUGUUGAAUUGCAGAAGAGAAAAACUAAGCUCCUUUCCAUGCUAGAAGAGGUAUAUUAUUACAUAUUAUAGUACUACUAUUUAUAUGUUUCAAAUUUAAAUUAUUUUAUUAUUUCAUUUCAUUAAUCAAAGACUAUUAAGUUCAAGUCAUAAUCAAGGCUCUUAACUUUUGGUUGAGAUUGGUGUCUUAAUUUGGAUUUUGAUUCUUGAACUAAUUAAGCAGCUAGUGAAGUCUUAUCAUAAAUGCCUUCACCCCGUGACAAUUGAAACUUUUUAAUGUUACCUUUUUGCUUUUCUUACCAAUAAAAAUUGUUAGGUUUCAUUUUUAUUUCUAUGGUGGAAGUAACUUUCAAACUCAUGAAAAUUAUUUAUUUAAAUAUUGUUUUUUUACUUUUGUGUAUAAGGUUGAUAGAAGGUACAAACACUAUUGUAAUCAAAUGAGGAGUGUGGUUUCAUCAUUUGAAGCUGUAGCUGGAAAUGGAGCUGCGAAAGUAUAUUCAGCUUUGGCUUUAAAAGCUAUGUCAAGACAUUUUAGGUGUUUGAAAGAUGGAAUUUUAGAACAAAUUCAAACAACAAGAAAAGCAAUGGGAGAAAAAGACCCUGUUGCACCUGGAACAACAAAGGGUGAAACACCUAGGCUUAAAAUACUUGACAGAGUUUUGAGACAACAAAGAGCAUUUCAACAAAUCAACAUGAUGGAAACACAUCCUUGGAGACCUCAACGUGGUCUUCCUGAACGUUCUGUUUCAAUUCUCAGGGCUUGGCUUUUUGAACACUUUCUUCAUCCGUAAUUCUUUUUUUUUCUUCAUUUCAUUCAUAUUUUAUUUAUUUCUUUCUAUGUUCAAGUAAGUAGUUCUAAUAGAAGUAAGGUACAAAAUACAUUUUUCUAAAGAAUCAAUGUUGUCUCCAUUUCAAAAAAUAAAAACAACUAUUGGCAGUUGUGUUAUGGUAUCGUAAGUUUUCUCAUAUCAAGAAUCUUUUACAUUAAUGUGCUUCAACAAAUAUAAAAAAUUAUAUCCUACGCAUUUUUUUUUGUUAGUUUCUGUGCAUCACCAUUCAGAUUCCAUCUUUUCAUAUGUAUGUUGUUGUGUAUAGUAUUGUCAUAUUAUUUUCAAUCAUUUCUACAUCAUCUUCUCUUACUUUUAUUUUUGCGUCUCUUUCUCAACUACUUCUUUUUAUUUUUAUGUGGACUUAAAUAAUUCUUCCUUUGUAGGGCCAUUUCUUCUUAUCUCUAAUAUAGUUAGUUUUAUUUUCUAAUUACUAUUUAAUUCAUACGUGCCACACAAGGUCAUAUAUUAAUUUUUUUUUUUUUUUUUUUGUAUAAUUUUUUAUAGGUACCCAAGCGACGUUGAUAAGCAUAUUUUGGCCCGCCAAACCGGUCUCUCAAGAAGCCAGGCAUGUUGAUUUUCUAUUAUAUUAAUAAUAAAAAUAUUAAUAUAUUUCCCUUCAUUGGACAAACUCUUUCAAUUUCAUAUUUAAUUAAAUAGUCAUAUAUAUUAGAUGGUCUUCUCAGAUCCGUCACCCAAAAAUUUGAUAUUAAUAUUUGUAAAGAGUAAGUCUUAAUAUAGACAUAUAAUAUGUUAUUAUUGUAAAUUUAUUAAUUGAAAGUUUUUAAGGUGACACAUGUUAUUUAAUUAUUAAUUAAUUGAAAAGCAGGUAUCAAAUUGGUUUAUUAAUGCAAGAGUGAGACUAUGGAAGCCAAUGGUGGAAGAAAUGUAUUUGGAAGAAGAGAAAGAGCAACAAAGAAACACGACAACCUCGGACGGAGGAAACAAUAUUAAUCAUGAAGAGGAUAAUCUUAAUGUACUUCAAAACCAAUCUCAAACUCAACCUCACGAGGAUCAAAAGCCACGACUCCUUCGAAUCGAUUCUGAAUGUGUCUCGUCUAUCAUCAACAAUGAUCAUAAAAAUGAUGCUAAUAAUAAGAAUUUGAAUCAUCAUCAAUUAGCCGCGGAUGCGUUUGGCUCGGUUGAUAUUGAUUUUUCAUCUUAUAAUACGCAUCAUUCUUCUUCUGACAUGGUUGCUGCUUACACAAGUGGUGAGAGUUUCCACCAAGGUGGCAGCAGUGGUGGAGUGUCAUUGACGUUAGGGUUACAACAACAUGGUGGAAAUGGAGUUAGUUUGGCUUUCCCACCAACAUCACAGAGUCCAAUGUUCUAUACCAGGGACCAAAUUGAAGAACCGGUUCAGUACUCUCUUUUGGAUGGUGAAGGAACAAAUAUUAUGCCAUACAGGAAUCUCAUGGGGACACAAUUGCUACAUGACUUGGCAUAAUACAUGGCAAAGGUUGUUGAAUUAAUGUUAUUAAUUUGAUUGAAGCUUCAGUCAAAAAUAUUGAAUCAUGAAGGUGCGUAUUCAGAUAUCACAUUUUAGGUCAUGGUAUAACCAUUUAUAUUAAUAGGGGAACUGAGACUAGUGAAAUUAAUGAAUUAAAUUAGACAGAUUGAUACUUUUAAAUCUUAACUAGCUAGCUCAGUAUAUUGGUAUUGGUAUAUUAAUAUAUACAUGAUGUUGCUUCCAUUGAGAAGUUACACUUAGAUAAUAUAUUGCUUCAAUAUGUUUUUUAUCAUGCCUCUAUUUCUCACUUUGAAAUUAAAUUAAAUAUAAUAUCUUCAUGUAAGACGAGCCUUAAAAAAAAAUCUCUUUGUAAGAUGAAGGGUGCAAUUUUUAAAUUUAUAAUACCGCCCUCAUCUUUAACAUUAUUGAGUUUGGUGUAUAAGUAUGAAUAAUGAGUGUCCCUUUGGUUAAAUCUAAUAGACUAAUACCUUAUUAAAUUUCACACAAAUCUAAUUCAUUCAUAUAAAAUCAGAGAUGACGCUCUUUAUAAAAUUAUUUUAGACAUUAUCUCUAUUAAGUGAUUUUCUUUUCUAGCUACAUUACACGAUUAAAUUCGUAAUUAGACAGUUUAAUUUAGUUGGUAAGUUGUCGACGCUGAAACGUUCAAAGGGUUUUAACUUGUAGGUUUAAGGAUUCAGAUCAAAAUUAGUAUUCUAUGGUACUUAUUUUACACGAUCAUUCGAAAUUUUUAUAUGGUACUUAAUUUUCUAAAAUUUAAUAUUUAUUUUACUAGCUAGAACGUACCUUCUUUUUUUAUGAAACUGUUGAUUGACCACUGAGCUAACAGCUAGCACAAGAGGAAAUCAAAAUUCCAUUUUAGAGGAAUAUUUAAGAUAUUUGUAGUUUAUUGAAGAAAAUGAAAAGAAUAUUUCAAGAAGAACAAUAAAUCAUUUGGUUGAGCAAUUUUGGUUGGAUGCUAAAAACAAAAAAGAGAGAAAAUAUCAAAGAUAAUUUGGAGAUUGUGGUCCCUUAUUCACCUCAUAAAGACAAGUUCUUGUGCCAAUAAGAAUUGUUUGCUUUAUGAUAUGUCAUUUUUAUAAUUGGUUCGCCGGUGCCUUUCUAAAAAAUUAAAUUGGCUUUUCAAUUAGUAUUGGAGGCACUACUAGGGUUAAUUUUAAGGAUGAGAUUGCAUGCUCUUUAAUGAAUGCAAUGCAACUUGUGUUUAUAAAGGUUUAUCAACAGCCCUUCAUUGCCUCGUGUAUGUAUUGCUACAAUAUAUACAUCAUAUAUAUAUAUAGUGCAUUUUUGCUCUUAUUAGUUUUACUCGUUAUUUAAUUUAUUUAAGCAUGGUAGUUUGAUAUAUUGUAUACCAUGAUUUGUUGUUAACUUUAAUAAAAGACAAAAAAAAAAUGAAAUUCAUUCCACACAAAAAAAAAAACACUCAAAUGAUAUUGUUUCUCUUUUUAUGUUGAAACAACUUUCAAUAAUUGCUAUAACGGGGAAGAAUAGAAACAACUUGUUUAAAGGUAUUUCCCAUCCAUUUAAAAGAGUCAAUUCUAUAGUAGUUAAGCAUCCUAAGUCAUGAACCAAAUACACAUUAAUUGCGCAUAAAGAAAUGGGACGUGAGAGUAUAUAUAAUUCUAUAACUUAGAAACCAGUCAUAAAUCUCUUCCACGGCGAACAAUAUAGAAAAUGUUGAGAAUUAACUGCAUUCCCUCGUCUUAUCUAGUUAAAGAUAAUUAUUUAUUUAUUUAUUCAAACACAAUUGUAUAUGUAGUUCAGAAGACAAAAUAUAUGUGAACGGAGUAUUGAAAUUGGAGUCAGCCUCAUAAGAAAAUGUAAUAUACAAGUAUUUAUUUUCAUAUAUGGUUUUGUCUAAUAUGCAUAAGUAAGAAGAUCUUACAUCAUAUACAAAUAUCUUUUUUACCAUUGAAUUAAUAAGGCGCAUCACAUCAUAUCUAAUUAUUUUAAUGAUCCAAUGAUAAAUAGUUUGUGCAUAAUGUAAGACCUUCGUAUCUCAUUUAUGCAUCAUAUAAUUGGCCUCCAAAAAUAUGUAUUACUAUUUAAGCUGGGUUUUUUUAUAUGAAAUCUUAUAUGCUCAUUCUCGACCCAUCGCACACUAAUAGAAUACCAACACACAAAUGAUUUACUAAGGGUUAUAUAAUCAUGAUGAGACUCUUGAAAGAAAGAAAGUUCCACUAUAAGAAAAACACAACUGGUUUUCCGAUUACUCCCAAAAUUUAAAAUAUUUCUUUUUUGGGAAGUAUUAAAUUUAUUUUCCUGCCCUAUUUUUCUACGGGUUACCCCCUAAUAAAAUCCAAUGGUAAAAAUAACUUAUCAGGGAUAUGCACCUCAUAAAUGCUUAGAUGGGAACGUUUCAAAGAGGUAUACCGCUCAAUAUUGUCAUUUUUUCAUGCGUGUUGUGGCCUUGAGAAAAGGUUUGCCAUAAAUACACAAUUUUCCUAUAGUAACCUUAUCUGAAGAUCUUGGAGGAGGUCGAGAGAUAACCUAAUCGUAUAUGAUUCGAGGGACAGAUCCACUAACAGACUAUGGGAGGAUAAAUCCCCACAUCCGAUUUCCCUAUUUUUUUAUUAUAAAUACGGUAAUAGUUAUUUUGGUAUAUGAAUGUGUAACGAGUAAUCACAAUAGUCUUUCAAAGUAUUAAAAUUUUAAAAUAGUCUAUGAUUUUGCACUUUUUUUAUUGGUUACAUGAGAAAAAAAAAAUAAUAAAAAAAAAACUACGUCCUAAUAAAGGACACUCCUGUAGCAUCAGCUAGUAAGGCUAAGGAUAGACAUGAUAAUGGUUGAUGCACCAUCACAAGAGACUCUGAUUGAUUAGCACCUUGUUUUGCAAGUAUAUAUGCGCAAGAGUUUCCCUCUCUAAAAAUAUGAUGAAUGGAAAUAUCCCACUCCUUAACCAAAUAUAUCUGAAUAAGCUGAGGUUUGCAUAGUGAUGAAGCCUCGAUUCUUUCUUUGACACUAAUUGCACUGCAUGAAGAGAGUCAGAAAAUACUUUCUAUGAUUUUGCACUUUGUUAGUCAAAAUAGCCCUGGAGUGACAAUAAUUAAGUAUAUUAAAAGACUAAUAUGACAAUAUUAACAAAUUAUUUUAAUGUUAUCGGGACUAUUUUGACUAGCAAAGUGCAUAAUCAAUGACUAUUUUAAAAUUUUGAUACAUUGAGGGACUAUUAUUGUUACUCCUUACACCUUCAGGGACCAAAAUAAUUAUUACCCCUUAUAAAUAAAACAUAAUAUGUUUAGAAUAAGACCAAUAAGUCAACAACCUUGUGCAAAACUUGUGAAAACAAAUAAGUGCAACACAUUUGCUAUGAUUUGUAAGCUUUUGAAGUUGGUUUUGCUUUUGUCGAUAGCAAAUGCAAGUGUUAGCAACUUAGCUAGAUUUUAGCCCCCACAUGCACCAAAUGUCUGAAUCCGUCCCUGUAUGAUUCCUGUAUAUUUUAGUACAAAUGAUAUCCAUCAUGAAAUUCACAAAUGUUAAUGUAUUACUUUUUGAAUGGUCGGAAAGUUGUCAGUAAUUGACGGAUACAUGAAAGGAUAAGAGAUAAAAAAAAAUAAAAAAAAACUAUAUAACAAGCUCUAGGUUUUUUCUUUCAAGUCUUUUUUUUUUUGGACAAUUUUUUUUUCAAGUUUAAAAACCACAUUCUCAAAAAUGCAAUGGUAGAAAAUAAUUAUACAUGUAUUUGUUACAAGGUUGAGAACAAAUUGUUCUUUAGGUUUAAAGAUUCCCAUGAAUAUGAUAGCCUUUCACAACUUCCAUUAAUUGCAAAGAUUUUUCUCAUGAAAAGGUGAAAAUGUACAUUCUCGUAAAAUUUAAUAUAUUUUUAAAUAAAUGAGGACAAUUGUUCAUAAUUCAAUAACAUUACACCAAUUUAAUAUGAUAGCCUUUCAUAACUUCCACUAAUAAAAAAAAAUGGCUUGUUAUAUUCUCGUGUAAGUUAUUUCUAAAAAUAAUUUUUGAAUCCUUGAAACAAACACCCCUAUACAAUUUAGCGAGCUUCUUUUUAGUGAGAAAAGUAUUCUUCAAUAGAAAAUAAUUCCUAAUAAAAAUAUAAAUAAAAAUUGUUAUUUGAGAGCUUAUAGCCCUUAGAAUUUGAGUUUAAUCAAUACGUAAAUGUUUUUAUGGUGUGAAAAUUGCUCUUUAGGCUUCCUUAUCUGCUCUCUCAGACAUCCAAAAAUUAUCCUUUUAUCAUGUUAACUGUCAUUCGUUGUUUACGGUAAUUAAUUGUUGUUUGUUGUACAGCAGCGCAGUUAACUGCCGUUCCAAUCAUGUUACAUAUUUCAUACAACUUUCUUCCACCUACGAUAUUCACUCACCAACUUUCUUCCCUAUUUCAUUCAUAACUGAAAAAAUGUGAAUUUUUUGUUUUUGAAAAAUGUUGGUCUCAAAUCAUGGAUGGCUAAAAUGUUUCUACACUCAUUUGACUUCAAGCAAUAAGUAUGGUAUUUUUUUUUACCCGUCAACAUUGUUUCAUUUUUCUGCCAUAUUUUUUAAGGUUUCUACACUCAUUUUUUACAACUACGAGUGUCCAAAUUUCCAGUAGAGAUUUAGUCUAAUUUUUUGAAGAAGUGAGAGAUUUAAUGUAAUGUUAUGAAUUUUUAAGCUGUUUGAUGUAAUGUUGUGUAGUAGUAUAUUGUCAAUUUUUGUAAUGUUGAAUAGUUUGUUGAGUUUCAAUCAUUCGUGUACCAAUAAUGUAAUGUUGAAUUGGUGUAAUGUUAUUGAAUUGUGAAUUAUGAUGUUUUAUUGUUGAUUAUGAGCGAUAAAUGUUGUAUAAUUGGUGCACUGCUUGUUGAACGGUGUUUCUAAGUUACAUGUGUUAUGCAUAGAGUAGUGAUAUAUUGACAACAAUUUGUGACAACUUUGUUGACAACUUUUAUUUUCUCUCUUCUCAUUGGUCCAAAACAAUAGAGAGAGAAAAAAGAAGAGAGAGAAUAAAAAUAUAAUGUGAGUAUAAGAGAGAAAGUUGUCAUAAAAUUGUAAUAAAGUGGUUGUACAAAUAUCAUUUCUCUUAUGCAUAUAAAGGUUGCAUACUGCAUUUAUCACAAGAUUGGUAUUAACUAUUGUAGGUGUCAAGGAUAGUUAACUAUCAACAAAGGUUGAUCAAUAUACAACACGAGGCUUGUGUGAGCCAGUUUCCCAAUUAGUUCAAACAAUUUCUUUGAGAUAACCAAAUAGGACCAUAAUAUAUUUAUUUGGUACCAUUUACCAAGCACAUACGAUUGGAUAUCCAUACUAGUAGAAAAAACAAAUGAGUUGGGGUAUCUAGCUGAAUUAUGAGAGCUACUUUUAUCGGUUUUCUUAAAAAAAGACACCUAUUCAAAUUUAUCAAUUGUAACAAAAAAAAAUAAAUUGUUUUUCUCGCAUCUGGAUAAGUAAAUCCGAAUAAAUAGAAAACGUGUUUUCUGUACUUUCAGAUGGAUAAAUCCGGACAAUAGUAGUUUUUGACGUGAUUUCAAAAUCCGAACUAGCAGAGAAGAGUGGGAAAAUAAGCUCUUUUUUCAUUUUAUUUUUUCGUUUUGGAGGAAGCCUUAGUCACUAUUUGAUUGCAUAUUAAUAUGUUAAUUUUCUUUUAACAAGAUACUCACUCCGUUCUUUUUUAAGUAUCUUUUUUGAAGAUUUCUUUUGUUUUUAUUUAACUGUCACUUUUAAAGUUCAAUGCAACAUUAAAUGAUGUUUUAUCAAUAUUACCCUUAAUUAUUUAUUGCGGAGAGAUAAAUACUCUCUCCGUUUCAAAAUACAUGUCCAUUUUAGAGAAAUUUUUUGUUUCAAAAUACAUGUCCAUUUCAUAGUUUAAGGAUAUAUUUUGUCUAUUUUACCCUUGUCUACCAAUUAAUUGGAUUCUAGAUUUUCUCCACAAUAAUUAUUUUCCACUAAUAAAUGUUGACCCAAUUUUAAGUAGAUUUACUCAUGCACUCUCCUAAGAAAUUAUUUUCCCAUGACUACUGCACUCUAAUCCAUCGUAACUAACUACUCCUAAUUAAUUGGACUCUCUAAUUUGUUUAUAAAAAUUGAGUUUUUAUAUUUAAAACUACUGGAAAAAAAAAUGGAAAACAAAGGAAAGUCUGUGAAAGUUGAAUCUCAGCACAAUGAAAGAGUUGAAGACUCUUUUGACAGCAUACAAUAUGAAAGGGUUGAAGACUCUUUUGAUGGGUUACAAAGUGACACAAACAUAACCUUGCAAGAACAUGGAGAUUGUGGAGAAGCAUCUUCAAAAGCAACAAAGGAUUUUGACUUAAAUACAAAGGCAGAUUGUGGAUUUGAUUUGAAUGAAUAUCCAGUAGAAGAAGAAGAAGAAGAAGAAGAAGAAGGAGGAGGAGAAGGAGGAGGAGGAGGAGGAGGAGGAGGAGGAGGAGGAGAGGGAGAGGGAGAGGGAGAGGGAGAGGGAGAAGGAGAAGGAAAAGGAGGAGGAGGAGAAAAUGUGGUUAACAAGAUGUUGAAAAUUUAUCUUCCUAAUCUUAACUGAAACUUUUGUCAAUUUAAAUUCAUGAAUUCAAUGGAAGUGAUUUAGAAUAUUUUGUUGUAUUGCAAAAAAUAUAUGAAAAUGUAUUAUGAAAUCCUUUCUAAUAUUUUAUGUACUAUCAAAUCCAUUCUUAGUGUUUUAUGUAAUGUCUGAGAGUGGUACCUACAUCUCUGAGUUUAAUUAUAAUGGAAGAAGGAAAGGGAUUAAACUCUGCAUAAAAUUUGAAUAAGUUGUUCCAUUAAACAGUGUUGCAGAAAUUAUGAAAAUGAACAAUCAUUCGAACACCGAAAAAAAAACUAUAGUUUUUAAUUGUAAUAUUAUUUGUAAAUGGAAAGGCAAAAGAGUAAUCAUGAGAGUAAGCAUACGAGGGAGAUAGCAAUGAUGAGAUCUAUGAGCUUUAAAAUUUACAUGAGUUACAUAUAAUAAUCAUGAUAAAGGUAAAUACUCAUAACAAAAAAAUCUCUACAAAAUAAAUAUAACAUAAAAUCUAUGAAAUCUAUGAAUACCAUACUAACACUGUAUAUAAUCAUAUAAACAGGAGCAUUAGAGUACAAUUAUAUUUAGGCUAAUUCUAUAUACAUGGAGUACUAUAUAUGUAGAGUAUCUCAAAGCAUCACAAAGGCUUUUUAUAUUCAUAUAAUAUGGAGUAUUAGAGGACAAUUGUAUGCAGGCUAAUUCUAAUUUGUUUAUAAUGCCAUGUUACGGUUAUGUGUUACUUUUUCUUACUUUUUGUUGUACUAACUUUCAUCGUUCAAUAAUCACCAUGCAGGUAGCUCAAAAAGAAACUACUAAUUUACAGAAAAAGACAUCACUGCGGAUUACGGGAUGUACCAGUUACGUAUACUAACAAAAAAGAAUUUAAGAAAAUGAGAUUACAUACCAGCUAUGUGAGUGUUGCUUUCUUCUCCUGUAACAAAGUUUUCUUCCUCACCAUUUAAAUCAUGUAGAUCUUGAUUUAAAUCAAACAGUGGCUCUUCAUUUAAAUCAAACAAUGGUUCUUCAUUUAAAUCAAAUGGAAAAGCAUUGAGAUCCAUAGCAAAAUUUUGUUCUUCAUGAAUAAUAUAAAUUUGAUAAAUGAGUACCUAACUCUUAUAUAUAGUGAAAUUAUAAGUGUUUUUGAAAAAAUGUUGGGAAAAACAAAUUUUAAUUUAACUUUGGUGGUAAACAUUUUAAGAUUAGAGUAUAAAUUUUGGAGGGAAGUUUUUCAAUUGAGUUUAAAAAAAAAUUGUAUUGGCAUGCUAUUUUCAAUACAUAACCGCAGCAAAAACAAUGUGAUUUACUAGAUGAACCAUAUGUAUUGGUAUUGUCAGUAUGUAUUGGUAUUGAAGGAUGAUUGAAUUUAAUUAAUUUUGAUAUUGGUAUUGGGAGUAAUUAUGAGAUGGGGUAAAUAAAUGUAAAAUGGAGGAAAUCAAAGACAAGGGUAUAAUAGGAACUUUUGUGUCAAACUAGCUUGUCCUUGGUUACUGCAAUUUCUCCAAAAUGGACAUGUAUUUUGAAACGGAGGGAGUAUAUGAAAUAAGAUAUUAAAUGAAUAAGGUCAUUAUAGUAAAAGUAUAACUUAUUGCAAUCAAAAGUAGUAACAAUUAUUAAUUGUCUUGGUAUAUGUAAAAUGUCAAAAUAUGACAAUUAAAAAGAAACGGAGGUAGUAUCAAUUCUAUAAGAUUCUUACCCUUAUGUUGGCAAUAGAUUCUAACUUUAUUUUAUAGAAUCUUCUUUAAAAAAAAAACACCGUGCUGUGUUUAAUAUUAGUAUUUGCCUUUUGAAUCAUCAAUGAUGUUUGAUUCGUUAUGUGAAUCAACAAUAUUUUUAGAAAACAACACACCGUACUGUGCAAGGCAAGUAGAAUUGGGAGCAUCUUUGCUAAUCUGCUUCACAGAAUAACAGGUCUCAUAACUCAUAUGAAUAUCUAAAAGAAAAAUAAAUUUAUUUUUUGGCUCUCAUUUUGUUUUAUAAAAUUUGUCAUAACCCACCAAUUUUUUUAAAAUAAGAGAUCUUAGUAAUUUAAAUUGUGAUCAAGAGGUAAGUAAUAAUGGUCUAAAAAUUGUUCUUGCCAUGAUUUCGAACCGGAUUCUCUCAAAUAUUCAAUCAUGUAAUUAAAACAUAAUGUAUCAUUAAUCUCAUUUAUAUAGUUUCGUCCAAAAAAAAUUAAUUUUUAUAAUACAAAUCACCUUUAUUCUAAUUAUACUACAAGUAAUUAUAUAUCACAAGAACAAAUCAACAUAAAAAAAUAAAUGCUAAGAUGCUAAACACUCGUAUAAUUUUGAACGGACAAGGACUUUCUAUCUUUUUUGAAGGAAAAAGUAGAGUGAUUUUAGACAAAAUUAAGAUAAACUAUAAGAGAUGAUGAUGUUAAAAACGGUUUGAAUCUUUCUCCUAUCUUCUAAUUAUCAAAUAUUAUUUCUUGUAAUUCUAAAAGUGAGAUUUUGGAUAGGAUUAAGCAUCAGAUCAAGACUUUUAAUUUUGUUAUCUUCUCAUUCAUCCCCUUUCUCAUUUUUUUUCUCUGCUGAUUCUCCUUCUGAAUUUGUUUAUGUUUUCUUUGCUUCAUCUUUUCCUUUACUACUACCUUCCUUCCAAUUUUGAUUCAUUUCUAACUAUAAUUUGAGGAGCAAUUGAAUCCGAAUGAGCUCUAUUUUCUUGUUAUAUAUAUGUAGCAAUAUGCAUUUGAGCUUUUAGUUCAUUAGGAUUAGGAAGGUUGUUGAAGGAGAUAAUAAAUGAGAAGUAUCAUUAGUUAGCUAGAUUGUUUGGGUUGACACGUUUUCUCCCUAAACACAAAUUACAUGGUUGCUUGCUUUUCCUUAGGUGUUCGUGUCUAUUUUUUUUAUCUAUAAAUACAAAUUGCAUGUUUUGUUUCUCUAAAAAAAAUUGAACAUAAAUUUAUUGUUAGAUUAGUAAUAGCUCAUAUAGACUGCUCCACUUUUUUUUUUGUUUGUUAAUCCUCUAAUUUUUAAGGGAAGAGAGUUUUGGAAAUGGAGUUUGAGCGAAGGGUAAAUAUAAUGGUAAUAUGUUUAUGAUAACUAAUGUUGUUUGCAACUCAUUCUUAAAAAAAUGUUUACUCUACUAUGUUUAAUGGUAAUACAAAUUUCUCCUAAAACUUAAUUUAUUGGUGUUUAUUGCGGUUGAUAAAAUCCGUGCGACCUACUGACCGGCGAUCUAGUAAAUAGUAAAUUUUAAAAAUUGGAAAAUACACAAAAUUAAAGAAGCUAGAGUACAUAACAAUAAAGAAGCUAUAGUAUAAGUUUUUAUCAUAUAACAAAUUAUUAAACUCAUUUUCAUAUAAACUAUAAGAUAUUUUCAUAAGCUAUCCUGAAAAGUUUAUGAAAAUAAUAUGAAAAACAAUUUAUUGACAUGUUAUGAGUUGUUUUCAUAAGCUCUUCCAAAUAAAUCAAUCCAAGUUUUUUUUUUUUUUUUUUUCCUGAAUCAGCAAAAUUUAUUAAACGCCAACCUCGCAAGACGUAAGGUAUAGAUGACAUAAAGAUACAAAAGAUGCCGCAUAUAGAGAGUACACCCAACCCCAAAACGAAAUAACAGACUCCUCCACAAGGAACCCAAAAACUGUGACAGUAUAGCAAGUUAUGAGCCUGUAAUCCGGUACAAUGGCCACCGAAUUACACAGCCAUAGCUCAAACUAGGCACAAACAGACCCUCAGCCCCAAACAAAGAACCCAAAAGGCACCCUAAAACAAGGCCUACCCAAAACAGAAAAUUCCAACACGGCAGGCCCUGCUAUUGCAACUCAGCAGCUGCACGGCUACAGCAGCACAUGAAAAACAGCAGGUGCUGUUUGAACCCGCAAAGGAGCCCCCAAAAACUCAGCAGAGAACAGCAAAACUGACAGAAUACCGGCAGCAAAGAAACUGCAGUACACCGCAGCACCCAACACAGGACAGCACCGGAGCAACUUAAACCGUGAAUCGAUCCAGGUUCUAAGUCAAUCUUUUCCUCAAACCCAGUCAAGAUUAGAAUCUAUUCAUAAUAUUGUUGAUUAUUUGUAGAUGCUGCAAAAAUCAGUGUUAAAGAACAAGUUGUUGUGUUAUCUUUUAGCUAAAAAUUCAGUUACUGUGAGAAAAUGACAAUGUAUGAUUCAUCAUUCAGUGGUUAAGGACUAAAGGAAUAGUGCUGAAUGUUUUUUUUCUUUAACAGCAUAUUCCAUUGUUAAUGUUAAUCAAUUACCAAAUAUUUGUCAAAAACUACUAAAGAACCACAAAAUGAGAGUUCAUAAUACAAGAUAGAUAUCAGUAAAAUGAUAAAUACCAAUAUUUCACAAUCAAAUUCUUCUAGUUUGGUAUCACUAGUCAUCUUAAGUUUAGUGAAAGUAGAGACUCUGUAUACACCGCCAUUUGGGAUCUCAUAAAGCAACGGUCACUAUAGGAGUGAUACUUUAGCAGUUGUCCUUUGACAUUAAGCUUAACUAAUCCACCAUUGGCUGGUCCAACAAUAUCGCCACAAUUUGUAAAGCAUAAUGGGGAAAACUCCGGAUCGGGGUGAAAAGAAAAAUCAAAAGUCUUAGUCCAAGAUGAAUGUAUUGCGUAUUCUUGCAUCACCCAUAUCUUAAGUGUAGGCAUCUCCAUAUUCCAUACACUAAUAAGUCUGCCAAAUACCAUCAAAUCAUAAAUUCUAGUAGAGUAAUCACUAUAAAAACCAUCUGGGAGAGCAGUCUCUGACAGUGUCAUUUCCUUUAAAUCAAAGGCAAUAAUAACAUCCAUUUCAGUCUUAUCAUCAUAAACCAGCCAAUGAAUAGAACCAUUCAAGAACGACCCAACUCUGGGACCACCAUUAGAGCUUGCAGUAUUCUUAUAAGGCAAAUCAGAAUCAAACUCAAUUUGUUCCCAUUGAUUACCUCUCAAUGAGAAAAUCUCCAAGUCAAUUGAACUAGAUACCAUGUAUUUUUAUUGUAGAUACCAUGAACUAGAGCUUCAUGAGCAUAAGCUUUCUUGAAAAGAUAAGUUUUCACCGACAUGAUUCUAUGUGUGGAUGAUGCAGCAAGUUGAAAAUGUGAAGAUGCCAAAUAGGGAUCAGAGAUUAGAGAGAGCCAUGACUUACAGACGCCUGCAACGUAGUACAGACUUCACCGGCAACCUCAGCAGGAUUUCGGUUAUCACUUCUUCAGGCAGAUGCACUCUCUUCUUCGCCAUCUUUCGUACAAGAUAGAUAGAUAGAUAAAAGAGUAAAUUACACUCCCCUCUCCUUAAAAUAUUUGAAUUACACUCUACUCCCCUUUUAUGUUAAAAUAUACAUUCCCCUCCCCUCUUAUUCAAAAUAUAUUAAAAAAAAAUUCAAUCCCCUCCCCUAAGAGAAGCAUGAAUUACAUUCCCCCUCCCCUCUUAUGUUAAGAUUCUACACUUUACUCCCUCAAUAAUUUUUUUUAUUUCUAAUAAUCUAGCAAAAAAAUAAUAAUCUAACACAUUUCGAAAAAAAAUAGUAUUGUCGGUCUACUUUAAUAAAACCAAAAUUUGAAUAAAUAUUUUUUGCUAUUUUUUUAUUCACAAUUUCAUUAACAUAUAGUUUUGAACCCAAUUACAAAAUACGAAACAAUUCAAAAUAAAAUUAAAAUAUGAAAAAUUACUCAGGACAAUAAUAUAUGGCCAUUUAAAUGUUAAUUUUAUAAUCUAAAUUAUAAAAUUAAUAGAAAAAUAUUUAAAUUUAAUUAUCAUUGACAUUGAAAUUAUAAAGAAACGAAUUUAUGUUUCUUGAUGGUGGUACGGAAUUAGAAAAUAUCAUAAAAAUAUUUAUUUAUGUUUUCUUUUUGAAAGAAUGAAUUAUUUAUUUAUUUAUUUAUGUUAAAAUAGAUUAAAGUGUAAUGCAUAUUUAAUUAUUAAGGGAGAAAGUUAUAAUUCAAGCAUCUUAUAUGGAGGGAAGUAUAAAAAAAUUUGAAGGGAGGGGAAUGUAUAUUUUAACAUAAGAGGGGAGGGGAGUGUAAUUCAAGCAUCUUUAAAGGGAGAAGAGUGUAAUUUACUCUAAAUAAAACCCUAAUUACUUUUUUUUUUCUUUUCAAUUUUGUGAAUUGAGAAUGGGAAGGAAGGGACUCUAUUGGUGGAUUGGAAAUGUCUGUCUAAAUGCACCCCAACUGAAAUAUUCUUUUUUUUUUGUUCAAAAACUGAAAAAAUCAAUAUUUUAGGGUAUGUUUGUUUCAAUGGAAAGAAAGUGUUGAGGAAAGAAAGGUGAGUGAAAGAAACACUUUUCAUUGUUUGGAAACCUUCUAAAAAGGUGAUGGAAAGAAAGAAGCUGGUGGGAUCCAUGUCAAAAUCCUUUCCCCUCACAUGGACGGAAAGGUUGAGGCACAUCAAUAUUUUGAUUGAAAAGUCAAUAAUACCCUUACUUUUAUUGUUUUUCUUUUUUGCUAUUAGUUAAGUGUGUUUUUAUCUUUUUCUAAUUAACUGUUUUGUUAUUUUGUUAUGUAGCACUAGACUUACGAUUGCAUACUCACAACUAAGCAUACAAUUUUUUUCCGUUGAAUUAUGUGGACACGUGUUUAUAUUUUAUAUGAUAAUAUAUGUAUGCAUUACUAUAUCUAUACAGGGAUAUUUAUGUCAAUUAAAAAAUAUAGAUCUUUCUUUCCUUUCACUUUCUAAUUCACUUUCUCUUAUACCAAACAACCAUAACAAUCCCUUCAUUUUCUACUUACUUUCUUUCCUUACAGAAUCUUUCCUAUCUCUAUCUUUCCUUUCACUUUCAUUCCCAAACCAAACAAAGCCUUUGUCUCCCUAUAACACAUUUUUGUUUUUGUUUUUUUAGUCCCCAUUAAUUUUGAUGAUUUGUCACUCUUAUUAAUGACGUGUCAUUUGUGUGUUGGCUUUCUCAUUUUUCAAGUCGUUAAUAAUAAUUAGUUUACAUCCAUAAGAAAAAGGGUCUGUUUGGGAAACCAAAAAAAGAGCUUUUAGCUUAUAGCUUAUAAACUCGUUUGACAAAAAAAGCUCUGUUUGGUAACACUUUUUCACCAUGAGCUUAUAGCUUAUUUCACGAGCUUAUAAGCUAUUUUUCAGAAGCUAUUCCAAAUAGCGUUUGAGCUUAUAGCUUCUCACUUUUUCUUCCAAUUUUACCCUUAUUAUUUCAUUUAAAUUGUAUUUUUAUCCAUUAUAAUUUUUAUAAUAAGCUACNNNNNNNNNNNNNNNNNNNNNNNNNNNNNNNNNNNNNNNNNNNNNNNNNNNNNNNNNNNNNNNNNNNNNNNNNNNNNNNNNNNNNNNNNNNNNNNNNNNNNNNNNNNNNNNNNNNNNNNNNNNNNNNNNNNNNNNNNNNNNNNNNNNNNNNNNNNNNNNNNNNNNNNNNNNNNNNNNNNNNNNNNNNNNNNNNNNNNNNNNNNNNNNNNNNNNNNNNNNNNNNNNNNNNNNNNNNNNNNNNNNNNNNNNNNNNNNNNNNNNNNNNNNNNNNNNNNNNNNNNNNNNNNNNNNNNNNNNNNNNNNNNNNNNNNNNNNNNNNNNNNNNNNNNNNNNNNNNNNNNNNNNNNNNNNNNNNNNNNNNNNNNNNNNNNNNNNNNNNNNNNNNNNNNNNNNNNNNNNNNNNNNNNNNNNNNNNNNNNNNNNNNNNNNNNNNNNNNNNNNNNNNNNNNNNNNNNNNNNNNNNNNNNNNNNNNNNNNNNNNNNNNNNNNNNNNNNNNNNNNNNAUUUAAAGUAUUUUUUUAAAGAAAAAUUAGUUUACAAAAUUACAAAUACUUAAAUUAAUGAUAUAAUUUUUAUUAUGAAUUAAGAAUACCUUUUAUGUCAUUUUACAUUUAUCAGCUAGUUGAACCGCUAUUUUUACCAAACACUUCAGUCAGCUUAUAAGCUAAAAGCUACCAGCUAGCUUAUCAGCUAAAAGCUAUCAGCUAACUUAUCAGCUAUCCGCUAUUUUUACCAAACAGAGUCAAAGUAACCGAUUAAUGAUUCUUACUUUAAAAGUUUGUCAUGUCAAGCUUUUCUUUAACCCUUAUUUAGAUUAAAGGAUAGAUUGUGUUAACUUUAAGUUUUGUAUUCUACGGUAAAGUAUAGUGUUUUAAUGAUAAAAACAAACUAAAUUCGUGUCUAAUGUAUCUUAUUUCCUACAUUGAUUCAAUCUAAUCAAUUGACGAGUUCAUAUAAAUAUAGUGGAUAUUACUGAAAAGCCAACUGACAUAGGGGCGGUUUGUUUAAAAGAAUUUAAAAAUUAUAUUUGACUUUUUAGUUAGGGAUGAUGAAGCAGAUUGACCCGCUCCAUUUAGAUCCACCUCACUUAAAGCCCGUCAAAAAUAGGACGAAAUAGGCAGAGUCAAUUUAGAUGAUCGAAUCCAAAAAUUCCACACCGCUUGGCUUAAUGGCGGGUUGACGGCCUCGAUAGUCAAACGAAAAAUUAAUAACAUUUUUUCAUUUUUUUAACAAUUUUAUUGUUAUAAGAAAUACUAUGUUGCAGUUAUUUAAAAAAUGGUUAAUUAAGUUUUUGGUUCCUAUAAAUAUCUGCAGUUUUGUUUUUAGUCCCUAUAAAAAUAAAUCACAUUUUUUAGUCCUUAAAAAAUUUACUAUUUGUGUUUUUAGUCCCUGUUAAAUUAAAUUUGUUUAAUUAUGCUUAAACUUCUAAAUUUUUGAAAGAUUUUUUAUAUACAUGUUCAUAACAUCGUAAGACACUCUUUUAUUAAUUUUUUUUAGUUUUUUAACAUGUAAUGAAUUAAAUAUGAAUUUUUCUAAAAGCCAAAUUUUGAAGAUUAUAUUAAUGAAAAUUUGGACCUAAUAAUAACAUUUUAAGUUACUUUUUUACGGAGGAACUUUGUAUAAUAUUCUAAGUAAGUAUGUGAAAAAUAUGUUACAAAUUUAAAAGUCUAAGCACAAUUAAGCAAAUUUUAAUUUUACAAAGACUAAAAGUAUGUGUUGGUCCCUAUUAAAUUGAAAUUUAUUUAAUUAUAAUUAAACUUUUAUAUUUUUAAAGGAUUUUUUAAGAGACAUGUUAAGAACAUUAUAAUAAUCUCUUUUAUAAAAAAAAUUGAAUUUUUUAUAAAAAAAUUUGAAUUUUUUAACAUGUAAUGAAUUAAAUAUAAAAUUUUUAAAUCGCCAAAAAUUCAAGAUAAAACUAACAAAAAUAUGGACCUAAAAAUAAAAUUUUGAGCUAAUUUAUUGUGGCGGAACCUUUUAUAAUAUUUUAAACAAGUAUGUAAAAAAUUAUUAAAAAAUAUAAAAGUUUAAGUAUAAUUAAACAAAUUUUAAUUUAACAAGGACUAAAAACACUAACGGAAAAUUUUGUAGGGAUUAAAAAGUGUGAUUUAUUUUUAUAAAGACUAAAAACAAAACUGCAGAUAUUUAUACGAACCAAAAACUUAAUUAACCCUUUAAAAAAUAAAAAUUAACCGCAAAUAAAUUUGUGGAAGAAUACAAGCUUAGUAGACAAAUUCAGAUACAUGAGCUGUUUGGUUGCUUCAUUUUAAAUGAUGUAUAACCCAUUGAUAAAAAAAAAAAAAAAAAAAAAAAAAGUUGACAAGUUGAUGAGUCGGUCCCUAAUUACUGUGAGUUAGGAGAAUUUUUGUGAUUUUCAUCUUCAUUUUUCUCAUUGCAUUGGGGUUAAUACAUAAUACAAAAAGCAAAUUAAUUAUAACAUUAUCAAAUUGAUAAGAAGAGCUAUUCCCGUUUGAAAACAUAAUUAAAGAAUGUAAAAAUAGCAGACUGGCACAUGAUAUUAAUAAGCAUGGCUCUUCAACGAUAAUACAAAGUAAACUUCUGUUAUUGUCCCAUCUAAUAUAAAUCUAAUUGUUUAAAACUACAAACUUCUUUGUACAUGGACUUUUCCUCAACUCACCUAUUUUCAGUGAACCCUGGGAAAGAAUUACAAAAUUUCACUUCGUGGGAGUGAGCCACCCAAUGAAUAAAUAAAGGAAUUUUGGUAUGGAGCUUCAAGAGAAGAUAAUGCAUAAGAUUGAUCCACCUCCCUAAUAUAUUUCAUUUGACAGUGACAUGAUGAAACUAUGCUUCACUUACCUCACUUUCCCUACACAUACCCACAUCUAUCACCAUGGUUCCUUUCUUCUUUGACCUCAUAACUCUGCAACAGUUUCUCCUUGGAGCCUGUAAAAUAUAUACCAAAGCAAAAACCAAAAUCAAAUUAUAGCAGUGCCACCAAACCAGUAAAAUUUUCAAGUAAAAACUUGAAAUUAAAAGCAGUCAAAAUCGGGUGGCAAGUGUACGAAGACUAUGACAAUAACUUACUCUAUCCCAUAGAUGUGGAUCUGGCUUCUUAUAUACCUCCACUCUGUCAACAGAAGAAGGAUUGGCCAUCUUCCACCGGCAUUCUGGGUGAGGAACACGAUGCCUUUCAUAUUCAGUCAGUGUUUGUUCUGUUGUAUCAUUGUAUUUUGCCUUUGAGAAGUAAAAUACAAAAGGCUUCUGACAUGGAUUUCGGCUAACCGGACGCGUGUUGAAUGCAUAUGCAGUGUAAUCUGCUCUUCUGUACCAAUUCAAGAACGUUCUUGAAGGCAUUUCCAUCUCUCGGGGUGAAAACACGCCACGGAAUAUCUGAACAGCAAAACCCCAUGAAACAGAAACAGUCCAGUGCUUUGAUUUGUCGUAGCAGAUGGAUUGCUGCAUGAGCCCUGCUGAGUCAAGCUUCAUUGGUAUUGUCAACCGUUGGAGGGCUUCUACGCGAGUCACAUUGGGGAAGAUUGGCUCAACCACGUCAAGGUGGUGCAGUGACACUAAUGGAGUCACCGGAUGCGAUGCAAGAAGACCGAGCAGGUUCCCAUACACAUCAUACUGUUCCAAUAAACCAGAGGAUCUCAGUAUAAAAUUAAGUUAAUAAAAUGCACAACACUGCAUUCCUUGUCUAGCAUUAGCAUGGCAACUCUGAUUUAUUCAUCAAAAUAAAAUACAGUUUUGAGAAUGGUAAAAAUAUUUAGGCCUGUUUACUGUACAUGUUUCCUAUUUUCAUUUUUACUUCAACUAAUAAACAUAAGACUCGGUUAUAAAGAUCGUGACCGGUGGUGUAUGGGGGGUCGGCUCGUCGUCUUCAAAUUUGUUCUUAAAAUCCUUGGAGCUAGUGGUGUUUCUGUGUUAGUUUUGUUUUCUCAGAUCUGUAGAGGUGAGUUUAGGAGCUAUCCUAUUGCUCUGUCUAGUGAAGUCUUGCAGGUGGAGCGAAUUUGGGUUGUGGGGGUGUUUUGAAACAUUGUGUCUGAUGCUUUGAGAGCCUAUCUUAUGUGCUCAAGCUCAAGCUUAUAUGUGUAGUCUGAUUAAGCGUAUAAGUUAAACCAUGUUCACCUUGUGUUUGGUUUCAUUAUAAUUAAUAAUUUUUUGUUGUUCCUAUAAAAAAUAAACAUAAGAGAAUAUAGAUCCAAUAGUAACCGAAAAAAAAAGAUCCAAUAUUUCUCUCACCAUUUUCUUUUACAAUUUUCAAAAACAAAUCAAGCAAUUUAAAAAAUAUUGAAAAUGUCAAAACACUGUUUUCAUUUUUUGUUUUUUGGUAUAUGCAUUCUUCUUAGUUUAUCUUCCAUUUUCUUUAUAUUACAAUUGUUUACUACAAAAAAUCUUCCAUCUUCUUGAUAGCAAUUUAAAAUGAACACAAAUUUUAGAAAAUGAAAAUACUUUUAAAAUAAACGACAAAACCUUAAUAUUAUUAUUAUUAUUAUUAAAAAUUUAAAACAAAAUUCAUUUCCUGUUUUUUAAAAAAUUGGAAUAAUGUAAUUAUAAUAAUUAAUAUUCCUUUUUAAUUUGUAAACAUGUGUGGCUAGGUGCACACCACAAAAACCAUAAAGAUCUCCUUGGGAGAUAACCCAGGCACGGUCAAGGAGAUUUUAUAGCAAAUAUUUCUAUUCUUCAAAGAAAUCAGGAGAAAAGGUAAAAGCCCUUAUGAAUUUGCCUAGUUGCCUCACUUUCAUCUUAGGGACCAGGCAACAACCAUGUAUUCCACAUGGAGCUCUUUCAAUCAUUAAGUCAAAUUUUAACACUAAAACGGCAGAAGCAUCAAGUUUUCGGCCACCAACCUUUUCUAAACUAAAUGGUCUUUUUUUUUUUUUUUGGUAGUGUAACUAAAUGUAAAUGGUCUAAAUCUAAACUCUAAACAUGUUAUUUUAUUAAUAUUAAAUCAAAUUUAAAUUUAAAUACUACUACCAGGAAACUUAAAAUACCCGCAAACCAUAGCAGUGAUUAAAUUCCACUGUCCACAAAUUAAAUGCUAGAGUUCAGUAUCCACCACGAUAUCAGAAGAACAAAAAUUUAAUGCACAGUGCCCAUAAGUCACCACCGACACAAAUAAUAUAAACUUGAAGACCAAAAAUAAACCGGUAAGGUAAAAUGAAAAUUUACAGCUUCAACAAUUCUACUACUAUUAUGAUCAUAAAAAAUAAAAAUAAAAAUUAAAGGUAUUUUUUGGUUCGGCGAUGAUGAAGUUUGAUUUUGAAAGAAUCAAAAUGUACAAAUUCUAACUUCAAGUAGAAUCAAUUUUAAAGGCAAAAUAAAUUCUAUUCGAAGGCAACCAAAUAUGUUAGAAUUAAUUCUCCACCUUCAAAAUCAAUUUUGUCCUCUUCAAAAUUGGAACGAAGCAUACUCUAAAAUCCCGGUAAAAAAGCAGGUAGCUGAUAAACUAACUUAUGGCCGAUGAGCUAAUAGCUUGGAUUAAGAUUGCAAAACUUUUUGUUGAUUGUUCGGUAAAAUUAGAAUAUAAAGUAGCUAAUAAAUACUUGUAAAAAAAAAAAGUAGCUAAUAAAUAUGAAAUAUCGUAAAAAAUGUAUAAUAUUGAAUUAUUUUUUUUUUCAAUUAAGAUUGCAAUAAAUGUGAUAAAAAAUUAUAAGCUAUAAGUUUUAAGUUGUAAGGCUACUUGAAUUAACUUAUAAAAAAAAAACAGUAUAAGCUCAUGCAAAUAAGUUAUAAACUCGUGAGAAAACAACGGUUAUCAAACAAGUCUCUUUUAGCCAUACGAGCUAUAAGUUUAAAUGUGUGUCUUACUUUUGCCAAUCAGAGCCUAAAUAUGGCAAUUCGUUAGGGGUAAAGCAAAACUAAACUCUCACUCACAUUACACUCAAUGAGUGCAACGUACCAAACAUAAAAAACAGCUUUCACUUGAAUGAAUGAAUUAUUAUGAUCACCAUUAUUAUUAGCAAACAGUUAUUAAAAACAGAAAAGAAAUUGCAAAGUAGAAAAGCAGUUUCACACCCACCGAACCAAAACGGGUCCACAAAAUAAACAGACAGUGUAAUAAUAAGUGAACCACGUUUCAUGAUAAGACACUGACAGCACAAAUCAAAAAAACACCGAGUUAAAUCACUCACCUGGUGAAACCCCGUUUCUUUAGUGAGUGGAACACCGAGUUCAGCCAUACAAGCAUGCAUUCUAUCAUCUGAGCCAUACAAUCCUGGAUACCGUUGAAUACACCGAUCCUGCAUUUUGUGAAGCGCUUUCGCCAAAGGAUAGCUUAUAGCAAAUCCACCACCACCAUAAGCCAUACCAUAGGAAAAGAAAAUAUUCUGCAAAUGACUUUCAGAUAAACUUCCAAUGUAAUAAAAUUGAUUAUGAUCGUAUUUUCUUAGAAUCCUAAUCAAAUUUUCGGUGACGAAGACGGUAUCAUCGUCACCCAUGACGAACCACCGUACAUCUUUCAUUCCGAGCCGGAGUGUUUCCGAUACGAUUCGUGAGAUUCGGAUUGCGGAACGGUGACCUUGUUUGUUUUUAUAAGCGAAUUUUGAAGUGUCGCCGGAGAUUCUCACCGGCGGGAGCCGACUUUCGUUCUUUUGGGUUUUAACCUUGUUGUCUAGCCAUACUACACCACGCAUUUCCUUUGCUCUGUACCAUAGCUUGAUGUAGUUUUUUCUUUGCUCCCAUAGCUUGGCCGACGCCGCGAUUCCGAAAACAACGUGCCGGAGCACCGUUUUGUUGUCAGUGGUGGUUUGUUGAGUAACGAGGCGGAUGGCGGAGGUGGUUGAGGUUGCAUUGAUGAGUGGAAGAGUUGAGAGUGUGUCGGUGGAGAAUGGAGUGUCUAUGCAAGCGCGUGAAGUGGAAACGAGUUUGAGCGAGUAGACAACGUAGGUAAUUGAAACGAAGAGGAUGAGUAAGAGGAGAAGCUUGUGGGAGAUUUUGGAUUGUGUAGUUGUUGUUGUUGUUGUUGUUACUACACCUCCAUUGGAAAGAGGGGUGCCGACGGCAGAUUUAGGAGUCCAGAUUAGUUUAUCUGAAUCUUUCAUGUUUGUAGGGAAAAGAAAAAGACAAUGUUGUAAAGUUAGAGAAAGAAAUCAAAUCGGGGUUUAAAAGUUAAAAGCUUUGAAGAGGUGAGGAGAAUUUGAAGGAAGCAGAUCUUGCAAUCUAGUAAUAGAAAUAGAAUGAUUGGAAGAGAUGAAUGUAGUAGGGUAAGAUAAUUAAAGGCGGUGAGAAAUAGAAAGAAGGAAGGGUUUUUGGUGUUGAAGGGGAGACAAUGGUUAACAACGCCAGCCGAGGUUCAGUUGAGUGACAGCUCACUGUUAAGAUGAAAUUAUUUUGGAUCACUCAUCAUAUCAUAUGGGAGCUGCUGAGAGUUGGAGAAUGGAGACCAAGAUUAGAGUGGGCCCUUGUUAUUAUUCCACUUUUCCAAUAACUACUCUUUCAGCAUGUUUAAUUUAUUUUGGCUAAAUUAUAAGUUUUUUAUUCGUUUGUCAUUUGCAUUGUUUAAUUUCAGCAUGUUUAAUUUAUUUUGGCUAAAUUAUAAGUUUUUUAAUUCAUAGUUAACUGACAGUUUUCUUUUCAAAAUUUGAACUAAAAAACUUAAUGCAUGUAUUAUAUUAAAAAAAUUAUUAGAGUUAUGUAUCUCCUUGUUUAAAAAAAAAAAAAACGUUAUCUUAUCUCUUUGUUUGAAUAAUAAAUGAAAUUUGAAUUGAUUUCAUUUAUGUCAUAUCUCCAUAAAUAGAAAUAAUAUUUGAAAUUAAAUCAUCAAAACUUAAAAGUAAAAACAAAUUUGGUUUUACCUAUAUAAGUUUAUAAAAUACAUGAUUGUUUUUUAUAGAAAAAAUUAAUAAAUUGAGGUAGAUUAGUUUAUGGUUUUGAAUUAGAAAUAUUAGAGAGGACAAUAAAUAAGAGAAUAUUUUGUAUGAGACAAAAAUAAUAAGUUUCUAUUUUAUUGAGAGAAAAGAAAAGUAAUAAAAUGCUAUCAUAUUGAAAAUAAGCAUAAAGCAAGAUUUCUUUUUCUUAUAAAAUUAUUGCAUUUAGCAUAUGAGAAAUUAAAUUUUAUAUCCCUUAAAAAAAUUGUAAAUACAUUUAUCUUAUUUAGAAUGUAAAAUUAUGAAAUUUGGCAUAUGAGAAAUUGAAUCAUUAGUUAAAAAAAAGAGAUUUUUUUUUUAUUUUUGGCAAAAAGAGAAAUUAAUUCGUAUAUACCUUUCAAAAAAAUUAAUUGCAAAUUUUUUUUAAAAAAAUAAUAUAUGGCCAAAAACUUACAUCUUAAGGAGAUAAGUGGAGUGUCCGAGUUUCAAACUCAGUCUUUUACAUAUAUUAUGAGAUUUCUAUACCAAAUGAGCUAAGUUUAUGGGGACUAAUUUAAAAUAUUUUAAUUAUACUAAGAAUGGAUAAAUAAAAGUGGGCAUGGCAACGAGGCAGGUCUAACCAUCACUGCCCUCGCCCCCGUCCCCGUCCCCAAACCUUAUCGGAGGUAAAAAUUAAACACCCAACCCCGCCUUCAAUGGGAAUGGGUUCCUGACCCCGCCCAACCCCCACACGCGAAAAAUUGUAUUUUUCAACAAAAAAAAAAUGCAUGUUUUUCAUUUUUUCCAUAGCAACCAAAAAUAAUAAUUAAAUUAGUAAUAAAAAAUCUAAUAAACCAUAUUCAAAAGAGAAAGAUAAUUUUGAUUAACAUGUUUCGAAAUAAUAACAAUAUACUAAAAUAGUUUAAUAUUUAUUUUACAGAAAAUGGAAAUAAGAUUAUUAAAUUUAUUAAUGUAAAUUCCAAUAAGUGAGGGCGGGUAUAAGCAUCCCUCAACUCUGACCCCCCUAUUAAAAAUUCAUAUUAUCCCCGCAUACAGUUAAAUCGAUUUUUCCCCGUUAAAUUUGGAGUAGGGGCGGCUUUUGUUUCCAUUUCUAAUAAAAGAGAAAAAAAAUUAUGCAAGAAAAACAAAAUAUUUCCUAAUUGAUUGAGAUGAGUAAGAUAAAUGAGCAAUGCUAUAUCUUUAAAAAAAUAACAUCAAGAAUUCUUCAAGAAUAAAGAGCAGUCAAUCACAAUGCACUAUUUGUGAAAAUUCAAGGAGGUGUGGUAGAAAAAUAGGAAGUUAACAAUUAAAUCAUGCAAUUAAAACUUGCUAACUAUGUCUUGAAAAAUUCUUGAUGCUAUUUUUCUAGAGAAAUAGCAUUUUCCAAGAUGAAAAUGGGGGACAUAAAGCAGAAAAACAAACCCUUAGAAAAACGGGAGAUAUAAAAAUAAAUUAUAGAAAUAAAAAAUAAAAACAGAAAGAAUAUAUAUAUAUACAAAAGUGAUAAAAAAAAGUAUAAGUUUUAUCCUUUUUUUGUUUUAAUUUUUUUCUUGGUAGAUAGAUGAGAUGGCAAAGCCAUCGUAAUCUCACACACAGCGGCGAAGCUCGCAAAAAAUUUAUGCAAGGGCCAACUAUAAAGAAGAUUUUUUUUUUUAAAACAAACAUAUUAAAUUUAAGAAUAAAAUAUAUUUUUAGUCCUAUAAAUUAUAAUUUAGGGUUAAAAAAAUUAUUCAAUUUUUGUCUUUGUUUUUUAAUUUUUUUUUUUAAAAGAAAACUGUUUUUAGUCUUGAAUUUAAUCUCUAACAAAAAAUUAAGGAUUAAAAUUAACAAAUUUUAGUCUUUUCAAAUGUAAAUAAAUAGUUUAUUUGCAAGAAACUCAUUGUACAUUUAAUUUGUCUAUGACUAUUGUCUUGAUCAUUUUUAUUGUUGAAAAAUGUUUCUUUAUUGUUGUUAUUGAGACGGGAAGUAUCAAACCAAUACAAACAUAGCUAUAAAGUGUGUGGUGCUGGUGGGCUGAGAGUGUGUGGACCUACAAUUGUAUUACUUUAUUUGUUAAAUAAACAAAAUAUUGUUAUUAUUUAUUAUUUAUCUCUUUUGGGUGUUAAUCUUUCGAUUCUUAUACAACAUUAUCAAAUAAUUUGAAGUUCGACCGGAAAUUAAAUAAAGAUAGAAAAAAUUAUUUCAUCUAAAAUUAAACUUGGGGUAGCUAAUUAUAUAUUAUUAGGGGUAGCUAAAUAUAAAAAUAUACCUACUCGCUCAGAAAAAUAUUUUUUUUUUGGGUAGCAAGGGCUACCCCUCCCUUGUACUACCAUCCGCCCCUGCUCACACACAUAAAGCGGCGGUAUCAGAGUUCGAACCCCGAUCACGACGUCCGGCCUAACAAUUUUAACAUUUUUAUGAGUUGAGCUAAGACUUAUAGGACUAUUACUGUUUUAUAUCUGGUACUUCUUCGCUUCUUUUGUAAUAAGAUUCUCUACAAAAUUCACGUUAAAUAAUAAAAAAUAAAUAUAUUUUUCAUUUAUUUAGUAGCCUUUUUUCACACUACCAAAAAAAGUUAGCCUUUUUCAACUAUAAUAUAUUUUUUUAUUAAAAAAACUAUAAUAUUAUUUUAUUCAAAAAAAACUAUAAUAUCAUUUUAUUUAUUAUCAAGAUUCUUUCAAUUUAUUAGAUCAUAAAUAUCUAAAUGAGGAAUUCGUUUUCAUAAUUAUCAUUAAUAUUUUCAACACUAGAUACAUGUUACACAUCAUUAGAAACAUUUGAAUUGUCCUCGUGAGCUUAGUUCGAUUGGUUUGGACAAUGCAUAAAAUAUGCAAGGUUCGAGGUUCAAAUCCCGGUCACUACCAAAAAAAGAAAUAUUUGAAUUGUCAUCAAUUUCUUCAUUUUCAUGAUCUAAAUUUCCCAAGUUUUUGUUUCGCUCACUUUGUAGUAAAUAGCGAUGAAAACACUUGAUUGGGGGUGUAUAUAAAACAAUAUCAAUAGAUCUGAAAACUAUGUUCAUGUUUGGGCCCCAUAGUUUCAUUUUAUUAUACAAAUCCUCUUAUAAACAUGUUUUUCUAUAUACACUUCCUGUAUGAAACAUUGGACCUAGGUGUUCACACCCCAAACCUAUGCCCAAGGCCGCACAUGCUCUUGGAAAUUGGAGGGUUAAGACCAAAAAAAAUUUGAUAAUGUGUUUUCUAGUAACUAAUUUUUCGCACUUCCAAACUUUUUACAAGGUGACUUAUUUAUAACUUUAUAACGGGUGACUCUAUAAAUUGAGUUCAACGGAUUAAUCAAUGUAAUCUACUAGUAUUAUUUUAGAUGCGGUAAUCACACGUCCUCGUGAGCUUAGUUCAGUUGGUAUGCAUAAAAAUAUGCAAGGUUCGUGGUUCAAACCCUGGCCACCACAUGAAAAAAAAGAUGGGGUAAUCACACAUGUUUGUCAGCCUCGUUUAACCCACGGAAAUAUUGGAGCAAUGAAGGGCAGGGUAGGUUGGCUUAUCAGGUUAAUUUAAAAAAUAUAUUUUUUGGGUUAUUUAUUUUACUUAUUCCAUUAUUUUUUCUGUAGCUCGUUUUGUUGAACAUAUUAUGCUGAGUUUAUAGUACUGCUAAACUUAUUUUGAUGGUGGAUUUGGUUUGUUUGCUAGAGCAACCUAGACUAUUUUGACGUUACGUUGAAUUCAAUUCACAAGACAGGACACUAUUAUAAUAACGUCUUGUAAGCAAAUGCUUCUAAGUAAAAACGUUUUGUAAGCAUUUGUGGCGAUUUGCUUUAUGAAAACUAGCAUCAUUAUUAUUUUUUAGCUUGGACACUCUUGAGUUGAUGGGAAAUUUUGUGUUCCUUGUAUACUUGUGUAGAUUCCAAUGGCUCAAGGCUCGUUUGAUGGUUAAAAUAGGUAGAGAAAGUAUAAAAUGCGUUGAAUAAAAGUUAUAUGAAAGUUUGUCUUAGUACAAUGGUAGAAGCGCACAGAGUAACUCACUAAAUAAUAUUGUCAUCAAGCUAGGUCUCAUGGUAUUUGAUGAUUAACCAAUAAAGAUCUCAUGCUCUAGUAGGCUAGCACAAGUAGAUGAAAGUUACAAGAAUAAUGUAAAAUAUAUAGAUGAAAGUAGAUAGAUAUAUACAAUAUAUAUGCUUCAUGCAGCCAUGCUUCAAAAAUGACUAGUUAGUUUUUUGUUGAAGAAUGCAAGCCAAGUGAUGAAGCUCUGUAAAUAACAGAGACAAUGGAAUGACAAACAUUGGCUACUAUCUUUGAUUUUAUCUGCCCUCUCUUCGGAAGUGGUCUUGAUCUUGAGCAUCUGAACCUGCAGUUCAAGUUUGCAAUUUCUGAAGAUUCAAAAUGAUGGACAGUAGUGGUAUUCAUUUUGCUAAAUAAAUGAAUAAUUGAUGCUUGGUUUAUACCUUUAGCAGGAGCAUGAGGUCUAUGAGUUUAUAUAGAUGACUUGAUUACCAUACAAUUUGAAUACCGGGUGUAAGCCCUGUGGGCUAAACUGAAAGCAGAUUUACAAGUAAACAAGUAUUAAUUAAAAAAGUGAUUACUUUAAUAACUAAAUAAUCACUAGGUUAAAUGUUCAACUUUGUUGCAUAUAUAGAUUAGAAUGUCAACUUAACUAAGACAUUUUUUCAAUUUUUAUAUUGAACAAUAAUGUUUAAUGGGACAUGGUCAUGGUCCUUUUGAUUUUAUUUUAUGUGUAGGUAUGUAUUUCAUUUACCAGUUGCAGUUUGGUGGGGCUCAAAGAAUCAAGUGCGACACGAGCACACCAACUUGUUUAUACUAUAAAUAAACUCAAAAACAGUAGAGAACUUAAGGAUCAAGAAAUGUUUGUAUAUAGCUAUGUAUAAUAUGUACGAAGUUGAAGUACGAUACUAUAUUUUGGAGGAAAGGGAACCUAACCAACUCAAUCAAAAGCAUGUGGUCAACCUCUUUAGACACAACUAACGUAACGGACCAUACAGCAAAAUUCUUCUUUCAGAAGAGAAGAAAAUUGUUGUUGACACAUUUCAAAGGGUUGAGAAACACAUGUAAAUUACUUAAAUGUCCCUUCGGCUAUUAGCUGCCGAAUUUAUUUGAAAUCAACUGCAGUUAACUACCGGGAAAAACCUCAACAGUUAUCUGCCGUGGAAAAUGAAAAUCCAGAAUUCAUUGACCGUGAUGAGCAAUUUUCCUUUUUGAAUGGCAUGUGUUAUCAUAGCUCUUGCGUCAUGUCCCGGGUUGUAUAUUUUGUAAUGUUAUUGGGUUACCUCGUGUGUGCCUGCCAAGACAUAAAUUGGAUCUUCAGGAUAUAGUUGAUAUGUCCACAGUCUGACUGUGACCAUGUGCAUGUCCAAAAACAAUUCAUUAAAGUUACGACCGAUUUAGAGGCUUAUAUUAUAGGAAAUAAUAUAUAUAUUUUUUUAAGGAAAUAAUACUUGAAAAUCAUUUCCUUCACCAAAUAAAUUAUUACUACUGUAUUUGAUUGUGUGUAUCGUAGUUGUAGUGUUGUAGAAUUCCUCGUGCAUUCAAGUCUAAACAAUGUAAAUUAUAUCAUAUACGACAAUUAUCCAAAAAAUAAUUGACAUUAAUUUGAUGUCAAUUUGAGCUUCUUCCUGAAGCUGAAAUAGAGUUUAUUCCUCUUAGAAUUAUUAAUCCGUACUGAAAGCUGAAAUAUAUUAUGAAAAAUGAAAAACUAUUAAGCCAAAACGUGUAGACCCACGGGGUUUGUUGGUUGGCAAUCUUAUCCUAACACUAAACCAAUUUCAACUAUUUCCUUUUCAAUUUAUUUCAAGUUAUGGAGCCAUCAAAUUCAUUUGUCGACAUUGGUAGAUAAACAAAGUGCUAUAAGUGUUGCAAUUUCACAAUGAGAAAGAAAGAAAAAAGUUGAAUCUGAUAUUCUCAUGCACAUAGAUUUUUUAAAGACAAAAGCAAUCUCCAUUUGUCAUUAUGAACUGUAACGAUAUUUUGUAAUGGUUUUCUUCGUCCCUUUUCUGAACUAUUUGUUAUUGAUUUUAUUAACCGUUCAUUUGGUGUGCAUAUAUAGCAUGAUAUAGAACAAAUCCACAAACCACAAAACCGGCUCACCGUAUUGUCCUUUCUGAAAGGAUGCUCUUAAAUUAAGACCCUAGUCCAAGGUUUGGACUUUUCAUUAGCGAGUUUAAGUCAAAUAUACCAAGGGUAAUUUAGGUUUCAAUUGAUGGUUUUACUUCUUCCAAUUAUUUGUGGUAGAUUUUGUUCCUAUAAUUUAAAAGUUUCAUUGUUUUAGUCUCGGAUAUAAUUUGUGGUAGAUUUACAUCUAAGUGAUAAUUUUGCAUGUUGACGUGACAUGCCACGUCAUAUUUGAUACCACGUGGACCUCGAUUGUCACAUCGUCUUUACAUCUAAGUGAUAAUUUUGCAUGUUGACGUGACAUACCACAUCAUUUUUGGUACCACGUGGACCUCGAUUGUCACAUCGUCAAUGUCAUGUUAGCAAACAAUAAGUGACUUUCACGUGGUAGGAAAAACAAAAAUAAACGUUGUUACAUAUAUCAAAAACAAAAACAAAAAAUUAUAAAUUACUUACUAAUGUGAAAAAUGAAAAGAAAAAAAAAACAUCUUUAGUUAUUGCAAAUGCAAAUUUGUCGUGAAUGUGAAGUAAUGUAUUUUGUCAAUAUUCUCUAUUUUUUCUACUAUUUUGCAUAUACUAAAAAAAUGUGAAAUUUGUUGUCAAUGUGAAAUAAUGUUUUCAACCCACUAUCCCCUUCGCUUCAUUCAUGUCCAUCCACUCACGCCUAAAGAAGCAUGCAUCUCUUGUAUUUGAUUUCUGAUGUGAUCCAUACCUGUGACAUGCAAAAAUCAAAUAUACAGGCAAUUAACAAAAAUCCACGACACUUCCAGAAAAAUAGGGCAGGAACUAGCACUUGUACAUUUCAGAUUAUAAAACUCGAACAACAUCAAUCUUAUUCGGAUGUAUAAUCCGAACAACUUCAGAGUUUCAGAAGAAGAAAAAAAAUCGAACCCAAACAGUUACAUGCAGAGGGAAUGUGACCUAACCUUGAUUUUGAUGUUUGAUGAAGUUUGAAAUGUGAUGAUUUUGAACAAAAAAUUGCAAAGAUUCACCCAAUAUGUAGUUUUCGGAUUUUGUGGUUGGAGAGAGGUUUUAAAGCAAAUAUAGAAGCUAUAGAAAAGGGAAUGUUUUCUGAUUUUGAGUUGUAAUAUAGGGAGGUUUCGGAUUUCAUAAUCUGAAAUGAUGUUUGAAUUAUAGAAUCCGAAUAAUAGGGCUCGCGGGAAUCUCAUAGAGUGAAAAAAGUAAUAGUCAUUAAUUUUUUUUGGUCGAAGACAUAAAAAAAAAGUUUAAGAAGUGACUUGGUCUUUGUGCUUUCCACUAAAAAAAAUAUAGAGUAUAAGAAAAAGAAAAUGAUUUCUUUUUCCACCCUCCAAGCCACUCACGCACCCUCUCUUAUUUCAGUUUUACCUCGUUUGAAUUAUAUACCCCCUUAAGGUUGAGAAGAGAGGAAAAUGCAACAGGUAUACAUGGGCCCACCGUUAGACCACAUUAGGGACAUAGCAAUUGGAAUACUAACCAAUGAUAAAGUGGAUCGGGGAGGUCCAAUCUAACAGGGCUUGAAGCAGAUAAUUGUCGAGGCUCAUGGUAGGAUGAUGUAUCGCCUAAGGAGGGGUGAUAUGGGUGGGCAUGCUUCUACCUAGUUGUAUUUGUGUAUUUUUUAUUUUUACGACUUUUUAUGAUUUGUUAUGUUAGUACGUUUGAAUUUGUAUCAUUUGGCCAUGACCGCUGAAUAUUUUGAUUUGAAUAUUUAUACAAUUAGGAUACAAUGGCCAUGACUUUUAAUGAUUAUCAUAUGGUUUGUUUUAAUUUUGAUGUGCGCCAAUAAUAUGGUUUGAUUUGUGUUGCAAAUUCGGUCUAAAAAUGCAAAUAUGUGUGCCUUAUGGUGAAACAUGUAUGUUCUAUGUGUCCACACAUUUUGGAUUAUAUAAUACGAACAUAUAUUUUAUGCAUCUGAAUUAUAUAAUAUGGAAUAUGUCAACAUAUAGACCACAAGUUCUCUUAGAAGCUGGUCUGAUGGGGGGUUUGACACGGUUCAUAUUAUAUAAUCUGAAUAGUUUAUAUUUAUUUCGGGUUAUGUUUUCUAAAUCGUUUUGAAACAAGAAUUGGUGGAACCAUGAUAAUUUGAAGGUGUUUUUUUUUUUUUUUUUAUAGUUUUUAUCGGAUUGUGAUUAUAUAAUCCAAAAUAUUGUAGAAAAAUGUUUGGUUAUAUAAUUCAAACAUGGGUAAAAUGGAAAAAGUGAAGGACGUAUGAGAAACAAAUUAGGAUGGAAUAAUAAAUUCUAUAAAAAAAUUCAACAUCUGAUUUGGUUGAUUAAGUUCAAAAUGAAAGAAUAGCCUGGACAAUAAGCUAAAUUAACUAAGAGACAACGGAAUAAAAGCCGGAUGAAAAUAACAAGAAAUCACGUGACAUUUCCCUCCAAAAAAAAAUAAAAAUUAGAACACUUUUUCGGUUUUUCCUCAAAUGGAUGUAAACUUUGUAAAAAAAAAAGAUAUGAACUUGAUAAGAGAUUUAAUAACACUUUUUCUUAUACAAUAUGGAUCCUCUCAAAAUAAAUAAAAAAUGGGUAAAUGAUAUGGAAGAACCUGAAUUGGAAUCUUAAUUAAAAUAAUUAUUGGUCAAACUUUACUUACUUCUUGUUGAAUUUGACAGUACAAAAAUCAUUUCUUCCAAAAACCAGAGGAUUAAAAAUAUUGGGUUGAUGUAUUUUUAAGGAUAUUAAUUUUUUUAACACUUGACAAGGUAACUUAUUUAUUAUUGGCAAAAUAAGUUGAGCUCAACAGGUUAACCCGUUUAACAUGUUAUUUUAGGUGGGGGUGUUGAGAUAUUAGAUAGACAUUCUCAUUCAAAUUGGUGCGUCCUGUUAACUUAAAAAAUCUAUUUUUCCAAUUAUUUAUAUCACUUAUUCAUUUUAUUUUUUUUAUAGCUCAUUAGCUCAUAUUUUUGGACAUAUUAUGUUUCUAGUUUAUAUUACUUCUAAACUUAUUUGUUUUUCUUGCUCGAGAAACCGCUCACUUUUUACAGAAAAAAGCCGAUGUGACAAAGUUUUAAUGUAUUGUCGUCCACAACAUUGCUAACAAAGAUGUGUAGGGUUUAGGAGAUGGAGAUGAAGGAGGUGGAAGGAGAUAGGGAUAGAUGUUGAGGAUCUUGAGUACUACGAGGAGAAAUCAAAGAGGCGACUUUUAAUCAGGACAUCUACCACUUGUUUUUUAAGUGAUAGACAAGGGUGAGGAUAUCAUUUUCCAAGCCGGAACGAGAAACGUCGAAACAAAUGUUCUGGGAUCGGCUUUCAUCGACUUUUUCAUGUUUCUAUGCCGCAAUUCAGAAGUGAAAUGCAGUUUGCUGUGUUUACUUUUUUCUAGGUUGAAGGCAUGAAUGUGUUUUUGGGUUGAAUUUGUAGAUUUUGGCCUAUUUUUUGAUUUAUUUAUCCUCAUAGCAUAAAGUAUGUCGCUUCACAUACCACGUCUCUAAAAUUUGCCACUUCAACUUUUUUAAAUGAAAAAAUUCUAACAUGGGUGCAACUCAAAUCGUAAAUGAUUAACAUUUGAUAUUUCGUUAAGACUCUUUAGAACAAGAAAGUGACAAUUGCAAGAUUUUUUUAUUACAGUAACUAAAAUCAAAUUAAUCCAUUUUUGUUUGGAAUUACAUGCGUAAUUAAACCUUUACAAAACAUAGGCAAACAAAAGUUUAAAUGUGUUUUUUUAUCAUACGAAAAGAGAAAUUUAUAACGAGAAUGCACAGGUCUAUUUUACAUGGAAAAUGAUUGAGAUUAAUUUUUCUCUUAAGAAAAUGAAGUUUGGUCCGUGAAGAGUAUCGACAAUGGCAUCGAUCAUGGGAGGGAGUGUCUUCGUGUCUUGUUUAGAUGCUUACAAAUAUUCACGGGAGAAGAGCAAAUAGUAUUUUAGUAGGUCACAAUGUCACAUAUACAUGUUGAAACAAAAUUCCGUGACCAAUGUGGACCCAUCCAAAGAGUGCUCUUGGCCAUACCCAUAAUCAAUCAGAUACGAGAAACUACUAAAAAUUAUGCAAUCAUAGCACAUGAAAAACUCAUUAGUGAAAAUCUUUGUGCUCAUUUUACUUUAAUUCAAUUCAAUAUUAAGGAAUUAAGGAUAACUAACUAUGCUAAUGAACUAAUGGUGGAUGGUUUUGCAUGUAAUGGAUAUAGAUUAUCUGCUUUAAUUAAUGCAAGUAUUUGCACUUACUAAUUGAUCUCAGCCAUUAAUUUAAAAUCAAUCGAUUCCCGUUGCGUCUUAAUCAACUCACUUUUAAUUAAUUUAUAUUAUUAAUUUGAAAUCAAAUGACCAAGAUGGAUUGAUACAUCACACAUAAUGUGUGGAAUCCAAAUUGUGAGGUCAUGCCCACUAAUAUCAUGUAAAAAACACAAGUUGUGCAUGUAUAAGUGGAAGAUUAGGCACCAAAUUAAUGCACUAUACAAUAUAGUAUGCCCAUACCACUAUCUUUAUUCUCUACUAGAGCUUAAAAUAGAACAGAUAGUGAACCACUAUAAACUUCAAAGGUACAUGCUUGAUUGAUAUCUAUCCAUGAAUGUAAGUGGGUGACUAGGGAAGAGAACCACACAUUAAGGAGAAAAAAAUAUGGCUAGAAAAUGGAAGGCAAAAGAAGGUGGAACCGAAAAGUGCAAAAUGGUCUUGCAUAGAUACAUUUUAGACUUUGUUCAGUUCAUAGCAUAUUUUCAAACUCCACAUGCCAAUUCAUUAAUUUUUUUAUAUGAACAUUAGACAACUAGCAUGCCAACCUCCACAAAAUUACCUAAUACAUGUAUUAUUUUUUCACAUAAUGAAAUUACUUUAGGGAAGUCAAUUAUGCAAGCAUUUAAUUUUUUUACCUUCCUAGUUCUAAUUUUAGUAAUUGUAAGUUUCCCCCCUAGAUAAUUUAAGCUAUAAAAAAGGACUAGAAUCUAAUGUUUAAAUGCAUUUUUGACCUUAGAUGCUUAGACUAAACCAACUUAACAAAUUCCAACUAAAAUGCAAUUAUUUUGAUUCAGUAAAUUCUAUCCAUUCUUUGCCAAUUAAAUGCAAAGAAACUUGAUAGAACUAAAUUUGCAGGCCGCAACUUUAUCACAUUCCUGUUAAUGUUAUCACAUGACAGAAUAAGAAAUAUGAUUUGUGGUUGGGUGGGUGGAAUGAGGAGAGCAAAAAAGAAAGCAAAAAAUAAUGCACAAUAGUCACUACCAAUACACACACAUACCAAUAUAUAUACACAAUACACAUCUCUAAGUACACAUAUCAAUAGCUCAACUCUCUCCAAAGAAACUCAGGUACCAAAACAGCAUUGUUUCAUUCUCAUCUUUCUUUCCUAUGGAUGUGUUAUUGUUAUUACUACCUUUGUUGGUUGCUUUGCCAAGCUUGUCUAUAGUUGAGAGCCGCAAAACACCGGUUGAGGACUACUAUUUUGAGUAUUGUGCUGUGAGCUGCAGAGCUUACAGUGCCUCAGUGACAGAAUUUGGAGCGGCCGGCGAUGGAAAUACUUUGAACACAAAAGCUUUUCAGUCAGCCAUAGAUCAUUUGAGUCAGUACUCAUCAAAUGGUGGUUCUCAACUAUAUGUUCCACCAGGAAGAUGGUUGACUGGUAGCUUCAAUCUCACCAGUCAUUUCACUUUAUUCCUACACAAAGAUGCUGUCAUUCUUGGUUCUCAGGUUUGAUAAUAGCUUAACUAACUUUUUCCUGUCAAUAUGAAUAUGAAAAUGUAACGUAACUCUUCACCAUAUGUAAUUAAAGUAUUUCAAUACUAUGUUUGUGUUUUGUUAGGAUGAAAGUGAAUGGCCGGUGAUUGAUCCCUUGCCGUCUUAUGGUAGAGGGAGGGACACUCAGGGUGGAAGGUAUAGCAGUCUAAUUUUUGGAACCAACCUCACUGAUGUUGUCAUAACAGGUAAUAUUUGGAACCCAUUUAAUUAGUCUAAAUAAGUCUUAGGAUGUCGCUGAUUGAAGAUCGAGCUUGUACAAUCCUGUUAUGCUUUUGGAAUUAAAAUAUAAACCAGUCCAACUAAUAUUUGCUUCUAUUGAUUAUUGAAUUCAAAUAGGGAACAAUGGCACACUAGAUGGACAAGGUGAACUGUGGUGGCAAAAGUUUCACAAGGGGAAGCUCACUUAUACUAGGCCUUACCUGAUUGAAAUCAUGUACUCGGAUAAUAUACAGAUAUCCAAUCUUACUUUGGUUAAUUCUCCAUCCUGGAAUGUCCAUCCUGUUUACAGCAGGUUCAUCUUUUUCUCUUUGCAAUGUCUAUUAUCAAUCUACUAUAUUGUUCUAAGUAUUUUAACAUAAAGAAAUUGAAUGCAGCAACAUUAUUGUUCAAGGCAUCACAAUUCUUGCUCCUGUGAAUUCACCAAAUACAGAUGGGAUCAACCCUGGUAUGUUAGUAAAUAUUUUAAUAUAUAUUUUUUUUUUAAGAUGUUACAAUGUGUAGUCUAGUACUGAAUACAUUUUCAUGGUUUUGACGCAGACUCUUGUACGAACACGCGAAUUGAGGACUGUUAUAUAGUGUCUGGGGACGACUGUGUGGCCGUGAAGAGUGGUUGGGAUGAGUAUGGUAUAGCUUAUGGAAUGCCAACUAAGCAGCUGGUAAUAAGAAGACUCACUUGUAUUUCUCCAACCAGUGCUGUGAUUGCUUUAGGGAGCGAAAUGUCUGGUGGGAUUCAAGACGUCAGGGCCGAGGACAUUGUGGCGAUCAAUUCGGAAUCAGGAGUUAGGAUCAAAACUGCUGUUGGAAGAGGAGGAUAUGUCAAGGACAUAUAUGUUAGAAGAAUGACUAUGAAAACCAUGAAAUGGGCAUUUUGGAUGACAGGAGAUUAUGGUUCUCACGCUGAUAACAACUAUGAUCCUAAUGCAAUUCCUGUGGUUCAGAAUAUUAAUUAUCGCGAUAUGGUUGCUGAAAAUGUGACUAUGGCAGCAAAGUUGGAGGGUAUAUCUAAUGCACCAUUUACUGGAAUCUGCAUAUCUAAUGUAACCAUUGGAUUAGCAAAGAAGGCUAAAAAACUUCCAUGGAAUUGCACCUAUAUUGCUGGGGUUUCAAGUGGUGUGACUCCUGCGCCAUGUGGCCUGUUGCCAGACCAAGGAGUUGAGAAAAUUGGGCCAUGCGCCUUCCCAGAAGACAAUUUGCCCAUUGAUGAUGUACAGGUUCAAACGUGUACUUAUAGAAGGAAUUUUUGAUAGUACAGAAGAAAUGGCUCUGUUCAAGUGAACAAUCUAAACAUUGUAAUACUUUCAAAAACUGUUUGUAAACUUUGUACUUUUGUGUUUAAGUCAUUAACCUAUUGGACAAUUAUAAAAACUCUUUAACAAAGGGAAACCCCAACAAUGAAAACAAUAGUAACUGUUUGUUUACACUCAUAACAAUAUGCUGUGCGGUAGAAUAGAAGCUGAACAUUGUAUCUUAUGUAUUUUCGUGCCUUGGGAUGCGAGAUUGUGCAAAGCAUAUGUGGUUUCAAGCACACUCUAAGUCAACAAUGAAUACGUGUUUAAGCAUCUGCUUGUGAAAUUCAUUGAUUUUGAGUGUUAACCUUGAAAAAAUACAUAUAUAAGUAAAAUUGAAUGCUGCAUUCAAAAUGCAUGUAGUUUCAUCAAGCAGACAUGUUACAAAUUUACUGUUAACCCUACUCUAUAGUGCUAAACAUAUCACUUAAACAAAUUUAGCCAUGAAGCAAGAAAGGCCACUGAUCACCAUAGGUGAAGGAAGGCAUGUUACACGCGUAACAAAUGUUGCCAAAUACAUAAUUGAAACAUAAAAACGAAAUUUAAAGAUAAUUAUCAGGUAUUUAUGAAAGAAGCUCCAUGUCUAUGACAGGCUAACAAUUUGCUAUCAUAUUUGCUUUGCUAUUGAGUCAUGACACCCUAGUCCUCCUAAAGCAAACUUCAGAACAAUACAACAGCUUUUUUAUUACUUGUAUAAAUGCGUGUAACAUCCGACUUUUACCUAUUCUUCAAGAGAAUUUUCUUUCCAUAUCGGAGUUGGUUUUAAGAUUAGAUUACAAAGGAAGAAAAUAUCUGUCCUUAGUGAAGCAUCUGAACGAUGGACAUGCAAUAGAGGUUCGUCUUGUUACAUUCAUACAAAAUAAGUAAAGGAUUACUGACAAAGUGGAUCUGGAUUGAACUUCACAGAUUCCUUCCAAAUGAUCUCCUUGAUAUUGUCUUCAGUGCAUGUAGGUUGAUCAAAAUCAAAAGAGAAAGGCCUAGGACAAACUGGCUCCUCAUUGGUGUUGUGAAGUGAUGAAAGAUAUGGGUGACACAGUGCCUCAUCAACUGCAAAUCAAUGAAAAUACGACGGCAAUAUGAUUAUAUUGAAGCAAAUGAGAGUGUUGGCUAUAAAUCUCCUCUACAAAAAUAAUAAGUACCUGUAAUGCGUUUGUUUGGGUCAAAGAUAAGCAUCUUUUCUAACAGAUCAAGUGCCUCAGGUAACAUGUUUGGGAACCUGGACGAGAAUUUUUGCUUCCGGUACUGUUGAAACUGUCUAAAAUAUCUUCUAGCAUUGUCACUUCGGAGAAAUCCAAGGCUCGCAUCAUCAGGUGAACCUAUUAACUUUUAUGCAAAAGGAAAAACAAAAUGUCACACAACUUGCGGCCAUCAAUUUAUAACCAAUCUAUAAUAAUAACUUAUAUAUGCAUUCAUUAACAACAUUCAAGAUGGAACCUGAUAUCAUUUCAAAGGGAGUUAUCAUAGCUUCAAAUGCAAUAAUAUAUCAGUUAGAAACUUAGCAAUGCUUCAGAUGAACAUGAGUUAUAAGGGAAAACAUGAAAACCAUACCUCUGUGAUAAGCCUUAGUUGAUGAACAUAGUCUUUGCCAGGAAACAAGGGCUCUCUGGUCAUAAUUUCACCAAAUAUGCAACCAACAGACCAAACAUCGAUUGCAGAAGUGUACUCAGAACAAUUGAGGAGCAAUUCUGGGGCUCUGUACCAUCUUGUGACAACAUACUCAGUCAUGAAAUCUGUUUCAGAUGUUGUCCUUGCCAAACCGAAGUCGCCAAUUUUAAGGUCACAGUUUGCGUUCACUAGUAAAUUACUUGGCUUAAGAUCACGGUGCAAAACAUUAGCUGAGUGCACAUAUUUCAACCCACGUAACAGCUGAUAUAAGAAGUACUGCAGAAGUUUCAUGAAAUGUUAAUUUCAUGCUUAAUUGCCAACUCAUUUGAAAAGCACAGAUCAAAACUCAACAUUUCUUGAGGGGAGUUUGUGUGACCAUGUUAUGUUAGCAAAUAAAGAGUCUGAUUGAAUUGACUUGUUUGAGUUUAUCUACCGCCAUAAGCGCAUGUGAGACUUUCCGGGAGAGCGUAUGGAAACAACUUAUGACUUGACUUGUUUAUAAGUUGUUUUCAGCUUAUUUCCGCAAGCUCUCCUAGAUAGCUUAUGAAAACAAGUUCUAGUUUAUAUGAAAACAAUUUGACUAUAUUUUAUCUUUUGUCAUAAAAAUGAUUUAUACAUAAGCAUUUAUUUGAUAAACGCUUAUGCUAUAAGCAAUUAAUUAAGUUGUUUAUCCAAACAAGCUAUAAUCAAAACUUCUUCUGAAAAAAUCGUAGUUGACAUGAAAUUAAAGUCUAACAAUAUCACUAGAAGCAAACCUGACAAUGUUCUUCACGAAGUGGUUGGUCAGAAUGAAUUAUAUGAUGGAGAUCAGUGUCCAUCAAUUCAUAGACAAUGUAUACAUCAUUGAAUGCCUCCUUUUUCGGGGGUCGUAUGAUAUCCUUGAUGGCAAUGAUCUGGUGAAGGAUAAUAGCAAUUGAGAAAAUAUCUAUGAAGAGAAAAUAUUUUUCGCUUCCAUGAUAGUUGUAUGGGUAAGAACAAAAGUAAAAAAACUUUCCCUUACCUUUGACAUAUAUACAUCAUAAGAUCUUUAUUUUCUGUGACAGUUUUAAACAAAGCAAAAAAUUGUAUUGCAUGGAAAUUAGCUUCUCACUCAACACUCUAAAAUUUAGUUACCUGCUCAUUUAUUUUGUAUUCUGUUUUAUGUUUAUGUAGUAUAUAAUAUAAGAAACUGAAAUUGAAAUUGAACUAUAGAACAUUAGAAAGUUUCUGACUCAUCAGUUACCUAUUGUUAAGAUAAAGACUGUAGUCCAUAAAUACUUAGCUACGUAUUAGUUAGAUUUUUUUUGUAUCUUAUAUGUAGUUAGAUAAUCCACAACCAAUUCAUGUCUGAUUUCAUAAUUCACUGUAAACCAUAUGAAGUGGUGUUCAUGCUAGAAUCUGAUAAGACUCUUGAAACGUACACAGACCAGAACAAGGUUAUAUAAUUUAGCCUUAUACACUCAUGAAUGAUUUACCAAAGAUAUUAAGAGUUUACAUACGAACUUGAUGUCCAUAAGGUGUCAGCUCAGUGGUAAGAGUUUGACCUUAUAACCUCAAGGGCGGAGUUCAAAUCCGACCGUUGUAAAAUGGCCACUAUUGCCACGUUAAUUAAUAAUAAUUUUCCUCUUCUUCAACUUCAAAAAAAAAAAAAUACGAAUUUGAUGAGCAAGUAGUAAAAUAUGAAAAUAAAUAAGAGAUGAACACUUACAUUUGGGUGAUCCAUGUGACGAAGGAGCUUGAUUUCUCUCAAAGUCCUUUUAGCAUCAAUUAUAUUGUCAAAUGCAUUACCAAUCUUCUUGAUGGCAACUUGUUCAUGUGUAUCAGAAUUAACAGCAGCACUAAAAAGAAAACCAUUGUUCAAGUGACAGUAAAAACAUUUACAAUAAACAAAACGUCAAAUUCAUGCAUUCAUUUGGUCCUAUGAAUUAGCUGAACCAAAAGCCAAGACCAGAAGUUAAUGAAAGAAAGAAACAAGAACACUUACCAAACGAUACCAUAAGCGCCUCUACCAAUAGGGCGAAUGGGUGGCACAUACUUAGAAGACACCUCAAACAAGUUUCCAUACACAUUGUAGUGUGCAUAUUUACCACCAUGAGUAAGAACCCUUUUGAUUUUAGUGUCCCCUGAAGCUGAAGCAGCAGCAGCAGCAGCAGCAGCAGAAGAGCUCGACUCUUUUGUGGCCAUGUUUGGUGUUAAAAAUUGAACAAAGGGUCUUCACCUUUCCAAUACAAAACAAAUGUUGAAUUGAAAAAUCAGAGUUAGAUUUUUCAUUAGCUAAGCUUAAACAGCAAACAUUAUUUUUCACUGCAUUCAGUUUAUUAUUUAACUAUAUAAUAUUUUCCCUUUCUAGUAACUAUACUAUAUAUUGACUUUAUAGCAAAUUUUAAUGUAAAGCCGUACAAUUAGUACAUAAAAAUAGGAAGAUACCUUUGUUCUUGGAACAAUGUAUUGUUGGAAGCUAAGGUUGACACAUACAGAGAGAGAAACAAAACACAAGACAAGAAAGUGAAAGAGAAGCAAAUGUAUGAUAAGUGUGAUUUAAUAAAAAAUUUAAUAACAAACCUGAAAUGGAGUUUUCCAGAUCAUGAGCAUAAUACUUGGCUAUUGAUAAUUCUACCUGUAAAAGCUAAAAAUGUAACGUGAUUUUUAAAAGUAAAAUAUCAAAUUAAUUGCUUUUUUGGGAUAUAUCACGAGAUGCUUGCUUUGUAUUCCAUAAUGGUUCAAACACUUAAGAUUUCUAGAAACCACUCUUCUUUCUCUUUUUAGGCUCUUCUUUCUCUUUUUAGGUUGGUGUUUCACCUAUAAGUUAACCAUGUUCCAUUCUGGAUUCACGUAUUGCAUAUGAAAUGAAACAAGUGGCAUGGUUGAAAGUUCAACACGUAUUGAACUUUAUGACAUGAAAAAGAAAAAAGAAACUAAUGGAUAAAAUGAACAUGAUAUGAAAGAUAUUAGUUAUAAAGUCAUCCUCCAAACUCAUGAUCAUGAAUUUCGUACAGGUUUUCUGUGAACAAGUACUGUGUGUGUUACACAUUAUAUAUAAAGUUCUGAAGAGAUUUUCUUUUUCUUCUCUAUUUUCAAAUCAACUCAACUCUCAUUUUCAUAUGAAAUGCUUUUAUAUUUGUGUGACUGUGCAUGGUUUCGUCGACUCAUGGUACAGGAUUUGUCUCAACAAGUUGUUUUUUGUGUACUUGAAAGGUGGAAAGUGAACAUGAAAGCGCAAAUCUUUCUGCAUGUGAUGGAUGAGAAUAGUGAAUGACUACUUUCUGCAGAAUGGAAGUCUAUGUUUUGAGUUUGUAGUGACAUAUUUAAUGGGCAACGAUUGCAACAUCCUUAUCUCUUGACUUGCAUGUCGAAAAUGGAAUUGUUGGAACUUAAAAAGAAAAUUAUAUGAACAUAAAAAACAGUCUAUACUCUAACAUAUUCCUCUCGUUAGUCAAACUGAAAUGAUUCAUCUCACGUGUUACUAAUUAGUCCUUCGAGUACGUAAAAUACAUUCCAUCAGUCCCUAUAACAUCCAUUAGGUCCUUGCUGUAUUUUGGUACCCUCAUAUUGCAUUACAGAUGACUUGUCUUACUACUAUUUUGUAUUUAUUUAUAAACGGUUUAAUUUACAUGUUACUAAUUUAUAAACGGUAGUUAAUUUACAUGUUAAUAAUUGUAUUUUUUUGAAGGAACUAAUUGUAUUUGUUUUAAAUGGUGGUUAAUUUACAUGUGUUAAUUGAUUUAAUUAUGUUAGUUUUAGUUUUUAUUUUGCACAUGCAAACUCAUUGCCUCAUUUCUCCUAUAAAUGGACAUAGAUAGAAAUUUGAAACAAAAACAUUCACAAUAGUUAACUAACAUAUAACAAGUGACAUUGUAAUACUGGACUGCUUAUCCCUGAACAAAAGUUGGGAGAUUGCAUACAUUUUCCAGAUUGUAUAUUUGACCUGACCAAUGCAAGUUCCAGGGUUUUUCUCGAGGCUUACACAUUAAUGAUUUUUUUUAAUUACAUACAAGACUAAAAUAAGUCAGAUAUUGAUAAAAUUGUAGUUAAGUUACUGUCUAAAUUUCACAUAGGAAUAAUUGUAAAGCAUCUGAGCUGCGGCAGUCACCACAUCAGAUCAAAUAAAUCAGGAAUACGAGAAAAUGAGAGAUUGAGAGCCAGAUGAUUAGCCGCAAGUUAACAAAACACUCAGAAAUUCAAAAUCUUCAUUGAAUGAUAAACAAAUUUAGAGUAGUGUCACAUGUCGAUUAAACAACUCCGACUACAAGAAAAUUGUGCUCAAAAAAGCUAAACAGAAGACUAAAGUAGAAAUCAUUAUACUUUAAGCAUCUGAGCUGGUUGGAGGAGCCCCAAAACCACCAGAUCCACGACCAAAUCCAGGCCUUCCACCAGGACCCUGCACAACAAGACAGCUCAGACGAUUCAGAAAAACUUCAACAAAAAAAGGUGGGACUAUACCCAAAAAAGGUGAGUACAAUUGUAUACAAGAAUAGAUUUCUGGCAAAAUUCUUCUAUGCAAAUACCUAGUUAUAAUUAUGAACAUGACGGCGACUACUUAGUUAUCAAAACAACAAGUAUUUAUCCACCAGAAUAAGUAAACUACAAUACUACAUUGGUGAAAGUAUGUCUCUGUGUUUAUUCAACAAUCAUGUAAUCAAGUACACAAUACUGUUCAGUCAAAAUCAACUUAGAAUUGAUAUAGAACAAGCCUAAAUUGCAGGGAACCCCAAAACUUCAAGCUGACAAGAUUUCAUGACUUUCCACAGUGAAUACAAGUCAAUCAAUAAUUGAAUUUUUUUUAACAAGUAGACAGAACAGAAAUCUUUUAUUCAUCAACAUACUUGAAAUUUUAAACAAGUAGACAAAACAGAAAUCUUGUAGUAUUCGGAAAAAAGGCAAUUGGGCAUACUAGAAAUACAUAACAUUUAAAGCUAGCUAUUAAGCACAGAUACGGACAUCGGACAAGACACAAACAUUGACACUACCCACCGACACCAGGACACAAUUGAGCAUCAUAUAACUGGAACGGAAUGGCCUGCUUCACAAGACAUUACAUUAACUAUAAGCUACACCUAAUAACAUCAUAUUAAAUAAUUUAGACGGUAAACAAAGAUACUAAGACCAGCCACAAAUAAAUGCAACAUUG
rnacentral:lncRNA from 1 species